rnacentral:lncRNA from 1 species
AACAGAGGAAUGCUUACCAACAACAUGUGUUAAUUAGUACUCUACAAUGAAUUAUAUUUGAAGAUAUGUUAUAUAUAUAACGUAAUAUACGUUGCAACAGACAUGCAUCCAAGUUUUUGUUCCGUGGCCACGACAUUUUUGUAAUCACCAGUUGUGAUUCCAUGUCCUUUUGAGUUAUUAAACAAUUUUGGAUUGAAUUAUCGAUAGACGCGUUUUGUAGGUCUGUGACGGGUUAUUAUAUUUUGAGCGAGAAUCUUUAGGGACAUGCAUCCAAGCUAUAUAGUAAAGUCGGUGACGGUGGCUCUAUCUAUGGCCGCGUAAUUAAAGGUCAGUCUCUUGUCUCCUCUGUAUUUUCCUCGACGUGCCAACUUGUCAUUAAUCAAUACAAAUAAUACAUAAACAAAUAGAAAGAUACGACUUCUGAAAUCAUUUCUGACUGUUUUUAUAAAGAAGCACAUGGAGAUCUUAGAUGUCACAACUAGUGAGGUGGGUCUCUCUUGUCCCAUGUUCUAACAUUAUUCUUUCUCUCCCUCUCAAAACUUUUCAAUUUUCAUGUUUUGAGUUUUCAAACUUUUGAAAACAAAGAACAAUGUUGUUGUUACCUUCUCUUCGUCUCUUCUUCUUCCUCUUCAUCUUGUUCUCCGCUUGUUUCUUACAUACAAGAGCUCAAGAAGGCCAAGGUGAUAUAAGUGGUGACAAUAUCAAGGUUGACCCGAGUCUCAAGUUCGAGAACCCGAGUCUUCGUCAAGCCUACAUUGCUCUUCAAUCAUGGAAACAAGCUAUUUUCUCUGACCCUUUUAACUUCACAGCUAACUGGAAUGGCUCGGAUGUUUGCUCUUACAAUGGUGUCUACUGUGCCUCUUCUCCUUCUCGUCCGAAAACCCGAGUUGUUGCGGGCAUUGAUCUUAACCAUGCCGAUAUGGCUGGUUAUUUACCUCCUGAGCUCGGUCUUCUCACUGAUCUGGCUCUCUUCCAUCUCAACUCGAACCGGUUCUGUGGAACAGUCCCUACCACGUUUAAACGCAUGAAGCUUCUCUACGAGCUUGAUUUGAGUAACAACCGUUUUGUAGGGAAGUUCCCUAUGGUUGUCUUGUCCUUGCCUUCCCUUAAGUUCUUGGAUCUCCGUUACAACGAGUUUGAAGGUGUUAUACCGUCCAAGCUUUUCGAUAAAGAGCUUGACGCCAUAUUCUUGAACCAUAACCGGUUUCGGUUUGGGAUACCGGAAAACAUGGGAAACUCUCCGGUCUCCGCUUUGGUUCUUGCUGAUAACGAUCUUGGAGGUUGCAUACCGGGAAGUAUCGGUUUAAUGGGGAAGACCCUUAACGAGAUCAUCCUCUCUAACGAUAACUUAACCGGUUGCUUACCACCACAGAUUGGAAAUCUUAAGAAUGUGACGGUUUUCGACGUCAGUUUCAACCGGUUGAGUGGUCCGUUACCGUCUAGCGUUGGAAACAUGAAGAGCUUGGAGCAGCUCAAUGUUGCUAACAAUAGGUUCACUGGAGUUAUCCCAAGCAGCAUUUGUCAGCUCUCAAACCUUGAGAACUUCACUUACUCUUCCAACUUCUUCACCGGUGAUGCUCCGAGAUGUGCAGCUCUUUCGGGAGACAAUGUGGCGGUUAAUGGAUCGAUGAAUUGUAUCGCCGGUAAAGAACGUCAAAGAUCAGCUAAAGAGUGUUCUUCUCCAGCCUCACGCCCUGUUGAUUGUAGCAAAUUUGGAUGCAAUAAUAUAUUCUCUCCUCCGCCGUCUUUUAGGAUGUCACCCACCGUCCGAGUACUUCCUCCACCACCUCCGUCUUCCAAGAUGUCGCCUACUUUUAGAGCAACACCGCCACCGCCUCCGUCUUCUAAGAUGUCGCCUACUUUUAGAGCAACACCUCCACCGCCUUCUUCUAAGAUGUCGCCUUCUGUCAAGGCCUAUCCUCCUCCCCCGCCUAAGUAUGAGCCAUCUCCGCCUCCUCCACCUUCUUCCGGAAUGUCGCCUACUGUUAGAGCAUACCCUCCACCACCACCACCAUCACCUCCCCUACCAUCUCCUCCUCCGCCAUAUAUUUACUCAUCCCCACCACCACCACCACCAUCACCUCCGCCACCAUCUCCUCCUCCACCAUAUAUCUACUCAUCUCCACCACCUCCUCCACCAUCUCCAACCUACGUCUACUCAUCUCCACCACCUCCACCUGUAGAAUACUAUCCACCACCACCACCACAAUAUUGGCAAACUCCUUCACCAAGUGAACCCUAUCCAUCAGCUUCACCACCUUACUAUCAAUACAACUCUCCUCCGCCACCGCCUACUUACUACACCGUUCAAUCUCCACCGCCACCACCCCCCGUUGACUGCCCACCAGUAACAAAUUCUCCCCCUCCACCACCGGUAAUACAAAGCCCGCCACCUCCACCACCGGUUUACUACACGCCGGUAACACAUAGCCCUCCACCACCACCACCAAUGUACUAUCCCCCGGUAACACAAAGUCCUCCUCCUCCACCACCGGUGUACUAUCCGCCAGUAGCAAGCCCUCCUCCACCACCGGUAUACUACCCGCCCGUAACACAAAGUCCACCACCGCCACCACCUGUGUAUUAUCCUCCAGUAACACAAAGUCCACCACCACCACCACCACCCGUGUAUUAUCCUCCAGUAACACAAAGUCCACCACCACCACCACCCGUGUAUUAUCCACCGGUAACACAAAGUCCACCACCACCACCACCACCGGUAUAUUAUCCUCCGGUAACAAAAAGUCCUCCACCGCCACCACCAGUUUACUAUCCACCAGUAACACAAAAUCCUCCACCUCCACCGCCGGUUGAGUACCAUCCUCCGGCAACUCCAAACCACUCUCGACCACAACCACCACCUAAGGGAUGCAAAGACGGUCCAAGUAACGAACAUCACUACCAAACACCAACACCACCUUCUCCACCGCCUCCAUCUUACGACGACACGCCUCUACCCCCAAUUCACGGUGUCUCUUAUGCCUCUCCUCCUCCACCAUCAAUCCCAUACUACUAAGUUUAAACAAUGCAUUAACUAGUGGUCAACGCAGACACUAGUCACAAUGAUCAAAUUCUUUUGGCUUCAUACCUAUUUGUGUGUUUUUGGUUGAUAAGAGACAUUUGAGUUAUUCUUUUUCCCCAUGAAUAUUUUGUUCUUUAUAUUUCUUGAUUAAAUAGAGAAUGGAGUAUAUAUUUUCGGCUAUUUUAUAAUUGGGUACCCAUCAUAUAUAUAUUUUCUUCCAUAAAUGUUCAGUAUAAAUAAAAAUUCCUUUCACAAAAACCUCUUCUAGCUUAAUAAAAUUGAAGAAUUUUUGUGUUUACCACAUUGUUGGUAUUAUUAUCUAUGUUUACCACCACUAAAGAGAUAUUUUCAAAAAUAUCUUCUUCAUUAAAAACCAAAAUACUAUUAUACCCUUGAUCUCUAUGUAUAUAAUAAAUAACUAUUUAAAUAAAAGUUUAAAAAUAAAAUUUUAAUUUUAUUUUUAAUAUAUUUUUUAAAAAAAUUAUUAUUUCUUUUGUUUUUAGUUUAUUUUUAAACUAAACUUAUAAAAGAAUUUAAUUUGAAUCUUUUUUAAAAACAAUUUAAAAAAUAAUUUUUAAAAUUUUUUUUUAUAGAUUUUGGAUAUAAAUAUAAUUUGUGAUAUUAUUAUAUAAACGAAAAUAAUUUUAUUAAAUUUUUUUAAAGAUUUUAUAUAUUUGUGAUAUUAUUAUAUAAACUAAAAUAAUUUUAUAUAGAGCAUUUGGAGAACAUUUGCAUCAUCUAAAUGCUCAUUUUUAUUCUUUUAGAAACUAAAUUUAUCUAUUAAUAAUAAAAAUCUCAAUUAAUGUUGAAAAGUUGUGUCUUUUCAAUUAUGUAACUACUGAAAAACAAUUACUGAUGAAAUUUUGUGUCUUUUUAAGCAUGUAAAUAUUGAAAAUGGUUGAGAAAAAAUAUUUAGAUAUGUCUUCUCAUCUUAAAAAUGUUUAGAUAUAUCUUCACAUCUUAAAAAUAUAUUUAAAAUCUCAAUUAAUGUAAAGAGUCAUGUUUUUUCCAUUGUAAGAAACAUAUUAGAUUUUUUUUAAGUUGUUAAUAUAUGUAUCGAAAACGAAAGGUUGCGUCUUUUUAAUCAUAUAAGUAUAACUAUUGAAAACAAUUAAUGAUGAAAAGUUGUGUAUUUUCAAGCAUGUAACUAUUGAAAAUGUUUGAAGAAAUUUUUUUAGAUAUGUCUUUAUCAUGUUAAAAAUGUUUAGAUAUGUUUUCUCUUUAAAAUAUAUUGGAAAUAUAUAACGAUGAAACAUUGUAUCUUUUCAAGCAUGUAACUAUUGAAAUGGUCAGGAAAAAUGUUUUAAAAUGUCUUAUCACGUUAAAUUGUUUAGAUAUAAUUUUUUAUCUUUAAAAUAUAUUUGAAAUCUUAAUUAAUGUAAAGAGUCAUGUUUUUCUUACAUGUAAAUGUUACAAAUAAUUAGAAAAUAUUCAAAUGAAACGUUACCAGCAAAGAAUUGUAGGAAGGAUCAUUCGUGUCUGGCUAGCAAAAAAUCAUAAACGUAAUAAUGAAACGUAAUAAUGAAUUUAUUAGUCUUAAUUUUAUUCUAAUAGAUGAAAAUGUUUGUUUUUCUUUUUAUUUUUACAAAUUUUUCCCAUGAACACAUGAUUUAUGCCCUAUAUAUUCGUGCAUUUUGGUUAAAUUAUAAUUUUUGAUCAUGUUACAAAACCGGUAAAUUUUGUAUUUGAGCAUGUUUAUCACACUAAAACAACUGGUUUCUCUUGGUUUGUUUCAUAUUAGUGCAUUAAUAAGCACCAUUUCUAAUAACAUAUUGUUUAUUCCUCGUGUGUUUUUUUAUGGUGUGUUACAUAUUUGUAUGCAUGUCCAUUUUAUAAUUUUGUUAGUUCACACAUUCAGGAUAUUAGCAUACAUAUUUAAAAUUAAAGUAAUGUUUAUAUAUACUAUUUGUAAAUAAAUUCAUAUACAUUUAUUGAAACAAUUGUUGUCAACAAAAAAUUGUAUGAAGGGUCAUUAGUGUUUGGCUAGCAAAAAAUCCUAAAUGACAUAAUGUAAUUCAAACAAAUUUUAAAGGUUGUGUCUUUUCAUCUUUAAAUUGUGUUUUUUUUUCAUUUUAAAAGUUGCACUUAAAAGAAGUUAUCAAAAUAUAUAAGCAUGUUCUUCUUAACAAUGUAUUUUUCAUUUUAAUAGUUAUAUUAUUUUAAAAAAUAUUAAAUAUCUAUGAAUGUGUCUUUUUAUUCUAACAAUUGCAUUUUUUAACAAGAAAAUAUAAAAUGUUUUAAAAUGUAUAUUUUUAUAAUGAUGUGUUUUUUCAUCUUAAAAUGUAGUAGUUUCUAAGCAAUGGUGAAUCUAUGUAGAGAACACUUUUUCUAAGAUAAAUCACAUGAAUUAAUAGAUAACUGUAGAAAGUUCUUAAUGUAGUCAAUAUAACUUUCGCUAGAUUUGUUUCUAUUUUUAAGAGUGUAAAUGAUUUUAAAUGUGUAUUUUCAUCAUAGAAAUUAUAUUUUCAAGAGGUUUAUUUAAAAUUUCUUAGAAUGUCUCUUUUGAUAAUGAUGUGUAUUUUCAUCCUUAAAAUGAAUAGGUUUUAAAGGUUUUAAAAUGUCUAAAUACAUAUCUAGUUAUUCUUUAAUUGUGUAGGUUUCUAGGAGUUAUUUCUUGUCUAACAUGUGUAUGUUCAUUAUAACAUUUGUUAGGUAUUUAAGGGGUUGGGAAAAAAAUUAUGUUUAUAUAUAUAUGUAUGCAUAAAUCUUAUCAUCCUACAAUGCGUCUUCUCAUUCUAAGAAUUACAUGUUUAAAAAUGUGUCUUUUCAUCCUAACAAUGUAUAUUUUCAUAUUAAUAUUUGUAUGUUUAUAACAUUUUUUAUGCAUUAGUUAGUUAUAUGUGCUAUUUAUUUAGUGAAUCACUAUUACACGUAAAUUGGAAAAGAUUAUUAACAAUUUAAGUGAAUCUUUGCAUAAGUUUAAGUGAUCACUGCAAGUGUUUAGUGGAACAGUUACAAAUUCUUAAAUGAAAUAUUGCAACUGUUGAUAGAUAUAAUUUGUAGUGAUAAAACCAUUGCAAUUAUUGAUUAUUGUAGUCUUUUGGUGAUAAUUCAUUGCAAUUUUUGGUGUUAACCAACCAUUGCAAUAAUUUUUUUUUCUUCACCAUUGCAAUAACUAAUCUUCUUUAUAAGGAGUUGUGGGCAUUGACAAAUCACAACAGUCACAAAUAUAUUAGAAAAAAGAGAGAUUUAUUGUCAAAAGACCAUCAAAAACAAUUAUAUGUUUUUAUUUGUCUUUUCAUUUAAAAUAUUUUUAUUGAUAUGUUUUUGGUUAUUUUCUCAUGUUUACUUAUAUUAUAAUUUUUAAAAAAUAUUGGAAAUUUUAUGGGUAUGUUUUUUUCUCUUUUGUGACACAUAAAAUGUUUUGAAACCAAAAAUACGAUACUUUAUAUAAAAUUAUAAAUUAUACAAAACGGCAAAUACUUUUUAAAUAAAAUUAAUGAGUUCACGAUAAUGACUUAAAAGAUGCAUAAAAUUUUCAAUGUGUAUGUCAUUACCAAUUGGUUAUAUUCUUUUAGUUGUGGUGUAUUUUUCAUGUAACAAUUAAAUAGUUUAUGAGUAUUUAUUUUUAUAAUUAUCAAUUUUAUCUCUAUUUAAUCAAAAUUUAUUUUAUUUUUCAUGCAAAUGAUUCAUUUGUUUAUUCAAGGAUUUUUUUAUGUUGAAGAGAUACAUCCUUUAAGAAUACUAAAAAUGUUGUAAAUUUGUAUCCUUUCAAAAGGUUAAUAUUUAAAGUUUAAAUUAUAUUUCAGAUAACAAAUAAUCUGUUUAUUUUGGUGUUUCUUUACUUUUUGAUUUAAAAAAUGAAAUAUUUUUUAGACUCAUUGAUAAAGACAUAUUUAAAAAUAUUAAAUAAAUUUUCUUAUAUUAGCAUAUUAUAAAAACAUAAAAUUGAAAGAUGAUAGAGUUACGUUUGAACAAUCAUAAUUUUUUGUUCGCACCCUUUAGAAAUGAUAUAAAUAGAAACUAAUAUAUAUUAAUUAUGUAAUAUUUGAUAUAAAAAACUUGGAAAUAAAUAAUUAAAAUACUUUAAAGACUCAAAAUAUGAUUGAAUAAAUUUAAGGGAAAAAUAGGUUGAAUAUGUUUGAUACAUUAUAAAUUUUUCUAUUGCAAUAUGUGAAUAUUUAUUUAUAUAAAAUGAGUUCUCGUGCAACAUCGCAUGAGUUCCUUACUUAGUGUAAAUAAUAAAGAUAUAGUUAAAAUAUAAUUAUUUUGGGUAAAAUUUAUAAGUUUUUAAAAUAGCAAGCAUUAUCAAAACUAAUAGUAAGUAUUAAUAAUAGAAUAUACCUAAAAUAUUCUAUUUUGAGAAUAAAACUGAGGGAUGCCAUUGAAGUAAAAUACAAACUCAUUUUAAAGAAAAUGUCGGAUGUGGAAUGUCUGUAAUAUUUUUCAUAAUUUUUAAUAGCAUAAUUAUCCAUCGUUUAAAAUUGUUUCUAUUAUUAAAUAGAGAAAGUAUAGAUAAAUAGAAGAAAGUUGGUGCAGUUUUUUUUAAUUUAAAAGUUGGUGCAGUUUAUAACCGGUUACUGUACCUACACUUCAAAAUAAUGUUGCUCUCAAAGCUCAACAAGAUAUCGAAAGAUCACAAGAAAAGAGAAGAGGAAAAACUCCAUAAACACUCAAACAAAAUCUCUUAUUAAUGCUUGUUUAAUUAAAAAUAAAUAAUUAAGUUUUCUAGUCUGAAAAGUUGCGUGUAAGAUAGAAAAUAUAUGUGUUAUCAAAAGAGCUUUAGUCAUAUAGGUUUAGACUGGAGAGAAUGUUGAAUUCGGUGGAUCAUUGCCAAUUCUUGCGGAUGUCGAAUGUGUAGUUGAUUUCCAAGUAGCACUUAUUAUCGUCAUCAAUAAACUGAAAUAAACAAUAAACUAAAUAAAAAAUCUUAACAUUUAUUAACAAAGCAAAUCAUAAUUGCAUUGGAACAUAUUAAGAUGCAUUUUCCUGAUUUUUUGUUCAUGUGUAUGAAACAUAUACCUUAGUUCUUGCGGAAUAGGAUCCUCUAGCGAAAAUACCAGAGGGUGUUAUUUCUUCAGGCAUCACAUGUUGGUAUGGCUCAGCUUGAGGACUAAACGUCCCAAGCAUUGCUUUCGUACUAUCCACUGCUCCAAAAGAAAGAGACACCAAAACAUCAAAAUAGAACAUUAAAAACAUUUUUAACACUACCUAAGACACAAGAAGAAAGACAAAAAUACCCUUGACACCAGUUUUCCAGACGGUGUUGUUAUAGCGAAGGCCCGAAACAAUAUUGUUGGUGACACGGAAGUUAAAGACAAGUGUGUACUUAGAUCCUUCCUUUAUGGUGAACCAAGGACCUUUAGGGUUAGGCAAUCCAUCAUCAGGUAUCGUUAAUACCAUGUCUUCUCUGUUUGGAGACCUAACUGUUAAGUCUAGUAUCUUUACUACUGGAUCUGGUGUCUCUGCAUUUCAUUUUUUGGUUAAUUGUGUGUUGAUAUAACAAUUUAAGUGUCUCCCUUUUAAAAAUCCACUUAUAUAUAUAUGUUACACAGCUGAAAUUCUAUAGUUAUGGACUUUAUGCCACGUAUUUAGCGUUAAAUUAUAUAUAUGUUGCGUUUUAAUCAUAAGAUCUAAACCGGAUUUUAGAUUUGGUUUACCUCCGACAUCUUCCAAAUCCACCACGCCGAUUAGUUGUUCCUUCCAUCUCCUCAAGCUUUCAUCAUCCUAACAAAUUUUGGCAGAAAAUAUAAGAUAUUUUUAUUUUUUUUUUAUUAAUAGUAGUUCUAUAUAAUCUUUGAUUGACAGAACAUUAUAAAAAUUAUGCUCUUUAUUAUCCUAUCAAUAGUUAUUAGAAAAACAUUUACAGUAUGCUAAUGUUCUCAAUGCUCCUAUAUGAAGUUUUGAUAGAGCAUUAGCAUUUGCAUAUAAAAUAUUAUAAAAUUUAAAAUAAAUAUAUAUAAUUUAAUAUAUUUUAUUAUAAUAUAAAAAAUCUGUUAUAUCCAACAAUAAAGUUUAUGUUUAAAAAAAAUUGCAAUUAAAUAUUUUUAACCUUUCUAAAAGAAUAAUAUUUCACAUUUAAAAUAUAAUUUUAUUUAUACAAUUAAAUAUGAUUCAUUAUUUUUAAUGACAAACACAUUAAAUAAUAUAUAUAUUAUCUAUGUUAUUUAAAAAUAAAUAAACUACAUAUCAUAUAUUAAUUUUAUUAUUAUUUUAUACCUAAAUCAUUUACUGUUUUACCAAUCACACUAUUAAAUACAUAAAUAAAAACAUAUAGCUUCUACGGUAUACUACUACUGCUUUAUCAUCAAAUCUACUAGGCCUGGGACUUAUUAUCCGAGAUCUGGAUUCGAUCCGAGAUCCGCUCCGAAAAUAAGAUAUCCGGGGUGCCCAGAUCCGAAUCCGGAUAGUAAAAUCUUGGAUCCGUGCAAACCAAAUAUGGAUCCGGAUAUCUUAAUUUUUAGGUCCGGAUAUCCGGAUCCGGAUCCGUAUUUUUAAAAUACAUUAGAUUUUUAAAUUUUAUUAAUAUUUAUAUUUGAUAUAUUAAUAUUUAUACAUGAAUUAAUCUUAUAAUAUUAUAUUUUAGUUUUUACAAUAUUAUAAACAUAUAUAAAUAUAUUUAUAAAUAUUUUAAUUUAUGUAUUAUAUUUAAAACAAUUACUAUUUUUUUGUUAAAAAAAUUAUUUUAAUUAUUUUGACGGAUCCGGAUCCGGAUAUCCGCGGAUAAUAGAAUAUCGAGACGGAUAUCCGAAACCCGGAUAUCCGGAAACCACGAAUCCAAUUCUUGAUCUAAUAAGAUCUUAGAUAAUGCCAACUUUUUGGUUUGAGUAAAAUGCAAAGAUGGCUCUAGAGAGAAGAGAGAGGAAAAGGAAGAGUUUUGGUGCUUUUUGUUGAGGUAUGUUUAUAUAUGGAGCUUGAAGAAAUGGUCAUGUGGUGAUCCUAUAAUUUUGUAAAUAUCACUCUGGAAAUCAAAAUUUGCUAAAUAUGUACGAGUCUACAUUGCAAAUAUAUUUGCAUGGUUACACAUUGUGAGGAUGGUCUCUUGCUUGCUGGCUUGCCAGUGGAAAGAGUUUAAACAUAUACAUACUGAUAAUAAAUUCGCCAAAUAGGAGAGGGAGGGUAAUAGUCAAUUGGGCUCUUUUAUUAGUUUUAUCAGCUCGCUCAUCUACAAGCAUAAUAGCUUCCUUGUGAGAUGUGCAGCUUCUCAGUCCCGAUAAUGUGAUUGUGAGUCAAAAGUAAACAAAAUUUUCUAUACAAUAAAUCAAGGAAAAACAAACAAAUAAACUAGAUCUCAACCCGCGCAACCGUGCGGAUUUUUGUUUUCAUUUAUUUUUAUAUAAAUAUUUUGUUUUCAAUUCUAAAUUGGUAUAUAUUAUAAUAUAUGUAAUAAAUUUACGGUAUAUUUUUUCAUUGAAUAGAUUGUUUUAAACUUUCACAUGUAUUUGUAUUUUCUUCUAUAUAUAUAUUUUCGGAUUAUUAUUUCACUAUUAAAAAUCGUAACUAUAUAUAUAAAGAUUAGUAAAAUAUUGUUUUAUUUUCUUAUUCAAAGAUAUUGCAACAUUUCACAAAUUUAGAAAGUUUUUUAAAAAUUAAAUUUUUCGCUUAUAGAUUUAUAUUAUCGAGUAAAUAAUUAAACAUUUAGUUUUUGUUUAAUUUUUAAAAUAAACUAUAUAGCUUAAAAAAAUCCAUUGGUUUAAGGUAGUAGAGAUUAAUCAUUAUUAGAUAAUAUGAUUUUUGUUAUUUUAAAAAAUCUUUAUAAUUUUAAAAGUUAACAUCGACAAAUAUUUAAAUAUUUAACAUAUGGAGGUAUAGUAUUACAACAUUAAAUUAUAUCUAUUUAAUUUAUAUUAUCUAUAAAUCCAAUGGAUCAUCUAUUGUUUAAAUACAAUUAUUGAUAGCUCAAUAAAAAUUUAUGGUAGGCCCAAAAUUUAAAUGAUAAGAUUCGAGAUUAAAUGUAACAUGACUUUCUAGAAAUACGUACAUUAGGUCCAUUUUAAAAAAAAAUCACACAUGAAUCAAGAUUGUGACUUAUGUUUUAAUAUAUAAGAUAUUACGUAGAACAUACAUUUAAGUUACCAAAAAAUAAGAUGCAUCACUUGUAGAUUUAAUGGAUUUUUUGUUUGUCAUAGUAUAUUUGCCCAAACGUCGACACUAGUUAAUUCUUCAUUGAGGUCAGAAAUUAAGUGUUAUUGGUUGCCAUGAAUUCCUGAUAUUUUCUUUGAUAAGUAAGAAAUAUUUGGAAAAUUAUGAAAUUUGAUUGAGAUGUUUGAGUUUGUACGUUUGAAUGGUUUUAACAUUUCUUAGGAUAUUAUUGAUAAGAAUAAAAAGAGUGCAAAAGUUUGUAUGAAUGAGUACCAAUGUUUACGCACAUCGUUAGCGUAACCAACUAAAAUGGUGAUUCAUUGAUAUAUAUUAUUGAUAGUAUGAUUUGAUAAUAUAUUAGUGUACGUUGCCUUUCAAAAAGAAAAGAAUAUACUCCUUCUGUUUUCUAAUAUAAUUCGUUUAGAGAAAUUUUUAUAUUCCAAAUUAUAUGAAGUUUUCAGUUUCACUUCUAUAUUAUUAGUGUUUGAUUUGUGGUUAGGUAAAUAAUUAAUGAUGUUUUUGUUUAACUCAAAGAACAUGAGAACUUAGCUCAAGUUUGCAAACAUGGCAGACCAGUAGAACUGGUUAAAGAAAACAAAUCAAAAACAUAAGCAUCACUGACAAUGAUGUUUUUGUUUAGAAAAUACAAAAAAUUAAUGAUUUUCUUAAUCUAUGUGCACAAUUCUAAAACGACUUAGUAUUAAUUUAUUACAAUUUUCUAUAUAAUAAAUAAAUACAAAAUAUAUGAUGUAAAUGAUGAUUUACAUAUAUUGACGAUCAAAUGUACCCACCAAUAUAAUAUUUUUUAAAGUAUUAGGCUGCCUUAGAAUAUAAUCUCUUUUUUUCUAAGUUUAAAAGUUAUAAUAUAGGUUACUAUAUUUUGAUCAUCUAAGCGCGGGUUUAUUUUUGAAAUUAAAUAAAUUCUUCUUAUAUAAUUUCUAUAUAAGAUAAUGUAUGUGUAUCAAUCGAAUAUUAAAAUAGCUAAAAAUAUAUACAGACUAACGAUACAUUGAUAUUGGUUCGGAUCCAAUCCCAAGGUAAAGUACCUAUUAAGUUUUUUUUUAGACAUGCGGGUCUCUGUUUUAGUCUGGAUUUUACUCGAGACCCAAUCGAAUAACCAACGUACAUGAAAUGUUUGUGUAUAUUAGAUAUAUUUAGGUAUUUCUUAUAUGUUUUUGUACUACGAAUAUUAUUUUAAUUUUCGUAUUUUGGUUUUUGCUUAUAGUUUCAGGCUUCAGGUAAAAUUUUAAAAUUUAAAAUAUAUUUGGGUAUUUAGCUGAAAUUUUUAGGUUUUUUUCGGUUUUUUUGAGUAUUUAAAUACUUUUGGAUAUUUUUUUGUGUUUCAUGUAUUUUUAAAGAUUUUGGGUACUUCAAAUCUUUUUUGGAUCCUAAAUAUCUGAACUGAUCCGGACCCAUUAGGUAUCCAAAAAUUAUAUGUAGUUUACAUGUAUCUUAAUUAUUGAUUCAAACCCGAAAAGAACUGACACGAACCCCAAAAAAAAAUCAAAUACCUAUUUAGGUCUAAAUAUCUAAAAUCCGAAAGAUCCAUGCUCGAAAGAAACCGAUCCGUACCUGACCUGAAGAUCGAAUGCCUAAGCCUACUCUCUUUUCUACUACUACUAUUAUUAUUAUUAGAAUUGAAAAAAUCUAGGAUAGUUUGGUACAACUCUAAACAAUCAAAUAUUAGUUUAGAACAUGAAGUUUUUUAUUGGCUAUUAUUCGUAUAUUUUAAAUUACCUAACCAACAUUUUAAAGAAGCCAAACAAUGAAUAUUGAUUAACAGUACAGUUUGAAAAUGAGUACUAUAUUACCGCAUGGGAUAAGUAAAUAUAUAUCUAAUAUACUAAUGUUUGAUAUAACAAAAAUAUAGUAUAAUAUUGUACAAUUAUAUUAUUAAGAAGUCUAGAAAACUAUAAGAUUUGGGCUAAUUCAUUUGAAAACCACGAAAGUAACCUAUAUAUUUGAAUGCAAUGUUACAUAUCGACAUAUAUACAAAAUCUCUUUUCAAUUGUUAUUUGGUAACCAUAAUAUCUAGAGAAAUAUAUUUUAAUAGACCAGAUAUGUCACACAGAUUUUCUAAAUAAUGAACAAAUACCUAACAAUUAGAGAAUUAAUAUAUUACCUAAGCUAUUAGAGAAAGAUCUUGAUAAGAUUGGUUAGAAUCUUAUCUGGUUGUUAUAAUAAAGGCUAUUAUAAUAUUUAGUUACAUGUUAUAGGCUGGACUAAAAAUUAAAGGGUGCAACAAUUCUUUUUAAGUAAAUUUUUUAGGACUAUUUCCCUUUUAAUAGUAUUGAUAUCUAUAAUAAAAAAAUAUUUUCAUAUUAGUCUAAACAUUCAUACCAUUUGUACUGCCUAAUAAUUGUCUAGAUAAUCAAAUAUAUGUUAAGUUACUCCGUCAACUUUUUCAUAUGAUAAACUGUAAAGUUAAUGUAAAUGACUAACAUUCAUAUGAAUAUCAUUCGAUAAUAAGAUAUAGUAAUUGUAAUCUAAUAUUAUUUUAUAAUACUAAAUAACAUACGGUUUAUAAAAAUGAUAGUAUUAAAACAUAUACAAUCAAUACUCACAUUUGUUAUUUGUAUUAAUGAUAUUACUUUUAAAUAUUAUCAAAAUAACAUAAUCUUAAGCAUCAUUUUAUAUUAAUAAAAGUUCUUGAGGGGUUCAAAGUGGAAUCUUCUAUUGAAUUAGGUUUUAUAAAAUAUUAUAAACCGAGUACAUUAAAAUUUAAAUAUGUCUCUAGUGCAUGGUUGAUUAGAGAUGAUCCUAGAACACAUUACCCCGUCUAUAAUCUUCAGAUUACCUUAAAAUAGAAAAAAUAAAAGUGUUAUAAAACGCAAAAUGUCAAAAUAUGUCAGAAAAGCUAAAUAUACUAAAUAAUACCAUAGUAAAUUAUGAUAUUAUACUAACCUUUUUCGUUAUAAAUGAGCCACCAAAAUAUAAGAGGUAUGAAAGUUGCAAUGUCAUUUCUUAGUCUCAUCAUAUUUUGGGUUAGAAAUUCCAAAUCAAUAAUUCUAGAAGCUUGGCAUUCCAGCUCUACACCAGUUAAUUUUUUUAAAAAAAAAUCACACGACCACGAAAAUGUAUCAUUUGAAGAGCUUAACGAUAAUAAAGCAGUCUAGCAUAAGUUAGGCUUCCUACUAAAACUACAAUGGCGACUGAUUAAAUUUCAUCAAUAUUUGAAAAAUAUGACACAUAUGUAGUUGAUAUAACUAAAGUAGAGAAAGAAUGUCACAUAUUGUGGAGUAAAUGAAGUUAAAAAUUACACAGUAGAGUUUGAUCAAAAAAAAAAAAAAUUACACAGUACAGCUUUAUCAAAAGAGACAAAAUCAUACAUUAUUUUUUGCAACAUUAACUAUUAAAUCCAUUUGGUCUAAUACAAUCAAACAUGCAUUUGAAAUAAUUCUACUAACCAUAUAGUAAUUUUAAUAUCCAAUCCCUUUAGUUAGUCAAGCUAGCGCAUAACUAAGUUCAUUCAAGCAUUUUAACAUACAUCUUUGGUGCAUAAGAUAAUCUAGAAUCUAGACCGAGAAAGUCUAAUCUAGCUUUAAAAACAGUAAGAUAGUAGGGAAACAUGUAAAUCCACAUGUAAAUCUAAUACUAAACAUCUUAACCCUUCAGCAAAUCACCAUAAAUUAGCAUAUCCCAUAGAUUCAAGAGGUGACUACUCACAAAUCAUCUUGAAUACACUUUCAACCCAAAAUAAUUUGAAGCAUAAUCAAGCUUAAGAAGCAUUUAAUCACAAGAGAGAAAGUAGUAAAUGCAUAAAUACCAAAAUAUCCAAAAGGUUUUAUGGUUAUACAAUAGAUAAAAGAAUGAUCUUGUUCACUUAAAGCAAGUCAUAUUUAUACUAAAAGGCUAAAAACUUGAAAUCAACUAGGUUAAAGUGGUCGUAGUGGUCUUGGCAGCUAUCUAGGCUGUUACAUGCUUUCGAGACGUCUUCAGGACAAUUAUAGCGGCCUAGGUAGAGGCCACUAGACCAGACCACUAAGGAAUCCAUCUUCUUAUGGUCAGGGUAAGACAGCUGGCUUCAAUUUAUGUGAUGCAUCGUCAAAAUGUGGAUAUGUGAAGGAGCAUAGCAGUCUAGAAGUCUACGUAGACACCGCUAGGAUUGGGCCUUGUGGUUGUGUUCUCUAGCGGUCACUCCUCGACCGCUAGUCUUGGCUGCUACAAGUGUCCACGACUCAAACUUCUUCAAAUCAUCUCUUUUGCUUGGUUUCCAACUCCAAAUGCUCCCAUAACAUGUAUACAUGCUCCAAGAGUACUCAAAUGCAAUAUGAAAGUGCAAAGAAUCUAAAUGAACCUAUGUAAGCUAUAUGAACCUAAAACAAGAGAAAUGAUAGGGUUAAAGUCCAUAAAAUGCAAUACAUAAACCAUAUAUGUGGAGAAGUAUAUGUUGAGAAUAUACAUCAAAAUUUAUAACAUGAUUUCGAACCAGAAUUCAAAAGCAUAUAAUCUAUAAAGUUUUGAUUAUGAGAACCACAUGAUUUAAAAUGAACAAAGAUUAAAAUUGUGGUAAGUAAGAAUGGUUUAGUUAAGCUAAAAUUUUAGAACAUAAUCUCAUGGGGAAUGGAGUCACAUUUGAUUCAUCAAUAUACGUCAUUUUGUCAUGUCAUAUUUUAGAACCAAUCAAAUUAUAAUAUAUGUCGUUAAGUGUAUUCUCAGUUAAUAGUAUGAUUAAACACAUGUGUUCUUUAGCUAAUUUCCAUGAUCGAAAACGCGCCCGCCUAGUUGAGAACUCGCCUGGUUAAAGGGUGAUUAAAAGGUCACUGGUUCGAAGAGGUGUUGUGGAGUGAGUUUAGGCGAUGAAAUAUUUUUUUGCAAAAAUCAACAAUUUGUGUGCUAAAUAUUAGUUUAUAUUAUAGAUCUAUCAUAUUUCAAUAAAAUCCAUAAGUAUCAGUUGUAAAAGCUUCAAGACUGUGAAAAUUUUGAAAAACGCGAUAGUAUAGGUCUGAAAAUCGUAGAGAAAAAUGUCGAAGAUGAAGUCAAAAUCGUCAUUUUGUACUCAUUAAAUGAAAAUCUUACAAAUAUGAGUGAUAUGCAUUGCUUUUGGUUCAAAACCGGGACAUGGGUGAUAUGAUAUGUGAUCUCAUUGUCAGUAACUCACAUAUGCAAUAUAUAUAUAUAUAUAUAUCUAUUAACAUAAAGUAGAAGAUAAUUCUCUUCUCCUUGCGCCAACGCAACAAAUAGAGGAAGGAGGCUUCGACACCUGUCCCCUUCACCGAAACACACCGUUUCAAUAAAGUUUUGGGUUUACACGAGUUAUUUUUGUUAUGGGCUUUGAAUAACGUUUCUGGGCUUAAACCAAAACUAAAGCUUGCCCAGUAGUCGCCUUCGGCUUCGUCAAGGAUGACGACUUAUGUAUCUAGGGUUCUUCGUUUUGAUCGAGCCGCCACUCGCUUUGGCGGAUUCGGUUUCUGGAAACCUUCUUCCCUUAACAACAUCCCCGAAGCUUCCAAGGUCUCAUCUCUCUCUCUCUUUCUCAUCUUGGUUUCUAGGGUUUAUUUAUUGAAUUUGUUAGAAAAAGAUCUUCUCUUUAGUUGCUUUUCGUGAUGCGAAAGCUUAAAGUUUCAAACUUUGGUUACAGAACGAUGUGGACGAAGCUAAUAUUGUGGCGAGUGAGUUAGAGAAAAAACUGAUCUCCAAAGAAGGAGAAGAUUUGAAAGUCUUGAAGUCGCUCGAGUCGACCAAAGCCAUAGUUGAAGAGCUCAAAUCAAAGCUACACAGCAAAGAAGACAAAGAGAACUGCGACAUGAACAUUCUGAAAGAGCUAAACCAAGCCAAGAUGAAUCUUUACAAGACGACCGAACAUCUCACUGCUAUACGCGAGUCCGUCGAGUUACUAAACAAGAGACUUGAAGAGGAGCGAGCCGCGCUCGAGAAGACACGAGAGAGGUUAAACUCUGUGAACGCGGCAGAGAUAUCAAAGGAGAUUCAGAGACUAAGUGAUGAUGCGUUGGAGUUUAGUAAAACAGGGGACGAAGCGCGUUUUGCGGUUGAUAAUGCUGUGUGUGAGAUCGAACGGACGAGGAGCAAGAUCAAAGCUGCUGAGAUGCGUUUGGUCGCUGGUAGGAACUAGGAAGAUGAAGGAAGCUGCUAGAGCAGCUGAAGCAGUUGCAAUAGCUGAAAUCAAAUAUGUCGCCAGUGGAAGAAGAACAAGAGAAACGUUGCAGGAGGAGAUUCUUUAGAAGAUAGAAGAAACGGCUCAAGAGAUUAGAAGCAGCAGGAGGACGAUUGAGGAAGGUCUGGAGAGAGUGAACUCCGAAAAGAUGAAAGCAGAAGAAGAAGAGACACAAUGGCAGUGGUCAGAAUGGAGGAGGAGAUCAUCAUCAUCUUACAAUUACAAGGGCAAGUACAAGAACAGGAGAGACGGUUCUGAUGGAACACAUAACAGUAAUAGUGUAGCGACGGUGAUCAUUUCGGUGGCGAUUAGAGUCUGAAGAAACAGAUGACAUGUCUGAGGAUGACGAAAAGGAAGUAGAUGGUAAAGCGGCCAUUGUUUCAGAGGACAGUUAGAUCGUGAGGGUUUUUGCUCAAAUAUUGUCUCUGAUACCAUCAUAUCUAACUUUGCAGGUUUGUGCAGAAAUAUUACAUACAUACCGAUAGAUCUUCAGUCAAAUAAUGUCUUUAAAGCAUCUACUCAAAUAAGUCUCUGAGGUAAGCAUUGUUUUAUUUGCUAGAAGAAGAGUCAUAAGAAUGAUGUGUCCUAUACACUGAAACUUUAGAGUGUGUCUACUAUGUUCUUUUACAUCCCUUGGACUUAAUAGUCUAAAAUCAUGUGUACAGUAAAUUCAACUGGUGGUGAAGGGUGUAUGUAUUAACCAAAAAAAAUGUACUUGAACUGAACUGGAAGUAAGUUAAGAUUUAAGUAUGUAUUGUUUAUUAAUUGUCAUGCGCCCUCUUUAUUUUUCUCAGUCUCUUAGACCAGAAGAAACUUACAGCGGAGCCAGGCUAUCGAAGCAUAUCCUGCUUCAUUUUCUGAGUCUAAGGUAAACUAUGUUGUUCCUUUGUGAAUUCAUUUCAAGUACUCUAAUUUUUAACUGCAGUAUGAAAAAACAUUAUUAAUGAUAUGUACCUGGGAAUGUGAAUCCUUCUAUUCUUAUAUUCUUUGCAAUCAAGAGCUUUAAUGUUGGACAGAUAACAUCAGUCAUUUAGCUUGGUGCACAAACAUGUUAUGUUUGUCCACUGCUUGAUAUUUUCAUGGUUAUUUAGCAUCUAUCCCUAUAUUCUUAGUUCGUAAUCAUCUGACGUCUAAGGAUGGGAUAUAGUUUUUUUUUUGCCAGGAAAACCACCAGUUUCAAAGAAGCAGGUAGAUCCCUUUUCCCCAGAUAUUGCCGAUGAUUUUCAUGUAGUCAUGUAGGUUUGUAGUUGCAUUACAAGUGAAAUUAACUUUCGUAGUUUCUGGUGAAAAAUCAUAGCACCUUUUUUUUCCACAGGUCUCUCGCAAUUUCACUUGGUAUAUGUCAUCACUAAGCUUGGCAUGUUGUUUGUAUACAAUUUAGAGACUGCUUCUACUAAUCUACAGAAAUCGGAUAAGUCAACUCCCAAUUUUCUGGACUUUUGAAGAUUUCUCAGUUGGAGGGUUCUAUGCCAGUUGGACAAAUUCUUUUGGAUAAAAAUCUAUAGUAAUACCUUUUAUUAGUGGUCAAGUCUUAUUUUUCAGUUUUUCACAGUAAAACUAUUUAUUUCAAUUUUUCAUGUGAAGGACACUAUGCUAUUGUAUAUCAGUUGUACAAUUUUGGAAGUCUGAUUUGUUUCCUUGGUUAAGAUGAGGGACCUUUCUCUUACUGAAGAAUUUAUAGUUAACGAAAGUCAGCUGGACGAAAAAUUAAGCUAUUUGUUUAUGUGAAAAUUUCUCAUUUUCGAUUUGGAUGCGCACAUCAAGACUGAAACAAAAUAUUACAUUUCCACACGACACAGACGUCUUCUAACAUCUAAUCUAUUAAAAUAGAAUCCUAUAAUUAUCUACUAUUAAAAAGUUGUCAUUAAGUUUUUUAAUGAUCCUACUCCAAUUAAAUUAUAACAUUUAUCAUAAAAAAAAAUUAAAUAGAAACAAAUAGAUAUUUUUGUUAUGUUCAUACCAAAUUAUUGGAUAUUAACCAAUUUUAUAGUUUCUAACCUAACAACCAAAUACGGAUAUAAUAAAGAUCUUGCCUACGAAUGAUAUGUAAUCCUACGUAUAACACUAAUUAUCCUAUACUUUUAUCAAAUAAAUAUUAAUUAGAAUAUAAUAUUAAUUAGACAUAUAUAUAUAUAUAUAUAAUAUAUUUGGUGAUCAAUAGUACCCUUAUAAAUAAUAAGAGUUAAUAUAUAUGAAUUUAAUGUUUUAUUUAUCUUUUUUCUUUUAAAACUUAUUAUGACCAACUUAUCUAGGCGUCGACGUUAUUCGGGUUGGGUUCGGGUCUAAUCGGGUUUCGAGUUUUCGGAAUUAAAAAUUUCAGUCUCAUUCGGAUAUUUAUAAAUUUCGGUUUGGAUUGAGCUGAAAUCUUUGCGGAUUUGGUUCGGGUUUGGAAAACCCAUUAAAAUUAUUUAUAAAAAAUUUAAAUUCAUAUGUACUCUAAAUUUCUCAAAAUAUAAAAAUUAAAAUGAUAUAUUAGAUAUCAAAAAUUAAAGAAAGGCACGUAAUCUCUUUAAAGUGCACAUGAAAUCAUUUUGUGAAUUACAAAUAGGCUAUAGUUAUGAACUUAUGAUAAUGUGAAAUAAAACUACUAAGAUAACUCAAAAUCAUGAUUUCACAUCAAACACACUACUUCAAAUGUUGCAUGUAGUUUUAAAAAAUGAAGAGAAAACAACUAUAAACAUAAUGUAAAAUAUAUAUAUAUAACCAUACGCGCGGACAUUACCACUAGAAAAAUGUACCAUUUACUUGAUACAUUUUUAUUUAAUAAAUAAUCAUAUUAAUUUUUUAUAAAUUAUAUAUUUUAAUAAUCCAAAGAGCGGAAAUAAAGAUCUGAUUACAAACCAACUUACAAAAAAUUAUAACCCGAGAACGGGAAUAAUUAUAUUAAGUUAUACUAUACAUCUAUGUUAAUAUCAUUUAAAUUUAAUUAUAUAUCAUAUAAAAUAGAUCAAAAUGUUGUUUAGAUUUAUUUACCAUAAUAUAAUUGUAAAUAAUUAAUAACAAUUAUUUUUGAUUUAUAUGCUCAUACCAAUUUAAUUAUAUACGUAAUAGUUACUAUAAUAAAACUAACCUUUAUCAAUCAUAUUCGAUCAUGUGCCUGGUAGGAUCACUAUUGAGGGUAAACAACUUGAGGAGGAAGGCCACACCGGGUUUUAGAGAGUGGCCAUGUCCAAUGCCCACAACUGAUGCUGCAGAAGAGUUAUCUUUAUCUUAAGUUUGAAUAAAUUGUUUAGUGUUGCGUUUUUUAUUUGAAUCAUUUUGUGUCGGUUUUGUAACUUAUCUUCUUCGCUUGGUUAUAACAAUAGCUAUUGUGGUAAAAUAAUUUCCUCUUUCGCAAAGCUCCCCAAGUGUUUUUAUUUGGAUAUUUGACACUAAUUCCAACAUCCAAAUUCAAAUACAAGCGUUUUUUUUUCAAACACAUUAGAGAGUGAAUAAUCCUAACUAAUCCAGUAGCACUAUAUAAUGAGUAUAUUAUACUCCCAGUAGCAGUUUAGUAACCUGUGAAAAUGAGUAGCAGCAGCUUAGUAACUGGUGAAAAUUAUUCACUAAAAUGUUGGCAUAAACUCAGACGAUUCAUUAGCGAAAGAGAAAAACAAUCAAUGGAGAUACCUUGUAAGUGAAAGCAGACAGAAUCAUGGCUUUGUUUUGUUAAAUGAAUUUAGUCACCUUCCUAUGCUCCAAAAAAACUGGUUAUGAUAGAUACGAGCUAUAAUCUUGCAAAUCCAAUUACGUUGUUACAAGAAACUCAAUCAUUCGUCUUCAAACUUACACAACCCUACAAAUGUAAAACAUCAUAGAGGGGGGAGUUAAAUAACUGCACAAGAAUAUGAGUAUUUCAGUCAAAACAAGAAUGGAAAACUUGUAAUUAAAGGUAGGCACAAAUCAAAUAUCUCAAUUUUCAAAAGUGUUUAUGAUCCAAUUUAUUUCGUUCAGAUCAUUAGUUUUUCAUCUGUCUUUGAUUCACUUCCAUCCUGAUAUUCAAUUUUAGAAAAAAAAGUAUUAGUUAUUCUUGCCUUAGAUUUCUUCGACCAUAUCAAAGUGAAAUAAAAUCAAAAGAAUAAAUAUAAACCACUAUACACUUCUUAAUAUUUUUUUUAAAUCCGUGUUUUCUUUUUAAAAAACGUUAGUGGUUCUUUCACAACAAACAAAAAAAAAAAAAAAAAUUUACAGUAUGGUCUUAGAAAAAAAUCUAUUUUUAUUAUGUUCAAUUAAUUUUCAAAUAUUUAUAAAUUUUAAAUAUAUUUUAAUAUAAAAUAAUUUUAUUGUAAACACACCAAAAAAUAGACUCCCAUUUGCUAAUAUCAUCGUUCAUACACAAUACAAAGCAACAAUCAUGUCUAGGCAUAUGACAAUCCCAAAUCGCAAACCUAAAAAAUUAAAGCGACUCACCCCUCUUAUGUCGAAGUUGAGCCAUGCAAGAGAAUAUCCCAUUGCCGACGUCCGCCGGUGUCUUCGUGCUCAUCCAGAUGAGAUUACAGACAAGGAGUGCAGGAACAUCUUCAAACAUACACUUUUGAGGGGCCUCGCCAAAAAUCCUCUACAAACUCUACGUGGUUACAAAGAUGAGAUGAAGUUUUGCCUUAAAUAUGGCAAUAGAGAGGCACACUACAUUGAGGGAAUAAAGCAUUUCUUUGCUUUACAUGAUCGUCCCAAAGGAAUGAGGCACCUCAAAAUAUCGGCAACAAAACACUAUAAGAAAGGAUUCUUCAGAAAAGAAACACUAUAAGAAAGGUAAUUACCUGUACGCAGUACUUAGGCUACUCGCAGGUGGCCAUGUUGAAGGGAUGAAUCUUAUAGACGUUCAUAAAUGGAGAAACAACACAUACGUUAUUGACAAACUGUGGAGGCAAGUUAAGCGGUUGUUGCAUGAGGUUCCAAUCAUAAAGAGGAGAUCCUAUGGCAUAAACAUGAUUCUUAUAAUGCUACCAAGAGCCUGCGAGCUCAAUGACCUCGAGAAAGGGUGCACUAAGUGUUUUUACUAUAAGGAAAUGGAGAAGUUUCUUAUGUUUUUCCUGUUCCAUUAUAAAUUUAUAGUAAAAAUUUAAAAUAAAAUAAUAUAUUACUCGGUAUAACCAAUGAAACAAUAUAGGAGGUAAUAGAAUAGGUAAAACAGCUACUAAUAAUACACUGAAACUAAAUAAUAUUUUUUUAUUAAAAUACAAGUACAUUCAAUAUAAACAAAAUAUAAAAUAAAUAAUGUUUUGAAUAUUAAACCUAACCACAACAAUAAAAACUCGAAUAAUACUUACUAUAUAUAAAAAAAACUGAGCAAACAUUUAAUAAAUGUAUACCAGUUCAAUCAUGAAAAUCGUAUCAUGCUAAUACAACUUUAUGAUCUCUAACAAGAAUAAUAAAAAAUAAAAAAAAAUAGUUAGACAUAUGCGAAGAUGAUAUAAAAUGUGUUUUCAUUAUAAAAACAUUUAAAAAAAAAAGAUAAUAACUAAAAUAGUAUAAUGUCAUAAAAUAUAUUUGACAACAAAUAAAAAACAAAAACCACUGACAAAAAUAAGCAAACAUCAAACAUUAACUACAAUGGAUAUAAUAUCUUUCUUCACUUAAAAUGUCCUAAUAGACAAUAAACACUUAUUAUUAUAUACAUCUCUUGCAAAUGCAAACCUAAAACACAAACCACCAAAUCAUACAAAAAAUAAAAAACUAAGAUCACAAGUAAAAUAUACCCCGCCUGCAGAGCGGGUCUACCCUAGUAUGUAUUAUAUAUAAAGUAUCCUAAAAAAUCUCCAAUUAAUCUCCGUUUAAUUUCCAAUUAGUUGUUUCGGCGCUAAACCCGGGUCAAUAACAUGCGUUAUGCCUAUUGCAAUUUCAAACAUGGGCUAAUUUAGACAUUAACACCAAAGUCCAUUCUCUUACUUUGUUUAGCUAUACAAGAUAACACUAAAUAAAAUAAAACCCAUUUAAGAUUUGUUAGCUAAAUCUAUUUUAUCUUAACUAAUAGACGCUUCCAUUACUUCUUUGGUGACUCACCUUACAUCUAUAAAUUUACCAUCAGUUAAAAAUGUUUUACUUUACUCAUUAACGCAAGAAGUUAGUUUUACGUCUUGUUCGAAAACGCGGCCGUCUAGGCGCUGUUCGGAGGUUGACCGCGGCGAUUAUACCCAAAUUGGUGUAGCCAGGCGUUGACCCGCGUAAGACCGCCUAAUUUUUGCGUUUACCGCCUAAUUCCCGCCUAAUCUCGCGUUGACUGCUUAAGUUUUUUUUUCGUGUAAGUUAAAACACGGUUGAUUAUUUUUUACUCAUUAUUGACAGAUUUUGUGUAAUUAUUCAUUACUAAAUAAUUAUAAUUAGCUAUCAAACCCAAAAUAAACACAUCCAUACUACAUUUAGGGAUUUUUUCCGUACCAAACCCACCAUUUACGAAUCAAAAAGAGACUGUUAAAAAUUAUAUAUAAGAAAAAUAUAUAAUUAUGUUUGUAUCAUCAUGCUUAAAAUUAACUAAAUAUAUUAUAAAUAUAUUAAAUUGUAUAUAAAACUAGGUCCCGCGUAAUCUCCGAGUACUCCGCGAUAUUUCGGUAACUCGCUAGCCCGGAGUUACCGCCCGACUAGCACCAUUAACCAUGUAUCUUAGGAGGGUUCUUAACUAUAAGUAGAAUUAAAAGAAAAGAAAAAAUCUCUUAUAUAUUAAAGAAAAAGCAUUUUAAUAAAUGCGUUCACAUUAAACUGGACACAUGUCACAUGUAGAAGCAUUGUAAUAAAUGUAUUCAUACUAAAAUAGACACAUGUCACAUGUAGAGAGCUUCUCAGCCAAACUUACAUAAAUAUGUUCACACUAUGUAUUUUACAUUUUUUUAAUAUAAAACUCAUAUGCAUGGUUCUUUUUUACGUUAUUUUUACUGUUUACGAAUAAAGCUGGAAAAUUAUUCAUAAAUUUUGAUUCGAUUCGUUAUUUGUUUUGAUUCAAACCGAAAAAUCUGGAUAUAUGUUACUCUACGAAGGAAAUCAAAUACUAAAAUGCAAUAUCCGUAUAAAAAACAAAUCACAAAUAUCAAUAUUUAUAGGAACGGAUAUCCAAUUUGAUUUGUUAUAUACAUAUAUAUAUAUAUAUAUAAUUAAAGAAUUAUAUAUAAGUUAUAUAUUAUAGUUUAUAUAAAUUUUACAAUAUUUUUGUUUUUAAAUAAUUUCAUUUUAAUAAUUUUAUUUUUCAUGUAUUAUUUUGAAAAAAAAAUGUUAUUUAAAAUUAAUUAACAGUAUCUUUAUAUAUUUAUCAACCAUUUUUAUAUACUUUUACAUACAGAUACAUGUGCACAUUGACAUGAGCACCUUUUAACUACGUAUUUACCAAAACUGAAAUAUCUAAUAUUUUUGGAAGUUAAAAUAUUCUUUUUUAAUGCUUCUUUCACUAUCGACCAAAUUGUAAUAAAAUGAUUUGUCUUAAUAAUUUUUUUCUUUUUUUUAAUUAUUAUCCGUUUAGAAACUAUAAUAUGAAAUCAUUGGUUCGAUAUCACGACUAUCUAAAAUUCAUAACAUGAAAACAAACAAAUAAUAGUACUUUUUCAUUAUCAGAGGAAAAAAAACCAAAAACAUCAAUCUGUUUAACCGAAGAAACCAAAUAAAUAUUGAUUUAAAAUGAUAGUUAUAUUUUAGGAGAUUAAAAACCAAAAAACAACCUAAAACAAAACAGAUAUCCAGAUUAAACAGAUUAAUGUAUUUUUAUUAAAAAAUAACGAAACUAAUAAACACAUUUCGGUUGUUUAAAAGAAGAACCGCCACCUAAUUUCGACUCAGAAGAAACUGGUCUUAGUGGGCAGGUGUAAGCAUUGUAGUGGGUAGGGGAUUAAUGAGAAGGAAAAAAAAACGAUCAUCGUUUUUGGUUUCAUUCCUCUGGCUCUCUCUCUCUAUCGUUCGUAUUCUGUUUCCAAUCGAGAGAGAUAGUAAAAGAUCGAUCGAGAAUUCGAGAUGGAUAAUAAGAAGAAGAAAGUGUGGUUUUGGCCGGAGAAACAAGGCGGCGGAGUUUCGAUCAAGGAGGCGGAGGAUAUAGCGGCGGAGCAUGUUUUGACGGAAGAGACGAUAAGUCAUUACAGUUUUAGCAAAGGUCUUCUUCCGCCUCUCGGUGUUAAUUCUGGCUCUACGCGUCACGUUAAGCUCCGCUUCUUCAUCGUCUCUCCCUUCGAUCCUCGCUACAGGUAGUUAAUCGAUUUUGCUUAACUGAUUAUGUGAUUGUUCGUGUCAUCGCUGAUGAUCCUUGGUUUGAGAUUUUGUGGUAGACGAUUCGUUAUUGUGUGGAGGAGGAGCUAGGUUUCUGCAUGUUUGCCUUCUCGUUCUCGCUCUUACGAGAUUAACAGAUCCUUAAGUUUUUGUUACUCUAUUGAAGCGAAUAACGAUGAAACUAUUUUGAAUCCAUAGUGUUCGAUGUAAUGCUCGUGUUCAAAGGCAUUACACGAAUCGCACUUAGUUUGAUUUUAUUCAAUAGAAUCAUAUUGCUUUGAUUUUGAAUUUUUAUACUAUGCGAAUUCUGUUAUGCGUUUUUAUUUUUCUUCUUCUCGUAUUCCAUGAUUUAGGAACUGAUGAUUAAAGUUGAAUUUUGUCAGGGCAUGGGAUUGGUUUCUAGUGCUUUUGGUGGUCUACACAGCAUGGGCUUCUCCUUUUGAGUUUGACUACCUACAAACGCCAAGAGCACCUCUCAGUAUUAUAGAUAACGUUGUCAAUGUAUUUUUCGCGAUUGACAUCGUUUUGACAUUCUUUGUUGCCUUCUUGGACAAGGCAACUAUUCAAGGAUAUGGCAUUUUCAGUAUGCUGCGUCUGUGGAGUCUUCGCAGGGCCAGUAAUUGUUUUGCUAGGUGAUUGAUUUGAAUGUGUGUUUCUUUGAAUAUCAAACACUUCUCUUCCUUUGUCAUAAUCUUUCUUGUUUUCGAAUUAUCAGAUUGGAGAAGGAUCAGAAAUACAACUACUUUUGGGUUCGAUGCACAAAGCUUCUCCUGGUUAGUGACUUAUCUGAACACAAGCUUACAUUUAUGAAGAAGCUGCUAUAUAUUUUUUCUCUUGGUACUUCAGAUUAGAUGUCGUGUGUUAAUAAGUUGCUCUGCUUUCCGAGUUUUUUAAGUUUUACUUGAUCUUAUGUUUAGGCAUGGCCCUCUGUUUCCUUUUGCAGAGACAUGAGAGUUUUGUUUCCUAAAAAAAAGGCGACAGGGAAACUAUUGGAGACUAACACAAGCCAUUAACUAAACGAAGUUUUGUUUCCCUUCAGACACGAAUUCAUACAAGAAGAAGAACAAGCGGAGGCCACACAAAACACAACGCUGCGGGAAAAUCAAUAUUGAAGAUGGGAGGGAAAAUCAAUAUUGAAGAUGGGUUUCAUCAUCAGAAUAACCAACACCGUCAGUUUGAGAUGGCAGUGGAAGAAGAGAAAUGUGGUGGGGGGGGAGGGGGAGAAGAAGAUGAUGAUGAUGAUCACCGGUUUGUGGUGGAGAGAGAUGGAAGUUUAACGAUGGAGGAAGAUAAAACGACGUCGGUUAGUGGGAGUGAAGAGUCGAGAACAAGUGCAAGAGAUGAAGCAGAGAGAGUGUGGUUAGAGUUGUAUCAAAUUGGUCAUCUUGGAUUUGGUAAAGUAUCUUUCACUGGGAUUUAAUAAUGUGAAAUUUGAUAGUAGUAUACAUUUUGUAAGAAGUAGACGGUAAAAAAAAUCCCUUUUGAAUUUCAGGCUACAUACAUAACAAUUUACAUUUUGGUAGAGAGUGGUUAAAGUUCGUUGUGUAUAUUUCGACUCUUCAAUGUCUUUCACAUAUGGUUACAUCCUUUGUCUGUUCGGUUACAUUAUAUCCACAUAAAGGUCGAAAUGUCCAAGUGAUCAAUCGGCAUAAACCGAAUUAAAAACCGGAUCAAACUAAACCAUGUAAAAAAUCAAACGCAUGUUCUUCAUUUCUCGUGUUCUUCCGAAAAGAUGUCGGGCGUGCUUUUGGAGUCUUACAAGUUCGCUUUGCCAUGGCACAAAAUAAAUGACCUCGUCUGCAAGUUUUGUGGCGUGUUUGAAACCGCAACUCGAGAGAAAACUAGCGGGCAAAAUGAGAAUGAUGUUUUGAAACGAGCUCAUGAAAUAUUCUACAACAAUCUCGUUUAUUUUACUAAUAUUUGUUUUUAUGUUUUUAUUUAAAUAUUAAUGUUUAAAAUUUUAUCUUUUACUAUGUUUUAUUUAAUAAAUAAAUUUUAUUUUAAAAAAAAAACUGUUUAAUAAUUAUUUUUAAAAACCUUUAAUUAAGAUACUUGCAUUGGAACACAUAAAUGUUACCGUCUCUUAGCGGAGUCUUUUAACGGAGUCUCUUAACUUGCAUUUACUAUUAAAAAAAAUUAAGAGAUGUUAAAUGGGUCUCUAGGUUAAUAAUGCUCUCAUGCUAUUUAUCAGUCCACUGAUCCCGUUGUAUUGGCCCCGAGCUUCCCGGAUGUAAAAAAGGAAAAAAAAAUACUUUAAGGCGUCAUCGGUGCAGAACGAAAGGACUCAGAAUCCUAUCAUCAACAUUUGUGCAUGUGUAAUAUUACUUUUCUAUAGGGACCAUUUUAGUUGCCAAAUUUGUUGUGAAUGAUGCAAGAAAAUAGAAUUUGCUUUAGUUAAAGAAAUCAUAACUAAUAACAAUGAGAAGUAGAGACUAGCGAGCCCUUUCCAGAAGUAUUUAUACUAACAUAGUAUUUCUAACGUCUACAAAUUUAUCUAAUUUCAAAAUAUUAUAGAUUAAUUAAAUUAAGCACACAUGAAAAAUCAAGAUAAAGUCAAAUUCAUGUUAUGAAUGGUGUCAGUAUUCUUUUGCACGUAUAUAUGGACAUUCAAAGAAAUAAACAUUGAAAAAAUAGUAAACCCUUAAUUCGAUUUUAGGCUUCAAACAGUAAAGAGUAUCCAUUUUAUAAAUAAUACUCACAGCUAGGAGGCAAAGACCACUAUGCUGACAUUGUAAGUUCGACUCCUACGUUUUGCGUGUGAGAAAAUAAUCAAAAAUAUAUAUAGCAUGGUAAAUAGUAUUUGAACGUCUAUAACUUUUUUUGGUUAAAAGUUUUUUACUAUAGUCUACAGACAACAGUGAAUGUCUUUAUAUCUCAUCUUUUUUAUCCACAGUAUUUUGGUAUCAUCCAAAUCUAGGAUAUUCACCGACAAUAAUAUAUUCUCUUGUAUCACAAUACUGUCUUUAGUUUUUAAAAACAUAUCUUGAAACUACAUCGUGAUACUCGAUUGUAAUGUUGAAUUUAGUUAAUAUCUUCCAAAAUUAUCAAUAAACAUUGUAAUUUUUAUGUUCAAAAAAACAUUGUAAUUUUUCAAAAAAAAACAUUGUAAUUUUUCAAAAAAAACAUUGUAAUUUCACUAUUUAUUUAUAUAAAUCGUAUCAGUGGGAGAACAAUAACACCGUUUUAUUCAACCAUAACUAAUUUCUAAAAAAAUGUUGAUAAUCUGCUUACGUAUUGUUUGUCAAGAUUAUCAAUUUACACCUCUUACAAAUAUAUUAUGACAAUGUAUAUUAGAACAGAUAUACAAUCAGCUUAGGAUUCACAAACAACUUAAUAGAACAGAUCAUAUCAAGAAAGAAAAUCAAUUUUCUCAACAAAAAAAAAUUAGAAAACAUAAAAAUAUUCGAUCUUUUAUUCUUGAGUUUUAGCUGUGGUGGCCAACUAUUUGCUGACGAAGAGAUUCUAACCAGAUGGGACCGAAAAGAACAUUUAAUUAUGGUACCAAUCUUAACAUGUGGCCGACCUGGUAAAGUUUUGACCGCUGAUCUAAAUUAGUGCUUAAUUUAACGAUUAAGAAUUAACACAUAUUCAAGGAUUACGAGAUAAUUAUGCUUAUAUUGUCCGACUUUAGGAUUACACAUAUUCAAGGCAUGCCCGCAUGGGGUCGUUUCACAUAAUUCCGAUGCCAAAAGUGAAUUAUUUCGACCUUUUCUUUAGAUCUGAAAUAAUAAUAUAAAAUCAUAAUUUAAUUUAAAGUGUAAGAGGAAGACCAAGCCUUUUCCAAUCUACAUUUAUAUUUUCAUACAUAAAAUUAAAAUUAUUUUUUCUUCGUAUUAGAACAUCCGGGACCUAGACAUUUCAGAGCCACAAACCCAAAAUAAAAAUAAUGGCUGAAAAAAAUAAUUAAUAUUGGGGGUUCGAACCAGCCUUCCCUUAGAGAAUCAGAGCACAUUUGAUCCCUAGACCACAAGGAGUUUUUAGACAAAUGUGGCCACAUUUGACCCCUAGACCACAAGGAGUUUUUAGACAAAUAUGGCCGGUAAAAUAGUUAUUAUGUUGGUGGCGGGAAGCAUUUCAUCUGCUUAGACCCAGGUGCGGCUCUGAGAACAUCUUCAAUCUACAUUUAUAUUUUUAUAAGAAAUAGAAAAACUGCACAAAAAGGAUUUUUCUAUAUUAUAUGCUUAUAUAAUAUAAUUUUUCUCUGUAAUUGAAAAAAUAGAAAUAAGAUUAUAUUUUCUCUAUAAUUCUCUUUACAAAAAGUAUCUAUUUAUUAUAAGAAAUAUACUGAAAACAAUUUUUUUUAUAAUAUAGUUAUUUUAUUAUGCACGUUUGAUUUGUAGUUGUAACGUUAUUUAUAUCGGAUAUAAGUCCUUUCUUCUGUUACUAAUUAAAGUAUUCUGACUAUCUAAUGACUAGAUGAUAAUCUGCGCUCAUGCGCAUGAUACGUUUUUAUAAUAAUGUUUGUUUAUUAAAUGAUUUUAACAGUUUGCAACACUACAAUCUUUAUCGAUUAUAAAAUGACAAAUAAAAAUGUUGGUCUUUUAAAUAUAUUAUCGUUGUUAAAUUGUUAACAUAGUACAUCUCAUUUUAAUUAUUUUUAAGAUUUCAUAUGCAUAAAAAGAAAUUAAGUUUUGCGGGUGACACAAAUCACCAAAACUAAAUAGGCAACAUCGAUUGUAUAUGACGAAAGAGAAUUAGAUUUUCUCCUAUCGAUUUGUUUACUAUUGACUCUCCAUAAAUGAUUUCAUUUUCUACCUCUAUAAAAUUGUGCUUUCGUUCUCUUCUUUGUUUCAUUGAUAUGAGUUAAGUUUUUUUUUUUAACUUCUUCUAUGAAUUCGGUGAAUUACAUAAGUGUCAAUUUUAAAAGUUGGACAUCUCUAAAAAUUAGUUUCACUCCAAAUACAUAUCUAAGAAUCAAAAUUUUGAAAAAAAAAUCAUUGGCAAACUAUAUUAACAGGUUAGCGUUCAAAUCUAAUAUAUUAAGCUAUUAUAGAAUAUAAGUGCAGACACGAAAUAUAAUUGUCUGUCUAGUAUAUAUUCACUAGCUCGGUCUAAAAAUCAUCUAAUUUUUGAACAAUAAAACAAAUUACUUAUUUCACCAGUUCAGAUAAUAUCUGAAUCCAAACAGGUAAUAUCCGAAUCCGAAUGGAUAUCCGAAGAUAACCAAACUUAAGUAUAUUUAACCCUAUAUUUCUAGUUUACUUCUCUUAUUUUAUUCAAAAUAUUUAUAUUAAUGAUGCUUAUUGCUCAAAAUUAGAUAAUAUUCAUAUAAUUAUGUACAAAAUCAUUUACUACUCACUAAAAAUACAUAUCAAACUCGUGUUUCUUGCAUUAACAAAAGUUGCAUCUAAAAUUUCAAAACAACAAGUAAAUUAGUGUCUUUCUAUUUUUAAAGUGUUAUUUCCAAACCUAUUAAUAUUUUAAUCUUUUAAAAAUUAGAAAACCAGUUAAGUUAAAAUAUAUUUUAAAUACAAAAAACUUAAACAAUGAAUAAUUGAUUUAUUUUCUUCAAAAUUUAAAUAUCCGAACUGGCCCAAAAUAUCCGAACCCGAACAUAAAAUACCAGAACCCGACUCGAAAUGUAGAAAUAUCCGAACGAGUUCUAUACAUUUUUAUUGAAAUAUCUGAUACGAACCCGAACGUGUAUCUGAACGCCAUCCCUACGAUAUAUGAUCAUUUGUAGCUUGCUUGAACAAAAAAAAGUUAAACCAUUGAUCACAAAAUUUUCAGUGUGAGAUUUUUACCUUUUUUAUUAAUUUAUAGUCGUUUUUUUAAAAUUCAAAAUAUAACAUAUAAGAAAAAAGCUAAUUUUUUUAUUAUAUGAUUAAUGUGAUUGUUUAAUUUAUUUUAAUAGUAUAAAAUUAAACAAAAAAAAAGAGGGGUUAGAAACAUUGUUAUCAAAUAUGUAUUAUUCAUAAUCAUUAAUUGUCAUAUAUAUGUUAACCGUAUUAGAUAAUUCCGUAACUUUUAUUUAAGGAAAGAAAAAAUAUUUAAUUUGAUAGUUAGUUUAAUAAAAUUCAUAAUAUAUGUUUAUAUGGAUCAACUUAUUUUUCUAACAAUUGUAAGAAUCUUUAUCGUGAUGAGAUAUGACUAUGAAAACAUGCCGUAAGGGUUCGGGGUUAAUAUACAUAUGGGAUUAAAACUGUUUUUUAGAGCAAAAAAAUAGUAACUAUGUCCUUUUAGACUAAUCUAUAUUUUGUGUCAUAUUUUCCUAUAAUACCCUUUAAUAUUUAUGAAAAUAAUUUUAAUAAAUAGUUUUACAAACAAAAAAAUUUUGGAAAAAUAGUAACAUUUGUUAAAAUACCUAUAUGAACUUAAUGGUAUAUUUUCCAGUUAUAAAAAAGUUAAAAUUAUAAAUUUCAGAUUAUGUUCUAAAAAAAGUAGAAAUGACAUUCUACGAAGUAGAAAACGAAAUCUACUUUUUUCAUUGAAUCUACAAUGUUUAGAAUACGUGAUCUACGUAAAUANNNNNNNNNNNNNNNNNNNNNNNNNNNNNNNNNNNNNNNNNNNNNNNNNNNNNNNNNNNNNNNNNNNNNNNNNNNNNNNNNNNNNNNNNNNNNNNNNNNNNNNNNNNNNNNNNNNNNNNNNNNNNNNNNNNNNNNNNNNNNNNNNNNNNNNNNNNNNNNNNNNNNNNNNNNNNNNNNNNNNNNNNNNNNNNNNNNNNNNNNNNNNNNNNNNNNNNNNNNNNNNNNNNNNNNNNNNNNNNNNNNNNNNNNNNNNNNNNNNNNNNNNNNNNNNNNNNNNNNNNNNNNNNNNNNNNNNNNNNNNNNNNNNNNNNNNNNUACAAAGCCAAAAAAAUCGAUUUGGGAUUCUUUCCUCGGCACGGGAUCGAUCGAUCUAUUCUUACAGAUCGGUCGAUCUGUGUAAAUCGACCUUCGCCGAUCGAGAGAAAUGGACCAGGUCGAUCAGUAUAUAUUUCGCGUUUUUUUUGUUCUGAAUAAUGAUCGGGAUCGAUCGAUCCACUAUAACUUGUAAAGUGGGAUCGAUCGAUCCCCCUUGUCGAACUCAAUAUAUAUCUUUUUAAAAAAAUUACAAUUUUAAGGGCAUUACUGCCAUUUUAGAAAAAAUUAGUCUGAUAAGACAUAAAGUAGUAUAAAUUAGUCUAAAGGGAUAUAGUUACCAUUUUUUUGCUCUAAAAAAACAGAUUUCCCUAUUUAUUGACGUAUUGAUAAUUUACACCUUUUCCAUAAUAAAAUAAAACAGUGGGUCCCACACUCAUGGCCAUCUUAGCCGUCCAACCUUUUUUUCUUUAAUAAGCUUUUCUGCUGGCCGACCUUUACAGGUGGUGAUUACGUGUCCGUGCCCAUCUACUGAAAAAACAGAAAUCUGAUUACAAUUAAAAAAAAUAGCGAUAAUUGUAGUUUUUUUUUUAUGCGAUAAUUAUAGUUUGAUAAAUUGAUACUCCAACUUCUAAUGGCGCAGACAAUAUGAUCCGUUCUUUUUGAUGUAGAAGCCAUUUUUAAAAAAUGAUAAUAUAUUCAAAAGUUAUUAACUUUUUCAUGUUGGUUAAGUAUUAUUUCGAUUAAGAUUUGACUAAUUUUUCUUGCUUUCGGAAUUAAGUCACAUAUCUUCCUUUCUUUUCUUAGUUUUCUGGAUUAGAAUUUUCAUAAUUAGCAUUUCUAAACUAAUUUUCUUUAAAAUUUGAGGAACAUUUUAAGUAUGCACACUAUUCAUACCAUUUCUAGUGAAAAAUAUUGACACAAGUUCGCAAAAAAAAAAGGGGUUAUGGUUGCAACUUACAUGAUACAAAAACAUGUUGUCAAAAAAUACAAAAAAAAUCUAUGAAGGAAUUUUUAAUUAUAAUAUAUAUACCGAAAACUUCUUUAAUCUUUUGUUUAAAACAAAGAAGCAAUUGAACAAAAAAAAAAGGUGGGGGUGAAGAUUUGAUCUGACGUGGCGACAGAUAUGUGGGCCCAUUUUCAAGUGGAAUCCUACCUGGCAUACACUCAAGUGUCAGCGAUCGGACACAUGCACAAUGAAAUCAAUCGAAGUAACUUGUCGCCAUGUCAUUAUCAGUCAAUACAUGGGACCCAUAUUUUUGCAUUUAUUGGUCCCACCCACCGGCCUAUACUUGUCGUCAAUAAUCCACGUAGAUUAAAUAAAAAGUGAAAACAAAAACGAUAACGCUUAUUGUUGGGUAAAGAAAUAGAAAACUCGAAGAACCUUUUCUUUUUACAUUUAUAACAACAAAAGUAAAUAAACAAAUUGUUUUCCAUGUUAUCGGUUAGAAAUAAAAAUGAAAAACAACUGGGUGAUAUUUUCUACAAAGUAACAACUGAAUGAUUUAAUAAUACAUCGGAUUAUAUUUGUUAUAAUAAUUUAAGCAAAAAAAAAAUUGUUAUAAUAGAUGCGAGAAUAUAAAGUGAAACAGGUGAAUAAAACGCAAAAAGUUAACAUUGUUUAUUUGUUGCUACGUCUACUAUGAAUAACUUUUUAUCAUUAUGACUUGAAAGUAUUAUUCAGAUUAUACAAGAGUUUUUUUUUUUGAACUUUAAUUAUACAAGAGUUACUUAACAUAAUAUAUAACGAUGAUGACUAAACGUAUUCCGGUUCCGAAGCUACCAGCCAUGUACGACGAUGAUGGCUUUUUUUUUUUUUUGAGCAAAUACAACGAUGAUGGCUAGAAGUAUAUUUUAACACGAAACUCGUUAAAAACAAAUUUGUGAAGGAAAGAGCUUUAAUUAGAACAUCAAUAAUUCAAUACUAACUAAAAUUUAAGAUUAUCAGUAAAACGAAAAAGGUAGUUAGCAAACAAAUUAUGCUGAUAUUCAGUUAUUCACUGCCAAAAUAUUCAGUCUACUAAAAAUGUCAUUUUCAACCCAAAAUAAGAUUUAAGUAAACGAUUCCAUAUUCCCUUAUGAAGAAACGUUUAGCUAAAAGAACAACCAUAUUUGUAUGUAAAAUCAAAUAUUUCACUUCAUUGUGUCCUAACUCAUAGUUUUUUUUUUUUGAACAACUCCUAGUAUACCUAGAUCUACCAGGUGUUAUGAACACAUAUGAAGCCAAAUCAUGUUCACAGGAUAUAAACAUAUAUAUGUACUAUUUGACCUUGUGCUUUUGACAUUACAUGUGAUAUCUUAUCUGAAUCAGUAAAUAAUUUACUUUGUACAAUGUUAAGCAAACGCAAAAGUCCAAAUACUAGAGUUUAUAAUGACGUUCCUUUUCUAAUAUCGUGCAAUAUAUCUCAAUUCAAACAAAAAAAUAGAUUAUAAAUAUAAACGAUCUAUAUUUUUUUUGUCAGCAUAAACGAUCUAUAUAUAACAACAAUAUAAGAAGAGUUCUCAUCGAUUACUUCAACAUUUUAAUAACAGUACCAACCUUAUACCAAGCAUCUAAUCUAUUAUGAAUAAUAUUAAUUCCAACCACCUUUUUCAUCAAUUGUUUUAGGGAUCAACUUUUCUAAGUGACAAAAUUGAUGAUAUAAUCUGAUAGUAAUACAAAGAAUUAAUGGGGACUCUUGUGAAUACAGUUGCAGUGUCUUAUUAGGAUACUCUGACCCUUAAGGUCACCACCAAUAUUUUUUUUAAAUAAUAAUCGUUAGGAUAAAACUAAGUUGCUAAACAUUAGAUUAACUAUGUAUGAUCCGAAAUUUUGGUAUGAUUUCAGUGAGAAGAAUUGAUGAAAAUGAUUUGACAGAACUUGAAGAAAACUUCAGGAGUAGCGCAUAACGGUGGCUCGUGUGUUCAGACGGUUUAAACUUAUAAAUAGUGCUGCUAAGUUGACAAGUUACCGGGCUUAAAGUUUUUGAUAGAUUUACUUUAAAACAUAUAUCAUGAAUAUGUUGGGUUCCUUCUGGUCCAUGAGAUUAGUAUUGGACCUUUAGGGUUAGUGAAACACAUAUAUAUAGUCUCUUGACCUAAUUUUUUAUGUAGAGACUUACAAGAAUAAAAAAAACAAAAGAGAGAAAAAAAGAAAGGAGACAGAAUUUCGUCUGGAUUUGUCAAAGCAGAUUUGGAGGGUCAAACGGAUCCUGAUCGGACUGAUAUUUUGUGGGAAGCUUCUUCAGUCAGUGAGUUAAAGGUUCACCGAAGGGAUUUAGAUUUCAACGGUUGGAUCUUCUGUUGUCUGGGUUUUAGUGAAGCUGGUCGUCACAGUUCUUCAGCAGUGCUGUCUUGAGUGAUUGGUAAAUCCGACGGUGAGAUCUUCUCUGAUUGAGCUGAAAUUUGGUAGAGGUGUUGUUGACUGGUUUAUCUUAGAUUUGUAUGGUGCGAUUAGUCUCUGGUUGCCGAAAUCCUUGUGAGCUGAGGUCGUUUGGUUUCUGCUGGUUUUGAAGCUUUGUGUUGCUCUCUUGUUGUUGUUGUUCUUGUGUUGGAGAUAGCUCUUUGUAGCUUGAGUCUAUGUUCUGUUCAGGUUGUUGAACAGGGAGGACGUGGUUGUACUCACAUACAUUUAUAUAGUGGAUUGUUGAGUGUACUACGGUCCAGUGGUUUUUCCUUCUCGAGGUUUUCCACGUAAAAAGUGUUUGUCUCAUUUAGUUAUUGCUUAUAUUAUAUCCUGAUAUCGUCGAAGUAUUUUUCUCUCAGAUUCUCACAAGGUCAGGGGAAACACGAUUGCUACAUUCCGCUGCGCUUCGUGUCCGCUUUCCCAACAGAAUACGAAUCGACCAGCAUGCUCGGCGGUUUUUUAAGAUUGCAGGUCGUAUUUUUAAUAAGUAAAACAAAACAACUCGACCAGCAUGCUCAGCGGUUUUAUAUCGCUUCAGGCAUGCCGCAUGCAUAUCAGUCUACCUCAUGCAAUGUAUAUUAAACUUGAAGUCAUGGAUUUUAUAAAAUGUUUCUUAAGUCCGAUAACUUCUAGAGGUCGUUCAAAAGCAGAGGUAACAAAACUUUUCACAUAUAGUAACGCUCAUCUCUCUCCUUUUUUCUUUCUUUCAAAAAAGUAACGCUUAUCAAAUAAUGUGCCACUCAGUUUAGGACCUUUAGAUUCCUUCGUUUUUUUGGGAUACCUUGGAAUUAUCAUACAAUCGCUAUGAAAGCCGCUCUGACCAUUACCAAUCCAUUUGAGAGAUUUUAGUUAACUAUGUUUAACAGUGUUAACAUUGGACGGGUCGUCUAACCGAGGUGACUAUGUUCUCGGUAUUUAUGUCAUAAUAUUGUUUCGUGAUACACCCCCACCUAUAUAGCAAUCCGAUUUUGUAUAAACUUUUCAAAAUUUAAUUUCAGAUUUUAUGGUAUAAAAAAUCCAGUGCACGGAUCAUUCAACUGUGUUACACUAGAUAUAAUCCCACCAUUUACAUGUAUAUAAUUUCUCCUCGUCCAUCAUCACUUUCUUCCAAAAUGUAUAAAAUCUGAUAUAAAAAUGGUUUGGAUUACCAAGAAGAGAUGGAGGAAAUCCGGGAUCCUUCAUACCUAAGACCACAACAUGUGAUAUUAGUUUUGUAAUUCAAUUCUACAACAUUUAAGUUUUAUAUAUGAUGAUUUUUCAGUCGAACUGAUGAUACUGAUAAAAGAUUUAUAUUACAUAACAAAAAAGGAUUUGUCUUAAAUAUUUACAACUAGACGUUAAUCGCAAGUGGUGUCUAUCAUUAAGACAAACUGUACAUGAUAUUUCUUUCUCAAACAAAUAUCACCAAAAGCUUCUUUUCAUCUCAUGAAUUAUGAUUGCAAGAGAAUAUUAAUUAAACUAAUACUUAUUUUCUUUUAUAAAAUAUUUUUCCCUUACAGAUAUUUAAAAGAGAAGAUUCUAUAGUACUGCUUUUUUAGUAUUUGUUUCUACUAUAAAUAAGCCAUCUCCUCGAGCAACACUCUUCACACAUCAAAGCAUCACACACACAAAUACACAUUUUCUCUUCUCUUCUUUGAUCUUUUCCUCUCUUCUACACAUUCAAAUGGCCACUGCUGAUGUAUGCAUACAUAUGUUCUUAAUUUUUUUCAAACCCAUUUCUCAUUAGUCUAAAGUUUGAUUAGCGAUCCAGUUCUAGAUUCAAUGUUUUUCACUUGUCUUAAUCCACUUAGAUGCUUAAGUUUACACAAUAUAUACAUGAUCCACAACAUGAGAAAAUAUUAUAUAUUCUGUAACUAUACCAAACAAAAACCUCAUGCAGUUUUGAAUUGAUCUUAUAUGUGACAAUGGUUUUGCAGGUUGAACAAGUGACUCCAGCCGCAGCUGAGCACGUCGAGAUGACACCACCAAAGACAGUAGAGCCUGAGGAAACAGUCGCCGUUGUGACUGAGUCUGCUCCAGCUCCGGUAACAGAAACUGAAGCUCCCGUGGAAGAAACAGAGGAAACCAAAACCGAGACGAAAGAGGAAGAAGCUCCCGUCGAAGUAACCACUAAAGACCUCCCCGUGGAAGAAACAGAGGAGACCAAAACAGAAACUGAAGAGUUCAAGAAAGAGGAAGAAGCUCCCGUGGAAGUAACCACUAAAGACCUCCCCGUCGAAGAAACAGAGGAAAUCAAGACAGAGGCGGAGGAGAUCAAGAAAGAGGAAGAAGCUCCGGUUGUGGAGGAAGAGAGCAAAGCAGAGGAAGUCGUAGAGCCUAAGAAAGAGGAAGAAGCUCCGGUGGUUGUGGAGGAAGAGAGCAAAACAGAGGAAGUCGUAGAGCCCAAGAAAGUGGAGGAAGAAGUGAAGACAGAGGAUACUCCAGCUGUUGUGGAGGAAAAGAAGAAGCCAGAAGCAGAGGAGGAGAACCCCACUGAAGUAGCAGCCGAGGAAGCCGCCGCAGCUCCGGUGGGAGUUGCCGUGGAGAAGGCUGAUGAGUAAAUCUGAAAGAAAGAAGUUUGCUACUUUAUAAGUACGUUGCGUCUUUGCUUUGUUGUUCUGAGUCUGUCACUCUUGGUGGCCCCUUUUGCAUCAUCUCCCUCUCUUUAUUCCUACUUUCAAUGUUUAAUAUAAUGAAUCCUCUUUAAAUAAACGAAACUCAUCUCUUGCUCACUACAAUACAAGUAACCGUUUGGUCCUAGAAUCAUCACUUAGAACUAAUAUCUAAGAUUCAUAUCUAAGCAAAAAAAAAACUUACAAAAAAGUUUCAGAAGCUUCUAUCUUUAUGUUCUUGUCUCUCCAGCGAAUAUACCCAUCAACUCAGCCACAAGCUCCUCAUCAUCAUCAUCAUCAUCAUGUUUCCUCACAUACCUUUUCAAGAAAUCCUGAUCUGUACAUACCAAAACAGUUGACACUGGAGGGAGUUCACUUUUGAUCAACCCUUUGGCAAUAAGAGCUUUGAUUACAUUACACCUAGGUACCAUCCUCUUCUCCAUGCUGUAUCCAAGCACCUGAGGGUACGAAGCCACAGCCUUUAGUGGCCAACCCAUCUCCUUCACAACAAACUCGAUCUUCUUCUUCACCGUCUCCACAGAAUACCCAAUGCACGGAGGAAGACGCUUGACCAUCAUAGCAACAUCCUCUCUGCUGAAACCUAAGCCUAUGAAUGUCUCAACAGAGUUCAAUAUAUUCUUCUCUGAAACACCAAUGCACUGAGGAAACCUCUUCACCACUAACCGGACCUCGUCUUCCAAUAGUCCACACUUUCUCAUGGUCUCGAAGUUCAGAGUUAUCUUCCUCUCAGAGAGUGUCAAGAAAGUCGGAAACUUCUUGAACAUUACCCAUAUAUCUUCCACAGCAAACCCUAAACGCUUAUAGACGUUCACUUUCUCCUCCAUUGCUUCCUUGUUCAGCCCCUUGACAACUCUCAGAGCUUCAAGAAACUUAGGCGUAGUUGGAUCAAAACCCAUCUCAAGAACCUUCUUGAGAGACUCCUGAAACGUCUCUUUCCCACAGAUAUGUGGGCACUCUGAGAUUAGCAAAGGGAACAGCAACCUCUGAGGCACACCAAUACCUCUCAAAGCCAACACAUUUCUGAUUUUAUUCUCCUGUUUACCCCUCUGUGGGGAUAAAGUUUCCAACUUUGAGCUCUUAUCCGCUUCCAUGACCUCUUUGACGAAGUCGUAGUACACGCUUAAAGACCUGUCCUUUGACAAGAUCUUUGGAACUUUCGAGAUGGUUUCAGUUAGCUCUGAGGCUGAAGAUACUUUUGAAUGUAAAGCUUGAAGCUUUGGAGCAAGAGACUUGUCAGCAUCUAGUGUAAGGAGCAGUGGGUAAUCUGUAAUGAUGGUGGAGAUUUGAGAAUCUGUGAAGCCGUGAGUUCUCAAGAGAUUCAGAACUGAAUCAGGGUUACACUUGUUGUUGAAGCUGACUUUCUUUGAGAUUGAUUCUGCAAGUUUUGGGGUGAAACCCAGUGAAUCAACGAGGUAAGAGACUGUAAAGUUCUGACCUUUGCGAGCAGCAGAGGAGAAGGGAGUGAGAUUCAGUGAGAGUCUACAUUUCUGCAACCUUCUUCCACGGAGAAUCAGAGAAUACAUGACAGAAACAGAGCAAAUGUUUGUUGUAAGUUUUUACUUGAUAAACCCUAAUCUCUCGUAUACGACGAUUAAGAACAUGGAUGGGCCUUGUGAAAGAACCUAUCUGCUAAUGACAGAUGAGAUGAGUCCUUCCUAGCAAAGCAAUAAGACCAUGUCCAACGGCGGAUUUCACCCGGUCCAUAAGACAAAUCCUUAAACAUAAUUGUAAUUAAAUACUAUUAUUAGCGAUAAAUCGACGAAGGAUUGGUCCGUCGCAGCGGACUUAAGGAUUCAAUCCUUAGCAACGUGUCACGUGGUGAGUGGGUCGAUUUUGUCUUUGGUUUGUGUAGGGUCAAAAAAAAAAAUCAUUCUCGAGCCAAACUGAAAAAAAAAUUUCUUCUCGAGAGAAAGGCGAUUUCGAGACGAUUUUGCUCGAUCUCUCUUCCUCGGCUUGUGUAAGGUAAAUCGAAGCUUUAACUCGUAGAUUUAUCGAUUAGAGAUCACUCUCCAUCUUGUUUGUUCUGUAUUAAGGGUUUGGUUCUCGGAUUUCGACCGAUUUGAGAAAAUUUUCAAAUUAGGGUUUCAAAAAUAUUUGGGGAUAAAUCGAUUUCAGGAUUCUUUGGGGGUUUAGAUAGGGUUUCGAAACGUUUUUGGUUUCGAAAACCUUUGGUAUCUCCACGGUUAUAAAAAAAAAAAACAAUCCGAUUCUUUUGUCAAUUUGAGACUUUGGUUGCUUGUGUUUUACUGCUUUGUUUCUUGUCGAGAUUAGCCUUUGGUCACAGUAUUUGGGAGAGUUAACCUUCGUUUGAUACAUUGUUAGAAACUUCUUGUUCACACAAAAAAAACGCCACAGAUAUCAAACAGAGAUCGGUGUUGCUCAGAAUUUAUGAGAUGAAUUAAUUGGUGUUUGUGGACCAUUGUAUAAUUUCAAUAUGUCACAUCUUGAUCUGAAAAUUAUUACUGAAUUAUAUCAUACUAGUUAGUUAUUAUAAAAGUUAAUAAUACUUUAAGAAUAAAAUGAGAAAACUUCUUAUUUGAAUUCAGAUUUGAAUAGUAAUUUGUUUAUUUAGUAUGGUUAUUGAUAUGAUUCUGAUGAUGAUAAGGCACUCUGUUAAGACUAGUAUUAAUAUGCUAUUCUAUUUUAGUUAGUUCUAUUGAGCAAUUUGUUGUGGCCGGAAUCACGAACAUAUGUAAUCUGCAUUCUGAAAUUAUUUAAGCAGUAUUGGAAUCAGUUUAUGUUGUAAACCAUACUUUAUGUUUAGCUUUCUAACAACAUCUCCAAAAGACACUUUAUAACUUCAAAUAUGGAGUUUUUUGCUCUCCAAAAAGAAACUUCAAAACUUCAAAUUUGAAGUUUCAAGGAGUGAAACUCUAUAUUAAAGUUUCACUACUCAAAAUUUCAAACUUUUAUUUGCAUUUUAGUCCAUACAAUCACACAUCACCUUUAUGAUCCAUAAAUAUUUUUUUGUUUAUUGUUUUAAUCCUUAAAAAAUUAUAUCUCAUAAAUAUUUUAAAUUUUGUUUACAGAAUUUAAAUUUUACACAUAAAAUUAAAUAAAACUUUAAAAUAAGAUUUAAAAUAUUUUAACUAGGAAAACAAUAAUAUACAAAAGAAACUUAACAAAAAAUAUUUUAAAAAAUUAGAUGAAGACAUAACUAUUACACAAAUUUAAAUAUUACAACAACACUAGUAGCCAGGUAAGUUUGAUCCGGAACCUUCAAAAUUUUCAAAUAUUAUUACUUUUUUUUGUGCAACCGAAGAUGAUUGUUGUUGUUGUUUUUGAUGUCUUUUUCGUACAAUUUUUUUUUGUUCAUAUCCAAUAUAUUCAUGAGUAUUAAUAUCAUCGAAAAAAAUUAAGUAUUUUAGCAAUAUUUUAUGUUUCUAUUUUACUUUCUUGUUCUUAUCUAAUAUAUUUACAAGUAUCAAUAUCACCCAAUUUCAACAAAGUAAAAAUGAGGAGAGUCAUUUUUACUUCGAAAUACACUAAUAUAUCAUAUAUGCAUUACGAAAAUCAUUUAUGGAAUAAUAUGGUAUUUUGCUUGAAGUUUAAUAUUAAUUAAGUUAUUUUUAUUUAAAUUUUUAUAUUUUAUAGAAUAUUUCAUUAAUUAAUAUUGUUGUGAUAUGUUUAUAUAUGUGCUAGUUAUUUAUAAAAAUUUUAUGAAUUCAAAUUAGUUAUGACAAAUAUAAGGACCAUAUUAUAAAAUACAAAUAGUUUUGAAGUUGAGUUUGAAGUUUUGCUUUUGGAGAAUAAUAGCUUUAAACUUCAAAUAUAGAAUUUUAGAAACUUCAAAAUAGAGUUUCUUUUUAGAGAUGCUCUAAGGGUCAACAUCACUAUCAUGUUUUUUUAGAACCAAAAAAAAAAAACAUUACAGUGAUGCUGGCCCUUAGAAAGGUAAACACAAAGUAUGGUUUACAACAUAAACUGAUUCCAAUACUGCUUAAAUAAUUUCAGAAUGCAGAUUACAUAUGUUCGUGAUUCCAAUACUGCAUCACUAUCAUGUAUAUUGUGUACCUAUUCUGUAGUAUUUAGUUUGGGUCAACUAAUGUUGGAGUUGUACCAUUCCGAUGUUGCAUUGCUAAAUACAUGAUCGUUCUUUUCUGAUGAUGUUACUCUAUUUUCUGAUGAUAAAUCUAAUAAUGUGACAAUAUGUAGUUAAAAAUUGAAAUUUAUGAUGUUGGUGCAAACACUUGAACACUUCUUUUGUGCGGUAUCAGACCUAUUGAUUUUUUUUAGCUCAUAUAAGUUCUAAUUUCAGUGCAGGCGACAAAUAGAAAGAAUAACACUUAGCUGAUGUUUAAAGUCAAUAAUUUAAUCGUAACGGGAGACGUGGUAACUUUCUUAGUGUGUUGGAAUCAUUUUUAUUUGUCAUUUUUGUUUUAUGAGAUUUUAACAUUUUAGUAUUUUAUAGUUUUUUGGUGUCUAAUUUUCUUAUAGAAUUUUUUGGGCGUUACAAAGAAAAACACUUUUUGUUGAAAAUUAAUAUUUGCAUUGAUUUCUAGUAACUUCUUUUGAACUCAUUUAUUAUUUCAUUUUAUAUUAAAUCCAUUCACAUCACCUAACUCUAACUCUAACUCUAACUCUAAUUCAACCAAUGCAUUUUAGAACUCUAAUUCAACCAAUACAUUUUAGAGUGAAGAAAAAAACAAAAAGACUAUUUUCUUUAUUUAUUUUUUACAAUCAAAAUGUCAAAAUAAUUUCUCAAUCUUUGUUGAUAUUGAAUAACAUCCACAUCGGAUAACUAAAGUAAUUUGUUCUUUGCGAAUAGUAUUCGGAGUACAAUCAAGAAUUGUGGAGAAAUACUUCAAUGCAUGUAUCUUUUGUAUAAUCAUAACUUUCAUCUCAGUAACCAAUAUUUCAAUAAUUUCAUGGGGUUUUUGCCAAAACUAAUCCACAACUUGAUUUUAAUCCCAAACAUAUACCCAAACUUGAAUCAAAUGCGAAACUAACCUAAAAGCCUAGUGAAAUUACAGUUCAACCUCUUGUGACCAAACAAAAAAACAAAAGCCAUUUUUACGAAUAUAGCCCCAGUAAAUCGUCCGAGUCGUCUGAGAUGUUAGAAGUCGUCUGGACGACUGAAGUGUAAGUCGUCUGGUACCAGCUUAUUUUAAAAAUAAUUUAUAAAUCUUGUAAAAAAAUAUUUUGAUGCGUGAAAAAUAAAAAUCAAGUAAUUAUAAACAGUUUUAAGUGAUAUAAAUUAAGAUAUGAUAAAAUUGAUUUGUUUUGAAGAUAGAUGAGUGGAAGUAGUGAAUCAUGAAAUACUUUGGUUUAGGAGUUUGGCAAACAUAUGUUGUAGUAUUGUAUGUAUUGUUAGGGUUAGAUUUUGGAAAACUAAAAUGUUUUUUUCAAAAAUUAGUUUUCACCUAUAUGUGUUUAUUUCUGUGUAUAAUAAACACUUUUCAAGUUUGAUUUGGUUUUAUGAAGUGUUUAACUAGAUAAUUAAGUUUAGGGGUUAUGUUUAGGGUGUGGACGACUUAUAUUUCAGUCGUCUGUUGAAUAAUUUACCCGGACGACGCAUAUUUCAGUCGUCCACAUCGUACCGAACCUUUAAUUUUACCAAUGUACGUUUUAACCUAACCGAAUCAUUUUACUCGGACGACUUACAUUUCAGUCGUCUGGUGAAGAAAUUAAAAUAGACGACUUAUAAUUCAGUCGCCCAAAUAUUCCCGAAUAAAUUUUUUUUUUAAAAUUAUUUUCCCGCUUGAAUAAUUUAAACCAGACGAAGUCUUCUAUUUUACUUUCCCGCUAAAAAUAUUUAAUUUCCCACUAAAAAUAUUAAACUCUUCUGGACGACUUACAUGUAAGUCGUCUGUUUUAAUUUCUUCAACAGACGACUGAAAUGUAAGUCGUCUAGGAAGUCGUCUGAGUCAAAAAUAUUUAACCUAAUUGGAUUUUUUGUCUCCCUCUAUAAAGAAAAAUUUACACAUUCUCUCUCCUCCUCUCAAAUGGCUGCAACAAAAAUGUAAUGUUCAUCAUUUUAAAACUCUCCAACCUCUCUCUAAUCUCUUUGACUUGAAAACACCAAACUUUAUAUGAAUUUUUCAGUUUUGUCUCAUGUAUUUCUUACUGAUCUAUCUCUUUUGUAGGUUUUUAAUCAAAUGGUACUCAUCUUCCACUAAUUUAAAGGGAGAUCUAUUAAUUUUAGAUAUGUAUUUUUGUGUGUUCUAUAAAUGUAGAUUUAUCUAAUCUUCCACUCAUUUUCUCUAUUUUUAAGUCAUUUGAACGUUUUUGGAUAUGCAGGUUUUUCAGAUCUGGAUUUGAUAUGCAGGUUUUUCAGAUCUGGAAGACUUCUGAGACGACUUACUUGUUAGUCGUCUGGAAGUCGUCUGGAAGUCGUCUAGACUUCUUGGAAGUCUUCUGACAAAGUCGUCUGGACUUCCAGGAAAUCGUCUGGAUUUUUCUGAGCGUUUUGGUAAGUUCUUAUGUCUGAUUUUUCUUCAUUUGGUAACUUCUUGUUGUAUAAAGUUCUUACUUUUUUCCCAAAAUAAAACUCUCCAAACCCACUCUAAUCUCUUUGACUUGAAAACACCAAAACUUUAUAUGAAUUUUCAGUUUUGUCUCAUGUCUUUCUUACUAAUCUAUCUUUUUUACAGGUUUUUAAUUAGAUGGUACUCAUCUUCCACUAAUUUAAAGGUAGAUCUAUUAUUUUUAGAUAUGUAUUUUUGUGUGUUCUGUAAAGGUAGAUUUAUCUAGUCUUCCACUCAUUUUUUCUGUUUUUAAGCCAUUUGAACGUUUUUGAAUAUGCAGGUUUUUAAGAUCUGAAUUUAAUAUGCAGGUUUUUCAGAUCUGGAAGACUUCUGGGACGACUUACUUGUUAGUCGUCUGGAAGUCAUCUGGAAGUCGUCUGGAAGUCGUCUGAAAGUCGUCUGAAAGUCGUCUGGACUUCCUAUAAAGUCGUCUGGAAGUCGUCUGAACUUCCUAAAAGUCUUCUGACAAAGUCGUCUGGACUCCCAAGCUUGUCUACUCAAGUGGAAUCCAAGCUUGUCUUUGUAGAGGAAUGAUCUAUAAUAGUUUUGUUUGUGGUCUGUUUUGUGAAUUGCAUGUCUACUCUUUUAGUUGUGAAUUUUUUGUAAAAUCAGUAAUAAUGUUUUCCAAGAUGUAUUAAAUGUGCUAACAAUGUGUUUACAUAUUUACAAACCAAUGAAAUAAUAGACUUCAGUAGCCUUUUUCUUAUCUUUGGAUCUCUCAUAUGCAAUAAUAAACUCCAAUGGCCUUUUCUCAUCUUAAUAAACACGAAUGUUGGUAGCUUCAUAUUGAUACAACAUUUUAAGAAGCAUUUAACCCUUCUUCCAACUCAUAACAAUAGUCAUCAUUAUUGUCUAUAACAAUAAUACUUAAGAGAUGGAAACAAACAAUAGUAACUAGUCAAAGCAUAUCAUAUUUUUUUAUAAGUUUGCGUUGAAAAACUUAGUCAAAUUUAGUAAAACUAAGGGAGAGAACAUAUUUUGUAAAUAUGAGUUUUACAUAUCUUGAAGUUACUUAUCACUCUUAAAAAUACAAGUUAUUCAAAAACUAACGUAAAAGACUAAAAACUAGCGGAGAAGACGCGGACGACUUCAAUCUAAGUUGUCCAGACGACUAAACUAUACGUCGUCUGGUCAACGCAGAUGUUAUUUUUGCAAUUGACUUUGAAAUCUGUUAUUUCGGAUGACUGAAAAAUAAGUCGUCUACUAUUGUUUGGUUAAAAAAAAACUCCAAAAAAGCUAGACGACUUACAUUUCAGUCGUCAUAGGCUAGUUUUGCAUUUGACUGGAUUAUUUCAGAAGUUUGACUUUUCUGGAUGACUUACAUUUCAGUCGUCUAGUGAAAAUUAAAAUAAUAAUAUUUUUUUAAAAGUAGACGACUUACAGUUAAGUCGUCAUAGGUUAGUUUUGCAAUUGAAAAAAAAAACUUCAAAAUUUAAUUAUAUACAGACGACUUAUAAUUCAGUCGUCCAUGAGACGACUGAAAUGUAAGUCGUCCAGGAUUUACGAGGUUUGACCAGAAUCUCGGAAAAAAAUCCUCGACGACUUACAAGUAAGUCGUCUGUGUAUAAUUAAAUCUUGAAGUUUUUUUUUUCAAUUGCAAAACUAACCUAUGACUACUUAAUUGUAAGUCGUUUACUUUAAAAAAAAUAUUAUUAAUUUAAUUUUCGACAGAAGACUGAAAUGUAAGUCGUCUGGGGAAGUCAAACUUCUGUAAUUAUCCAGUCAAAUGCAAAAAUAACCUAUGACGACAUAAAUGUAAGUCGUCUAGGUUCUUUGGAAAUUUUUUUGAAACCAAACAAUAGUAGACGACUUAACUUUCAGUCGUCUCAGGUUACAGAUUUCAAAGUCAAUUGCAAAAAUAACAUUUCCGUUGACCAGAUGACCUCCAGGUAAGUCGUCUACAGCCAGACGACUUCCCAAGUAAGUCGUCUGACGAACAGAUCUGGAAAAAAACUCGAUGUCAUACCUUAAAUGUGUGAGAUAAGUUCCUUAGCAUACAUAAGGCUUCUCCAAGCACACAGAAUCACAAACGAUAGUCACCCACCCAGAAUCGUUAGCUUCUAUGACUCUAUGAACCAUAAAAAUUUUAGAAUCAAAAUCUUGGGUUUUUUUAGCUCAUUGUGGAGAGAAAGUGAGAGAUAUGUUUUGUUUAGUUCACAAGAAUGGAAAAAAAAGAAGGGUAAAUCGAUUUUGGGAGCAUUAAGAGCUUCAAAUUGGUUGUUCAUGGUGGUUGUGGUAUUGAUGACAAUGGCAAUCUUGUAAUUAUUUGAAGAUGAUGAGGGUGAGAGAGUAAAGAUGUCAUUUUCGAAAAAAAAAAAAUUGAUGGCAUUUUCGUAAAUUAUAUGAACAUGUGGGGUGAAUAGGGCAAAACCAAUUUUCAAAAAAAAAGGAGGUUAGUUUUGUGUUUGACUUUAAGUUGUAGGUCAAUUUUGCAAAAAUCCCUAAUUUCAUUCUGAAUUUUAUGAAUAAUAAAGAUAAUGCACAUAGAAUUUUUUUUUCAAUUCUUCUAAUAUAUAUGCUUACUAAUCAUUGCAUCAAACUCCUAAAUCAUCUCAAUAAAACCCAAAAUAUAAUUUUGAAUCUCUAGAAAUGAAGAAUUAUAAAAAUAUUUUUUCUUAAUAGCUUUAGAAACUACUCAAAACUAAAGCUUUCAGGGUUUUUCUUAGAUCUUUUAUGGAACAACUUCUAUGAGACCUAUAUUUAUACGAAAAACAAUUCACUUUAACAUGUGAGAUAUGAAAACAUAACCCUAACUUAAAUAAAAAACUUUUUUUUCCACUUCUAGAUUUCCUAAUUGUGUUUAUCUCUUAAUAUAUUAAACAUCUAAUAAUAUGUUAAGUUCUUACAAGCAUGAAAUUAUCCAACAUUCACCCCCUUAAUUCCAACUUGAAUUAGAGAGAUCAAUUUCUUAAACUUCGAUUAAGCUUCUCAUUUGCUUGAACUUAAUCCUUGCUAAUGGCUUGGUAAGGAUGCCGGCCUUCUGCUCAACACCCGACGCAUGCUCCACUUCGAUUUGUCCAUUAUCCACACACUGACGAAUGAAAAGAUAUCUUGAGAGUAUGUGCUCACUCCUUCCAUGGAAAAUCAGAUUAUUUGUUAGAGCAAUGGCUGAUUUGUUAUCGAUCAUAAGCUUGACUAUCUCGCCUUCUUCACUUAGUAUCUCACACAACAACUUUUUAAUCCAUAUAGCUUUCUUUGCUGCUUCUAUUUCCGCCAUGAACUCUGCUUCGCAUGAUGACAAUGCGACUAACUGCUGCUUCUGCGACAUCCAAGUAACCAAUAAUGAAGCAUAAUAGAAUUCAUGUCCAGACGUGUUCCUCUCGUCAUCGACAUCAAUAUUGUGGCUGACACUAUAGGAAAUGUGGGUAUUAAUAGCGGGUGUUAAACACUAUUAGUUCGUUUUAAUAGCGUUUCCUAAAACGCUCUGACAGCGCUCGUUAUCGUAGGUUCGACCUUUUUGAUAACGGAUCUUUCGAAUGCUAUAGUUAAAUAAACAACGAUAGCAAAUGUUUCGUGUUAUUAAUUUGUUUUUAAUUAACCAAAAAAUUAUUAAAAAUAAUUACCAAACCAAAACUCAUUAUUAAAUAAUUAAAAAUUAAAAAAAAAAUUAUUUCAUAAUUAAAAAUUAAAUUUUAUUUAUUAAUUAAAAUCAAUAUACAAAGAAUUGGUUUACAACUAAUAUCAGUUUAUUUAUUAACAUUGAUUUACACACAAACCUGACUUAUUAAAUUAACCAUAUCUAAACCAAACCUAAUAAACCAACCAAAACUAAACCUAAUCUACGCCGCUGCUUUCCUCCCAUCGUGUGUCAUGUCGCCACCGUCGUCCUCUUCCAUCUUCUUCAUCUUCCUUACGUCUCUGUCUUCUCCCUCUUUCUCUUUUUCUUCUUCUUGCUCGGCUCCAUCUCCACCAGCACAGCUUCUUCAUAUUCGGCUUCUUCCUGUAACAAGAACAAACAAAUCAAAAAUUAAAUUCCAAACACAGAGAGAGAACAAUGACUAUUGAAUAUGGACUGCAUCAGACACACCGUUCAAUGUUGUGACACUACGAGAACAAGAAUAACCACAAGCCCCAUUAUCAAUUCCACUUCCUCUUCCCCGUCCCUGAAGCCAAAUCCCCAUUUAAUCAAGUUACAAUCUUGUCAAACAACAUUAAUCAUUCAAAAAUCUCAAAACAAAACAAGGAACAUAUAACAAACCUGAGAUACGGUUGGUGUUAACUAAGACCAUGAAUAUGCAUCUGGAAAAGAAGAAGCUUUUAGAAGAGGAUAGAUAAAAAGAGCGGUUGAGACAGAGUUCAUUGGCGGAGGUAGAGAACGAGGAGGUGGAGAUAAAGAUGAUGGUCGCAGAGACGGAGGUAGAGAACGAGGAGAUAGAGAUGGCGGCGUCGGAGGUUAUGGUGAUGGUGGUUGUGAAAGAUUUUUUUUAUGGGGUGAUUUUGUGUAAGGAUGAAGAAGCUAGACAGAAAAAAAAAAGAGAAUACGGAGGAUAGGAGGAUAGGAGAAUAGGAGGGUAGGAAGAAACGCAUUUUCAGUUUGUUCAUUAUUGGCCGUUGGAUUUAGUUUAAUAUUUGGAAUUAAAUUUUUAAAAGGUUAAAACUCGAAUAUAUUUAAACUUAAGAUUUAAGAUUAAAAUAAGAAAAUAUCUAAGUUUUAGGGUUGAUUUUUAAGUUUAGGGUAUAGGAUUUAGGUUUUAGGGUUUUAAGGUUUAGGUUUUUUGGAGGGUUGAGAAAGAAAAUAGAAUGAGAGGGAAGAUGAAAAAACGAAGAUGAGAGGGAAAAUGAAAAAAAUUAGACACCAUGUUUUUUAAAUAAGUAUCUGGCGGCAAAAAUGAUUUUUUUUGCCUCAAUGUAUGAUAGCGCUUAAUUUUGGAUCUGCAAUGGUAAGGCACCUACACUUAACUAAUUAACGCGGCUAAAUUUUUUUAUUUUCCCGCGAUAGCAAUUAUAGCGUUUUAAAUUGACAAACGCUAUAAAAAAAAUAAGUGUUGGUAUACAAUAGCAGAACUGUCAUAAACGCUAUAAUUUGAUGCUAUUAAUACCCACAUUUCCUGUAGUGUGAUGUCACUAUAACCAAUGACGCUCCUUGUCCAAUCUCUCUUGAAAAACGAAGUUUGUUGUUCCUUUCACAUAACGUAAUAUGUGCUUGAUCGCUUGUCCAUGAGAGUCUCUCGGAUUGUGCAUGUAUCUACUAAGAACGCCAACUGCGUAACACAAAUCAGGUAUUGUGCGAAGCAUAUACCUCAAACAUCCUAUAAUUUUUCUGAACUCUGUAACAUCUAUCUCUCAUUCAUCUUCACCUUUUGAGAUCUUUAAAUUCGACUCCAUUGGAACUUGAGUCGCGUUACACGUUUUCAUUUUUGUGUCACACAGUAUUCCUUGAGCAUGUCUUUCUUUUUUUAUUCUAAUUUCAUGUGCUCCUUAAAUAACUUUAAUGCCAAGGUAGUACGUUAGUUUACCUAGAUCUGACAUCUCAAACUUCUUUAACAUAUCUUCCUUGAAAUGUUUAAUCACCUUAAGCAAAGUUUCCGUCACAAUGGAUCAUCAACGUAAAUGGCUAUGAUCAAAACGUCUCCUCCUUCACUCUUGCAGUACACUGAUGGUUCCUUCGUGCACUUCUUAAAUCUCAUCUCCUUCUGAACCUAAUCGAGUUUCACAUUCUAUGCUCUGGGUGUCUGGCGUAACCCAUACAAAGCCUUGUGUAACACAUAAACUCGAUCCUCUUCUCCUUUCUUUUCAAAAGCUUCGGUUGAGUUACAUACAUUAACUCCUUUAGAUCUCCAUUCAAGAAAGCGGUCUUCACAUCCAUGUGAUGUAUCUCCCAACCAUUUGUUGCUGCGAGGGAUAUUAAUAGCGUAUAGUUUCGAGACGUGUCACUGGUGCAAACAAUUCAUCGAAAUAUAUUCCUUGUCUUUGUAUACAGCCUUUGCCACAAGUCUCACCUUAUACUUGUUCACCGUACCAUCUGUCUUUCUCUUUGUCUUGUAGAUCCAAUUUAGCCAUAUAGAUUUCACUUCGGUCGGUCUAUCCACAAGCUCCCAUGUCUUGUUUCUUGUGAUAGACUCCAACUCAGCCACCAUUGCUUCAACCCAUUCUCGUUCAUUUUCAGCCUCAAGAUAGUUAUGUGGCUCGCCAUCCACUGUGAGCAACAAUAUUUCACUGUAUUGAUCUGUAAGUAACAUAUAAUCAUCGAGAUAUCUUGUUUUUGUUAUGGUGCGGCCGUGUCUAGUCACCAAUGGUUGUCCACCACCGUCUUGGUUUACAUUGUGAUCAGUAUCUUCUUCUUCUUCAUCUUGGUUUUUAGAUUUUUAUUCAUGAUAAUCACGUUGAUCAUUACCUUCUUCUAUAUCACCCUCAUGUGCAAGCUUAAGCAUACUUGGUUCACAAUCAGCUUGGUUUGUGUAGACAUGCAAUCCCAAGAUUUCUUCUCAUCAAAAAUCACAUCUCUACUCACCAUCACCUUUCUUGCGACUGGAUCAUAGAGUCUAUAUAGUAUUUGGAACCCGACUCAGUUCCAAGAUUGAUCAUACUCUUUGAUCUCUCAUCCAACUUCUUCAGAUAAGGUCUAGUGAUUUUCGCAUGAGCUACACAACCGAAUAUCCUCAAGUGCUCUAUAUUUGGUUUCUUUGAUGUGAGGCACUCUUAUGGCGUUUGAUCAUUCAAGGCUUCUAUAGGAACUUUAUUGAUGAGCUAAGUUGAAUGUCUUACCGCUUCUCCCCACAAGGAGUUUGGCAUCUUCAUUGCUUUAAUCAUACUUCUUGUCAUUCCCAUUAAGGUUCGGUUUCUCCUCUCCACAACACCGUUUUGUUGAGGUGUGUAAGGCGCAGUAAGGUGCAUUUUAACUCCAUUCCCUUCACAUAAUAGAUUGAACUCAGCUAAGGUAAACUCUUCUCCUCUAUCAGUGCGAAAAGUUUUAAUUGUUGACCCAGUUUGCUUCUAUACACUCUCCUUAAACCUUUUGAAUCUAUCGAAUACCUCACUCUUCUCCUUUAAUAAUAUAACCCACAUAUACCUUGAGAAAUCAUUGAUUAAGACAAAGACAUACUUACUAUUUGCUGGCAUUGGUGGGGUGAUUUGUCCACACAAAUCUCCAUGCAAUAAUUCUAAUGGCUUUGUCGCAGGUAACAUGGCCUUAGUCGGGAAUGAGUGUCUAAUUUGCUUCCCUGCUAGACAUGCGUUACACACGCUUUCUUUGUGUGUUACGCUCAGCGUUCCUACGACGAUCUCCUUUCUUACUAUGUUGUUCAUCACUCCAAAUCUUAUAUGUCCUAGUUGAACAUGCCACCUCCAUGUAGCAUCUUCAUCUCUGACAUGUAAACAUUAUGGAUAGAUGUCGUAAACUUGUAACACAUACUAGCAACCUUCCAUACGAAUAUGUGAGUGUUAAAUAAAUGUCUUUCAUCUUAACCUUACAUCCGUUUUUUGUUGUUUGUCCAAGACUCAAUAUAUUAUACUUCAGAUCGGGUAUGUAAUAUAUGUAUUUUAGUGCCUUCAUCUGUCCAGUGUUGCACACAAAGGUAACAACCCCUUUUCCUACAAUAUCAACACACGAUCCAUCACCAAACUUCACAUUCCCUUUGGUGUUUAUAUUCAGACUCGAAAAGAACUUCUUUUUCUCGUCAUGUGAUUGCUCGCUCCAUUAUCCAUAUACCAAACACUUGCAUUGACUUUGUUGAAAUCAAGAUUCUUUGGAAUUACCUUGUAUUCAUUCAAGAACACAACCUCAUGUAUAUAGAGGGCAUCAGCCUCUUGUGUCUCGUUUAGGUUGGUUUCUUGAUUCAUCAUUAACUUCUCGGGGCAGACAGUUUCAUAGUGACAUCUCCAACAUAUCACAUUUGAACAAUCCUUCUUCGAGUUUUUUUCUUCUUAUGUUUUUGAAUAAUGACGAGCAAAGUCGAGGUAAGUCACACAACCAAAACCAUGUGUCACAUACCGAAUAAUGACCAGCAACAAGGAAAGGCAUUAAAAUCUGAAAUGUAGGUUAAAUUGAAAACUAUACAGAAAACUGAGACUCUUCUCAGUCAUCACCACCAAAAUGAUACUUGAAACAUGUUAUGUAAGAAACAAGGCAACACAUUAGUCACAUAGAUUCCUUGAUUUAUUUUAUUUUUAGUGAAGUUAGCUAUCAACUCACCAACUCUUUAUGAUCAGGCCGACUUAUGGAAUGUGUCCAAGGUGCAUUUUGUUAAGAAUCUUAAUUAUUUUUCAAAAAAUUAGGGUCUACAAAAUCUAAUAAAAAUAAUUUUGUCAAAGUCCAAUAAAAGCUUGAGCCGGGCCUGCUUAUUAUCAUGCUUACAUCCAAAACUAGACCAGAUUUGUGGGAGUUCACUUCUCAGCAUGCCUUUGAGAUGAGAGUUUUAAUUGGGUUACACCUUGGGACAAUACUCUUUUCUCCAGGAUGUAUACAAGUACUGCAAGGUUUGAAACCACAACCGGCCAAUUCAUCUUCUUCAUAAGAAACUCAGUCUCUUCUUAACCUAUCGGAGAUUUUGCAAUGUACUCAGAAAGGGACAUGUGGUCAAUUACAAACCCAUUUCUGGUGAAUUCUAGGCCUAGAAAUGUUUCAGUGGAGUUGGCUAUUGUCAUCACAAACUCAUCUUUGCUCUAGAAAGCAAACGCGUUUUCAAAAAGGUUCAAAUGAUGUCAUCUAUGUAACUCGAUGACAGGUCUUCUUCAUGAAAUCUAUAAUAUAAUGAGCCAGUUGAGUCUUUCCUGAGGUGACACGUCAGCAUGUUUGUGGGACCCACGCCUUCUUUAAAAAAAAAGACUUCUGUUAUGGGCUUCGUCUAUUAUUGCGUGGGCUUCACUGGCCCGUGGGUAGUGACUAUUAUUGGUUUAUGGGCCCCACAUUUUAUUGGUUUGGUUUGGUAUGUAGCAAAUUCCGUUUGGUUCUCCGUGUUUGGUUUUAUGUGUAGCCCCUUCAGUUCCGUAUGGUUUAUGAAUUUGGUAUCAGCCUCAUAAAGAAUGUUUUGUUAUCCUUCGCCACUCUUCUUCAACCUCUAAACUCUGUUUGCAAACACAAAGUUUUUUUUCUAUCACGAUGUUAAGUAGUAGAGACCACCCCCUCCCUCCGCUUCCUUCCCUCCUUCCUCCAACGACGACCUCGAGAGCAUCUCCGCUCGGGGAGCCAAUUCCGAGUCAGACCCCGAGGAAUCAGAGGACGCCGUCGUGGACGACGACGAGGAAGACUUCGCUCCCGAACCUGAUCAGGACUCUUCGAUCCGCACAUUCACCGCCGCUAGGCUCGAUCCAAGCUCAGGAGCCAACGGUUCGAGUCGGAACACUAAGAUUAAGACGGAGAUCUCGACGGUGAAGCUUGAGGCUGGGACUGGGACAGCUGGCGUGAGCUCGGUAUCGGGGAUUGUGCCCAAGGAUGAGUCAGCUAAGAUAUCGACGGAUGAUGAUGUACAGAACUGCGGGGCGUACAUUGCAAGAGAAGAGGCUUUGAGAAGAGAGGUGUAGCUUUUAUCACUUUAUGCUUUUAUCAUUGUUUUAUAGUAAAGUUUUUUUUUUUAACUUUGGCCAUAUCUGUGUUUAGGAAGCAGCUAAUCGGCUCAAGUUUGUAUGUUACUCUAAUGAUUGCGUUGAUGAGCAUAUGAUGUGGUAUCUUCCUUCUCUCAAUCCCUUACAGAAAUUUAAGAAUCUAUUUCAGAGGAUUUUGUCUGAAUGAUUUUGUUCCAGCUUGAUUGGGUUGAAGAACAUAUUUGCAAGACAGCUACCUAAUAUGCCAAAGGAGUACAUUGUUCGCCUUCUCAUGGAUAGGUAUAAAGAAGUUUUCUUUUGCUUUAGUUCUUGCAAGAGCUAUUCCUUGUUGUAACUUGUAAGCAAUCUGAUAUCUGCAACUUAUGCUGUUUACACAGGAAACAUAAGUCUGUCAUGGUCGUAAGACCUCCGGCAGGUGGUAAUGGUAUCACUCAUGUUGUUGGUGGUAUCACGUAUCGUCCAUAUCACAGGUAAGGCCAACUUCGCGUUACUAUUCUCAACAUUCUUACAGUUACAACAAUGAUUCUCUUAUUAGUUAAGAUAUUCCUUGGAACUAUUCAAUACGCUCCUCACUCAAGACUGAAAGCAAGUAGUAUAUUGACUUAGUAGUUUCUUAUUUUUUAAUGUGUGUUGCUCUUCUAAUCAAGUCUUCUGUAAAUGUAUAAUGUGUGUUGUUGAUAAUAAAGAAGAUAUAUAAUUUCAUAAGUAGCGUCAUUACAGUCUUGGCAUGCUUAUUAACUUCACUGUUUUAACUGGGGGAUUCAGUCAGAGGUUUGGAGAAAUAGCAUUUUGUGCAAUCACCGCAGAUGAACAAGUUAAAGGUUACGGUACCAGAUUGAUGAACCACUUGAAAGAACAUGCACGCAAUGUCGAUGGAUUGACGCAUUUUCUUACUUAUGCUGACAACAAUGCUGUUGGUUAUUUUGUCAAGCAGGUUGGUCUAUUUUCAUAUUCUCUGCAAUAUUUGACUCUGCUCUUUUUCAGUUUUUUUUUAAUUUUCCUGUAAUAUUUGGUUGUUUAGUUGUAUUUGUUAGCUCAUCCAGAGCUCUGAGCCGCUCUGUAUACACUCUCAUUAGGGGUUCUAUUUACAAAAUAUUCCUGUUGUUAAAACAACUUCUCUAAAUCUUUUGUCUUAGUUCGUCUUUAUUGUCAUCUGCUUUAGAUAAACAUUUAUUCUCAUUCGUAUCUCUUCAAAAACAAUGUUUCCACUGUUUGCAUGCUUAAUUUUUGUGUGCACAAUCAUAUGAUGAUUUAGGGUUUCUACUAACAAAAUGUUCCUUUUGGUAGAACAACUUCUCUGCUUCUGUCUUAGUUCGUCUUUAUUAACAUCUGGUUUAGAUAGACAUUUAUUAUCAUUUGUAUUCUCUUUAAAAAAUUAUGUUUCCACUCUUUGCUAUCUAGUCUACUCUCCCUGGGGCACUAAAGUUCUGUAGUUUCGCCUUUUCUUAUAGUUGUUCACUAAUUUAAUAUGUUCCGUCUAUUUUUCUUGUGCAGGGUUUUACUAAAGAGAUUUACUUGGAGAAAGAUGUAUGGCAUGGGUAUGUAAGCAAUGUUCAAACUGCUCAUUGCCGUACUCAACAUCUGUGCUUUUUAUGAUUGAUAUCUGAAUGGAAUAUUUGUGGUCUCAGUUAAACUAACAAACCUCAGAAUAAAAUCAUUCUAUUUCCUUGCUGAUCAUUGCUUAUCAGAGAGAUGCCGAAACCAGAAUUUGGCUUUACAUUCUUGUCUACAUCUUUUAACCUACUCUUGCAAAUAAAAAGCUUUGUAUUUUCCCAGGUUCAUUAAAGACUAUGAUGGUGGCCUCCUUAUGGAAUGCAAAAUUGAUCCAAAGCUUCCAUAUACAAAUUUGUCAAAGAUGAUUCGUCAGCAAAGAAAAGUAAGCCAUGAAUAUACUUCACCUCUGAUGAAAUCAUUUCUUGAGCCUUCAAGUUGGUGAUUAAACCCUCAAGUCCAUCAGAUUCUGAUCCCCGUUGUGCUAUUUAUAAUGCCAGGCAAUUGAUGAAAGGAUAAGAGAGUUAUCGAACUGUCAGAAUGUGUAUCAAGUAGCUGAAUUUCAAAAGGUAAACAUCAAAAGUUGCGUGUCUUUUGUUACUAUUACUGCAUGUCACAGCAAAAGAAGAAAAAAAACAUGUUUCUAAUAGUAUAAUAAAUGUGAUAAUUUCUGCAGAAAGAAGGUGGAAGUCCUAAAGAAUAUACUUCACCUCUGAUGAAAUCAUUUCUUGAGCCUUCAAGUUGGUGAUUAAACCCUCAAGUCCAUCAGAUUCUGAUCCCCGUUGUGCUAUUUAUAAUGCCAGGCAAUUGAUGAAAGGAUAAGAGAGUUAUCGAACUGUCAGAAUGUGUAUCAAGUAGCUGAAUUUCAAAAGGUAAACAUCAAAAGUUGCGUGUCUUUUGUUACUAUUACUGCAUGUCACAGCAAAAGAAGAAAAAAAACAUGUUUCUAAUAGUAUAAUAAAUGUGAUAAUUUCUGCAGAAAGAAGGUGGAAGUCCUAAAAAGAUCAGAGUUGAGGAUAUUCCUGGCUUAAGUAAGUCAUGAUUCUACUCCAUGGUCUUACUGCAGUUUGUGCUAGUGGCUGCAUUGGUUAGCUAUGAAGUUUGUGUUAAUGUGUAAUACUGAAAUUUUGCUUUAAGAAAACAGAUUUGUCUCCCUUGAAUUUGCUUCUUAGGAUUAAUAUAGCUUCCUGAAUUGGCAAUAAAAAUGCGAAGGUUUUAAUCUGUAAGAGUUUUAUUCACGGUGGUCGGUGUGUAAAUAUAGAAUUUUGAAUUUUUUUACAGGGGACGCAGGUUGGACCCCAGAUCAGUGGGGGCACACGCGUUACAAAUUAUUCAGUGGUUCUGGAGAUAGUGUAACAAAGCAAAAGCAGUUGAACGCACUUAUUCGCGUGCUUCUGAAGGUUGUUAUAAGUCUUCUUCACUUAAAUGCUUUAUACGUUAUUGCAGUUACAUGCUCUUUAGUUUGACAAGCUGAAGUAACUGGCAACAGACAAUGCAAGACCAUUCUGAUGCUUGGCCUUUUAAAGAGCCAGUUGAUCCACUCGAUGUUCCUGAUUACUAUGAAAUCAUUAAAGAUCCCAUUGGUAAGAAUACAGUUGGGUUGAACACUGAAUUAUUUUGUUAUCCGUUUGUUGUUGUUCCUUGAAAGCAUUAUAGUCUCUACAAAGAAAUUUAAUCGCUGACGAAUGAAUGCAACUUAAUCAAAAGAUGGUUUCUUUAUAUAGGAGAACGACCUAUUGUUUGUUCUGUUAGUUUAAAUAGAUUUGAUUGAAAUUAUUUGUUAAUAAGGUAACUGCUCGUUUAAGUACAAAUAUGUUAUAAACUUUGGUAUGAACACAGAUCUGAAGACAAUUGGGAAGAGAGUAGAGUCAGAACAGUACUACGUGACGCUUGACAUGUUUGUGGCUGAUGCGAGGAGGAUGUUUAACAAUUGUAGAACUUACAACUCCCCAGAUACCAUUUACUACAAAUGUGCAACCAGGUAUUAACUUCUCUUUAUUUCUCCCUUUCAGUUCCUCUAUUAUGAAAAGAAAGUGAUUUUAAUCUGUUGUUUUCUCUUGAAAAGGUUGGAAACACACUUUCAUAGCAAAGUACAAGCAGCUCUACAGUCNNNNNNNNNNNNNNNNNNNNNNNNNNNNNNNNNNNNNNNNNNNNNNNNNNNNNNNNNNNNNNNNNNNNNNNNNNNNNNNNNNNNNNNNNNNNNNNNNNNNAAUAAAGUCAUCAAUUCUAGUUAUUUAAUUAAUAAAAAUUAACUAAUUCAAAUAGAUUUCAUAUAUUUUAAUUUUCUUAUAAAUGUAUAUAUUUUCUUUUAGUUACAACAAAUCAUAUAAAAUGUUUUUAUUGUUUAUUUUCAACCAAUUAAAUAUGUAAAAAUUCUUAAAAUAUAUAAAUUAAUAUUUUGUUAAAUAUUAAAUCAAAAAACGAAAAUAAGAAAAUCUGUAUAAUAUCUUGUAAUUAAAUAAGUUAAUAUACUGAUUAAUAUUUUAGAUUAUGAACAAAAUAACAUUUAUUUAUGUUUUCAAAUAAACUUAUUUAAAAAGUAAAUAGUAUAAUUUUAAUUAAUAUUAAUAAAUUGAGUUUAUGAAAUGAAAAUUUUAAAAGUUAAAAAUUAAAAAUUAAAUUAAUCUAACUUGAUCAUAAAUAUUAAAAAUAUUUUCAAAUAAUGUUACAAUUGUGGAUUUUCUGCUUGUGAAUUUUUACAGAAAACAAAAUAAUAGCAAUAAAUAUAUCAAAGAAGUGUGUGUUAUUAAGCCCUAAAAAGGUGCGAUUAAGAUAUAUUCUCUUCGUUUCAAAAUAUUACAUAUUUUAGAUUUUUCACAUAUUUUAAUAAAAUACACUAAACCUGCAUAAUUUUUUGUUCUUUUCUUUUUCCAUAAUUUAAGCCAAUAAAAAUCUAAUAGUUGCAAUUAAAUUUUUUGAAGUUUGCAAAUAACUAAUACAACAUGUAUUAGAAUGCAAAAAAUAAAAUUUUUUGAAUAAAAUUUUUCUUUAGAAUAUACUCCAUUCGUUCGCGAAAGUAAGAUUUUUUAGAGUUUAUCCUUAUUCCACAAAAAUAGAUUUUCUAUAUUUUUAAGGUACUUUUGUAUAUUUUUUAGGAACAUUAAUUGUGAAUAUUUUAAUUGAUUAAAUCUUAUUGGUGAAUAGUUAUCGGUAAGUGUAUUGAAAAAUAAAUUGUAAACUAAAUUAUAAAUAUUUAUUAUAUUCUUAAUAAACAUGAAAACUCUAUAAAAUCUUACUUUCGGGAACGGAUGGAGUAUAGCUUUAUGAAAUGGAAGUACUACGAAGUGAACAUAAACCAAAGUUUUAAACGGCAACUAAAGGCGAAGAUAAAUCAUCGACUCAUCAUCAUACAAUGUGGGAUUGCUAACAAAAAGAAAGGUGUUUUAAUUUUUCUUUUCAACCAUCACCGAAAAAAAGGAUAAUUAUAUUAAUUUCCUUAUUAUUUUUUCAAACCCUAAGUGAAUUAAAAAUAUUAUAUCUACAUCAAUGUCCCUUUAUAAUUAAGCCGAACAUCAACAUUUCCAACUCCCUCCUCCCAAGAAAAAGUGUGGAAGAUGAUGAACUCUUCUCUUCUAACUCCUUCAUCUUCAUCCCAUGUCCAAACUCCAACGACGACCUUUGACCAUGAAGAUUUCCUCGACCAAAUCUUUGCUUCCUCCCCUUGGCCCUCCGACGAAGCUCAUCCUCCUCCUCCUCCGCCUCCGUCCUCAGAUGGUUUUGUCGACUCUAGGCAUCAACAGAUCAUGAUGAUGCCUUUACCGUCUCAUCAUCAAAACGAGGUCGUUGAUGGCUCCUCCGUCCACUCUCUUUACAAUGGCUUCUCCGCCGGCGGAUCUCUUCCUUUCCACAUCCCUCAGGUAUAAAACCUAACAAUCUCUCCCUAAGUUUUUGAUAUUGAUGGGUGUUUAAAAUCUAGUUUUAUGAUCAACUUCAGGGAACGGUAGGUGGAAUGAUGAAUCAACAAGGACAAGCCCUAACGCAAAAGCAAACUCAACCGCAAGUGAGUGCGUCUAUAGCUACUGGUGGUACGGCGGCGGCUCCACCCCAGAGUAGGACUAAAGUCAGAGCUAGGAGAGGCCAAGCAACGGAUCCUCACAGUAUUGCCGAACGGGUCUGAUUUUUUUCUUUCUGAAUUAUUAUUCGAAAUGUUUUUCGUUGCAUUAACUCGUAUCAGUUACCGAGAAAGGUGUGGAAAUUAUUUUAUUUUUUUAGAAGAAAAGCUUUAAACUUUUUGAACUAUUUUCUGAAAAAGUGAUUUUAUGGGGCAGUUACGACGAGAGAGAAUUGCGGAGAGAAUGAAAGGUCUUCAAGAACUCGUUCCUAACGGCAAUAAGGUAUUUUAUCGAAUUCAUUUUCAGUUUAUUUUCCAAAUAAAACGGAUCAUUAAACUUUAUACUUAUAAAUCAACACUCUGAAUAUAUAUGAUCCAAUAUCAUUUGUUGACCAUAAGAUAAUAUAAAACAUAUAUCUAUACAGUCCAUAAUAAUCCAUUGUCUAUAUAAAUUCGACCGGAGUGAAAAUUAAAUGUCAAAUAUAAAAUAAACUAUACGAGAGCGAGAUUUUCUCAUUUUUCACUGUAAUUUAUAUCUGAUAGAAAUAUUUUGGGUUUAAAUGUUUAAAUAUAUCUGUAGAACUUGUCCAUCUAGAUUAUUAUUUUACAAACUAAAUUUGAUUUAAUAUAUAAGUUAACUGAAAAAAAUAGUUUCUUGUGCGAUCCACUUCAGUAGUCUGAUCAGGAAUUGUGGAGUUGUUCACGUCUUCAAUUAGAUUGUUUAACAUGUCAACUAGAUUAUUUUCAUAGGUUAAGAUUUAUUGACCAAAACUCAAGAGUUGAUAAGUAAAAUUUCAUACUUUUUGUUUUACUCAUAUAAUGGUGGUUGAUUAGUCUCUCUAUAUAAAACUAUCAAUCAAAUCAUUAAACACUGAUUAGCUAAUUAAUUGCGCUACAAUAAUAAAGUUAACUAAUGCAGUAAUUAAUGGGUUGGGAUCUCAGUUCUGACAGAUUGUUUUUUGUAUAUUUAUUUAUAUAAUAAUUAACAGACAGACAAGGCAUCGAUGCUCGAUGAGAUUAUAGAUUAUGUCAAGUUCUUACAACUCCAAGUCAAGGUGAAUCUCAGUCUCUCAAACUUAUCUUACAGUUAUUAAAGCAAGACGCAAUUUUUUAGAAACUAAAUUAUGUUUCAUUUUAUUAUAUUGAUUGAAGAUUCUUCGUUUGCCUUAUAAUUGACAUACCAGACAAAAAGAAAAGCUGAUAUAUUAGUACAAUAUCGAUAUACCAAUUAAUCAAAUAUGGGCCUCUGCAACUAAAUUCCCUAUGCUCCCUCUCUAUUAUUUUUUUCUGGAUUGUCAUAUACUCGCAUUUUAUAAUGCAUAUUUAUUUAAAUAAUAGUGGACCGGUGUACUUGAUAAUCCUUUUUUAUUUUAAUUAUUGCGUUUUAGGUACUGAGCAUGAGCAGAUUGGGUGGUGGUGCUUCCAAUUCUCAAAUCUCUGAGGUAAUCAAUUUUAUUAUUUCUUCUCCUUUGUUUUAUAAACUCCAAUAAUUUAUAUCAAAGUUAAUGGAUAAAAUAAUGAAACCACAUCAAUUUUACCUAAAAUUGCAUUUGUUAUAUUAAGUUAUAUGCAACCUGCGCGUUACAUAUUUUUGUUUUUGUCAAAUAUAGAUAAAUCUUGCAAGAAGUUCAAGUGAAAUAGACAUAUAUAAAGAUUCCAAGACAAGUUCUAAGAUUUUAAAAUUCUAAAGAUAGAGAAAAGAGAAAGCACGCGUGCCGACUAUUAUAACUUAGGGUUUCGUUUUCUUGUCUUUAUCUUUUAUCUUUUCUUUUUUAGAAUAUUUUAUUUUUAUUUUCAGGAGAAUACAUCCUCAGCCGUCGCCGGGGGUAAUCAGGCGACCGGAAACUCCAACGACAGCUUGACGAUGACGGAGCAUCAAGUGGCGAAGCUGAUGGAAGAAGACAUGGGCUCGGCGAUGCAAUACCUUCAAGGGAAAGGUCUUUGUCUCAUGCCUAUCUCUUUAGCCACAGCAAUCUCAACCGCCACGUGUCACUCGCGUAAUACUUUGAUCCCUGGAGCAGCCGGUGGGGUCGGAGGUCAUCCUUCUUCUCCCAAUCUUUCCGGCAUGACCGUACAGUCAACGAAUAAGGUGACGUUAAGUGGUAACGGCGUGACUGAGGGAUCGCCGCCUCUCGUCGUUAAAGAGGCUGUUUAGGUUUCGAAGCCGUGAUAACGUCUCUUUCUUUACUUUUGGGGUUAGGCAAAGAGAUAAACAAAAAGGAAACAUAAAAAGUGGGAAUGGAGUGGGAGACGAAAGCAAACCAACUUUUGGUCAAAGUCUACGAAGAAUAAGGUUGAGUUGUUUGAUGUGUUUUCUCUAAACGACCUAGUAUUUCUGGUAGAGUACCAAACCACUCGGGCACAUUUCUUUUUAUUUUCUUAAAAAAGAGUAUUUGCACUCUGGACACAUAAGUUAUACCAUAAUUGGCGAAGUGCCUAAUAAACACUUUUAGCAACUAUUCUACAUUUUUUAUUACUCUGUUGCCCUUAUCAUUUACUGGAAAAUUUUAUUGGACGUCCAAUUAAAUUUUUCAAUUGUUUUUUUUUUUUUUAACUGGAAAAUUUUCCAAUUCUGUAGAGAAGAAUUUUCCUAAAUUUUGUCAUGUGCUUAUCUUCUUCAAUAUCUUACAUGUCUCUGAUAUACAAAAACCAAAUCUUUUCAUCAUAUCUUCCUCGUUCAAUUUUUUAAAAAACUCAGAUUUUAUAACUAAUGUCUAAUUCAUAAUCUCAAAUCUACAAUAUUUCUCUAUAAAAUUAUAACUUUCUUAAAAUAGCGACUUUAAAAAAAAAAUAAAAAAUAUCAUUUUGAUCAAAAAUUCUAAAAAAAUACCAAUCUAUCAAAAUUUUUUUUUUGUUAUCCUAAUUUUUAAAUCACAAUCUCAAAUCUUCAAUAUUUCUCUAUAAAAAUUAUAACUUUUCUAAAAUAGUACUUUUUAAAAAAUAUUAUUUAAUAAAUACAUUCAUUUGAUCAAAAUUCUAAAAGAAUAUCAAUCUAUCAACAAAAAAUCUUGUUAUCAUAACUUCUAAAUCACAGUCUCAAAUCUAUAAUAUUUCUGUAUGAAAAUACAACUUUCCUAAUAUAGCAUUUAAAAAAAAUAUUUAAUAAAUACAUCAUAUAAUUUAAAAUUCUAAAAGAAUAAAUAUCUAUCAACAAAAAUUAUUUUUCCAUCAUUUUUAAAUCACAAUCACAAUCUAAAAUCUACAAUAUUUCUAUUUAAAAAUGAUAAUUUUUCUAAUAUAUCAGUUUUAAAAAAAGUUUAUUUAAAAAAUUUAAUUUAUUGAUCAAAUUUUUUUAAAAAAAAUACUCAUCAUUCAACAAAAUUUUUUUUUAUCCUAAUGUAUAAUUCACAAUCUCAUAUCUACAACAUUUCUCUAUAAAAAUUAUAACUUUCAUAAAAUAGCAUUUAAAAAAAGUUAAUUUAAAAAUACAAUAUACCGAUUAAAAAUUCUAAAAGAAUACUUGUCAUUCAACAAAAAUUUUUGUUCUCCUGAUUUCUAUAUCACAAUCCCAAAUCUAUAAUAUUUCUCUAUAAAAAUGAUAAAUUUUCUAAAAUAGCAAUUUUAAAAAAUUCAAUUCACUACAAGAAAACAGCGAUAUUCUGACGGACAUUCCGACGGAAAAUGAAAUCCUCGGAAUAUACCGACGGAAUUCCGAGGAAACUACAGUCCGUCGGAAUAUUCCGAGGAAAUUCCGAGGAAAACUCUGUUCCUCGGAAAAAACCGAUGAAUUCCGAGGAAAUAUUAUAGCCGUUGGAGAGCCGUUGGGGGAUUUUACAAAAUUCCGAGGAAAUUCCGACGAACUAGUUUUGUCCGUCGGAAUUCCGUCGGAAUUUCCUCGGUAUGUCGGCAGGAUUUAAACUAUAAAUACAAGCACUCCUCUUCCUCUUCAUUCACUUCAUAUCUUCAUCCUCCCUCUUACUCUAUUUACACACGAAUUUGAUUCAUAAAAAAUAUGUCUUCUUCAAAUUAUUUUCGUUCUUGGAUCGAUCGACCUCAUUUGGAUCCGAACACGAGAUUGCUUACGGAAGAAUACCAACGAGGUAUAACUGAAUUCAUGGGGUUAGUUCACCGACAACCGGAAGCAAAAACAGGUAUGUUAAGAUGUCCUUGCUCUAAUUGUAAAAAUAGAAAGGUUAUUAAAGAGUGGGAUGUUUGGACUCAUCUAUAUUUGAGUGGGUUUACACGUAGUUACAAAAUUUGGUAUCAUCAUGGGGAAACUGAUUAUGAACAUGGUAGUACUAGUGAACCUCAGCCAGCGGUUAGAUUAGAAGAACCAAUUAGAACGGAUGUAGAUUAUGGUGUAGGUACUGAGCAGAUGGUAAAUGAUCAUUUUAGAGGGGAAGAUUUACCCAAUGCAGAAGCUAGGAGAUUUUAUGAUAUGUUGGAUGCUGGAAAGCAACCAUUGUACGAAGGUUGCAGAGAUGGUCAUUCAGCUUUAUCAUCUGCUACAAGAUUGAUGGGCAUUAAAACAGAUUAUAAUUUGGCUGAAGACUGUGUGGAUGCGAUUGCUGAUUUUGUAAAAGGUAUUCUACCCGAGGAUAAUGUAGCUCCUGGUUCAUACUACGAGGUUCAGAAACUCGUAGCUGGUCUUGGUUUAUCGUAUCAGGUAAUAGAUGUAUGCAGCGACAACUGCAUGAUUUAUUGGAGGGUGGAUGAACAGCGGGUUACAUGCAAAUUUUGUGGAAAGCCUCGUUAUAAAGAUACAAUUGGAAGAGUUCCAGUGCCAUAUAAAAGGAUGUGGUAUUUACCUUUGACGGAAAGGUUGCAGAGGUUGUAUCUGUCUGAACGCACAGCGCAACCAAUGAGAUGGCAUGCGGAGCACUCAACAGAUGGUGAGAUCAGACAUCCUUCAGAUGCAAAAGCGUGGAAGCAUUUCCAAUCAAAGUAUCCCGACUUUGCGUAUGAGAGAAGAAAUGUCUACCUUGGAUUAUGUACUGAUGGUUUCAGUCCGUUUGGCAAGAGUGGAAGACAGUAUUCUCUAUGGCCCGUCAUUCUUACACCAUACAACCUCCCCCCAAACUUGUGCUUGCGACGAGAGUUUUUGUUUCUCUCGAUUCUCGUUCCCGGACCAGAGCAUCCUAAGAGAUCACUUGAUGUGUUUCUUCAGCCACUAAUAUAUGAGUUGCAACAACUAUGGGCUCAAGGUGCUGAGACAUACGAUGUUUCGUGUAAAGAAAACUUUCAAAUGCGGGCAGUACUAAUGUGGACAAUAAGUGAUUUUCCAGCAUAUGGUAUGUUGUCUGGAUGGACAACGCAUGGAAGGCUAUCAUGUCCAUAUUGUCAAGAUAACACUGAUGCUUUCCAACUAAAGCACGGAAGGAAAACGUGUUGGUUUGACUGUCACAGGAGAUUCCUACCACCUGAUCAUCCAUAUCGUAGGAGUAGGAAUUUGUUUACGAAGAACAAGAGGGUGUUUGACAGUCCACCUCCGGAAAUUUGUGGGAAAGAUUUGAAGAUACAACUAAGAGAUUUUGGUGCAGAAAGGACGCCAGAAGUCGGUGGACAUGAGCGUUUUCCGGUAGAUGCUGUUGGAGAACUACAUAACUGGCACAAAAAAAGUAUUUUCUGGGAUCUGCCAUACUGGGAGGAUCAUCUGCUAAGGCAUAAUUUAGAUGUCAUGCAUAUUGAGAAGAACUUUUUUGACAAUCUCAUGAACACGAUCCUUAAUGUUCAAGGUAAAACAAAGGAUAAUUUGAAGUCAAGACUGGAUUUAGUCGAUAUAUGUGCUCGUUCAGAACUUCAUGUUGAUGAGAAUGGUAGGGCUCCUUUUCCCAUAUACCGACUUGAUGCAGCGGGAAAAGAUGCGUUCUUUGAUUGGAUUUCAAACGAUGUGGAAUUUCCAGACGGUUACGCAUCAAAUUUGCGUAACUGUAUCGACAGAAAGGAAGGAAAGUUUACUGGCUUGAAAAGCCACGAUUGCCAUGUAAUGAUGCAGCGCCUCCUUCCGUUCGCCUUCAAGGAAAUAUUACCACGAAAUGUUCAUGAAGCAAUUGCAGGGAUAAGUGGUUUCUUCCGCGAUUUAUGCACGAGAUCAGUGACUCUUGAAGGUAUUGAAAAUUUGAAGACUAACAUAGCCGUGAUUCAGUGCAACCUUGAGAAGAUAUUUCCUCCCUCAUUUUUUGAUGUUAUGGAGCAUCUUGUUAUUCACCUGGCAAGAGAAUUGGAACUUGGUGGUCCUGUGCAGUAUAGAUGGAUGUAUCUGUAUGAGCGGUAUAUGUUCCAUUUGAAGAAGAUGGUGAAAAAUUUAAGUAGGGUGGAAGGUUCUAUAGUCGCACAGAUGAUCAAUGAAGAAACUUCAAACUUUGCCGAGUACUACUUUCCAGCAGAAGUUCAGACCAAAAACAGAAGACCUGCUCGGCAUGAUGAUAGAGGCGAACGGGCAACAUAUCAUGUUACGGUUCCAGACAUUUUCACAGACGUUGGACGACUUAGCGGAAAACCAAAGGACCGUCGACUUACUGAGCAGGAGCGCAGUCAUUUGCAAACAUAUUUGCUCACCAACUGCGAAGACGUUCUUCAAUAUGAGAGGUAAAUAAAUGAGCUUACAAAUUUUUAUUUUAACAAGUUGAAAUUUAAAUCUUAAUUAAUUACAUUAUUGUCAUCAUAUACAGGAUUUUCAUGGCAGAAAAGCGGUUCGAGUAUAGAUACGCCACAGAGGACGAACUAGAAGAAAUGAAGCAGAGAGAAUUUACUGGAUGGAUGUUUACUUAUGUGAGUGCUUUAAACAAAUUAAAAUAUAUUUUAUCACAUAUUUAUACUAAUUCACAUUUAUUGAUAUAAUAUAUAUAUAUGUGCUAUUAAUAGGUGUCUGCUGGUUUGGCCAGAGGUGAAACAUUUGACGAUUGGAUACGUGAGAUGGUCGUUGGACCAAACUUUGUUGUGAAGUCAUAUCCGAGAUUUUGUACUCGAGGAUAUGCAUUCACAACUCAGAAGAGGAGACGUUCGAGUACGACUUAUGAUGCUGGCGUUUGUUCUGCAUCAGGAGAUGAUGUAUACUACGGACACAUACAUGAGAUUUUGGAAAUCAAGUAUUUGGGCAUGGUUGGAUUGCGCUGUACUGUUUUCUAUUGUGAUUGGCACGACAACACCCCAGAUCGAGGUGUGAGAACAGAUGCAUUUGGUGUUAUAUCAGUAAAUUCGAGGCGAAAGCUGCAAUAUUAUGAUCCUUUCAUUCUUGCUUCCCAGGCCGAUCAGGUAAUUAAAUGUUAAUUAUUCAGAAUGAUUCAUCAUCAUGUGUAUUAAUUUAUAAUUUUUCUAAAUGUUACAGGUUUGUUAUAUCAAGUACCCCCGGGUAAGGAAAAGAGAUGAUCCAUGGGUUACUGUUACAAGACUCAACCCGAGAGGCCGAGUUCAGGGAAGUUCUGAGCUGGAAGACCCACUACAACCAAGCACAUCCGGCAACUGUAGUGCAGCAGAAGAUUUAGCUGGAGUUGGCCUUGUAGUCGAUUUAACCGACUUUGGAGAGGAAGCCGUCGUUCACGUAGAGGAUGAACCAGUAAUUGGAGAGUUUCACCAAGAUCCAGAUUCAGAUUCAUCUGGUGAUGAUGACUCGGAAACAGACUACCAUUGAACUUAUUAUUUUUUUUUUUUUAAGAAAUACCGAGGAAAUUCCGAGGAACACUUGAUAUAACCUCUUUCCUUGGAUAAUAGUUAUUUGGUUUAUCUAGCAAGGCAAAGCUGAAUACGAAUUAAAAGCUACACAAAACACAACCAAAUAAAACAAAGAAACCAUGUAAAAGAAAUACGAACUCAUAAUUAAGAAACCUAAAAAAAAACUCAGUUCAAAAUUAACAGAAAAUAAGACCAUAAAACGUUAGAAUAGAAAAGAAAAUAAAAUAGCCGGUGAUAGCUCCUACUCCUCGUCUCCUGCUCCAGAUGUUCCUCCAUCGUUGGGUCUCUUGGACCUCCUUCUUACCAUGUGUGUACCACUCGAACCCGAACCAGAGCUGGAUGGAGAGUUGUCCCGAUGAACUACAUCAUCCUUUUGGCAACGACACGGCCUGAUACGUGAAAUGGCAGCCCAGAUCUUGUGUAGCAUGUCGUUGUUUGUCUUUAUGCUCUGAUCUCUCCAAUGUUGUUGCUGGCGCGAAGUGGCGUUCGGUGGAAGCUCUUGCAGCUUGUACUGGCUGGAGUCUGAUGGGAGUAGCUGAUGGGGUUGUGAAUCAUCUGGAAUGGCUUGUGCAGCCUCAUCUUGUCCUUCUUCAUCAACCACGCCCUUGCCUUUGGUCUGAUAUUUUGGCGUGAAGAAGGAUGGCUUGUCUACUAGUGCGGUAGCAGGGGGUAGAAACUCAACUGCAGCCUCUGAAAGUAGAGCAGUCAGGCCGAUCUGAGGCAGGUGGCAGUAGAGUGUUUUCUUCGCUCGGUCCUGGAAUACGUAGACGUAAGGACCAUCCCGAUCGAUCCUCGAGUGGGGACCAGCUAUGAACUCCUUACUUACUAGAGAAAUGACAUCCAGGUAGUUCCAAGCAAUGUUGUUCGAUCUGUCCAGUGCUACCUGGUGGUUCUCACAGUCUACACCCACAUGUCUAAGGAUCCGAGUAAUCACUGCACCAAAUCCACAUGCAUUGCUCUUGGAUUUGGUUACUUUCCCCUUGUAUCCUGCUAAGUUUGCGGCCAGCACCGCUCCCAUGUUGAAGGCAGUAGCAGGUGGGAAUGUAGAGUUUCCAAAUGCCGGUAGCAAAUGCCUCACACCUUGGUACAGGAGGCACAACUCCCAUUGCGUGACUGAUGCGGCUGUGGUUGUCCCGUAUAGCAAUGAGCCAAUGAGGCGUGUCGCAUAUCUCAGUACUGGGCUCCGGAUAAGUGACUCCUUUGCCUGAGAAGAUCUAUAAACCCCUGUGCCAAUCGUUUCCCAGAAGUUCAACAGCUCUGAAGUCCAAUAAAGACCAUAUGUCCUCUCCCCCGCACUCAAUCCAAAUAGUCCGCAGAGGUCUGUGAAAGAUACCUCAUAGUAUACUUUCUGCACUACGAAUGCCAGAAAACCUUCCUGAUGGCUAUCAUCGGGACGGGUGACGUAUGCGGAUGCUAUGAACUGGCGUACCAACUCCGGAUAAGUGGGUUCCUUGAGGUUGCAUAGUUGGCCUAGACCCAUGUUCUGGAACAGUCCUUCAAUGUCUGCUUUGAUUCCCAAUAUUGUCAUCGUCUCAGGACAUGCUAGUUGUGUAGCCGGAACGGCUACCUUCUUCAUGUUGUUGUAGUGGGUGGUAUCAGACUUAUCCCACUUCUUUGGCCUUUGCUUCUCCAGCUGUGACGAACCCGCUUCUUGUGUGUUUUUCUUUGCUGAUGUUUUCGUGCGCUUCAUUCUCUACAAAAUAGAAUCAUUGCUCUCAACAUGGUUAUAAUCAAUUAAGAAGGCAAAGCUGAACAUGAAAAUGAAAAGCAAAAUCGAGUUGUGAUAAAAAAAAACGAAAUUGAAAAAAAUUCUCUAUCCCUAAAUCAUCUCAAAUCAUGUUCCAAACUCGUUGAUCACAGACAAUUGUGUUCUAUUCCAUGUUUAAACAUCUGUUUCAUGCAUAUUUGAUCAAGGAAUCAACACGGAAAUAAGAAAUUCACAAAACCCAAAAAAUUGCUCAAGAACACGAUUUCAGAAUGUGGAGAUUCGCGGAGUAUACCUGUCUUAGGGUGAAGACGAGUGUAGGAAUCAGGUAGAGCUCGAAAAAUCAAGUGGAAUAGAGCCCAAAAUUGUUCAAAUCGGAUGAUUAUAGAGAGAGAAAGGGGGGGGGGCGAAUUAUAGGGGAAAUCGGAGGGGAUGAGAGUUCUAAGGUUUAGAUCCAAAAAAGGUCGGGUUUUGCCUUAUAAUUCUGUUUUCCGAACACGCAUCGAUCGAUGCGUUUUGUUUCUAUAACGCAUCGAUCGAUCACAUUCUUACGGCCCGGGCCAUCUUGGUAAUCGAUCGAUGCGUUUUUGUUCUAUAACGCAUCGAUCGAUGCGUUUUUAAAAAAACAUACAAGAUUUUCCGAGGAAAUUCCGAGGAACAAUUCAGAUUGUCGAUCGAUCGAUGGGAUACACUCAUCGAUCGAUCACAAUCUUACGGCCCGGUCCAUCCUAGUAAUCGAUCGAUGCGUUUGUGUUCUAUAACGCAUCGAUCGAUGCAUUUUUAAAAAAACAUACAAGAUUUUCCGACGAAAUUCCGAGGAACAAUUCAGAUUGUCGAUAGAUCGAUGGGUUACUCUCAUCGAUCGAUCACAAUCUUACGGCCCCGUAAAUCCUAGUAAUCGAUCGAUGCGUUUUUGUUCUAUAAAGCAUCGAUCGAUGCAUUUUUAAAAAAACAUACAAGAUUUUCCGACGAAAUUCCGAGGAACAAUUCAGAUUGUCGAUAGAUCGAUGGGUUACUCUCAUCGAUCGAUCACAAUCUUACGGCCCCGUAAAUCCUAGUAAUCGAUCGAUGCGUUUUUGUUCUAUAACGCAUCGAUCGAUGCAUUUUAAAAAAAACAUACAAGAUUUUCCGAUGAAAUUCCGAGGAACAAUUCAGAUUGUCGAUAGAUCGAUGGGUUAAUCUCAUCGAUCGAUCACAAUCUUACGGCCCGGUCCAUCCUAGUAAUCGAUCGAUGCGUUUUUGUUCUAUAACGCAUCGAUCGAUGCAUUUUUAAAAAAACAUACAAGAUUUUCCGACGAAAUUCCGAGGAACAAUUCAGAUUGUCGAUAGAUCGAUGGGUUAAUCUCAUCGAUCGAUCACAAUCUUACGGCCCGGUCCAUCCUAGUAAUCGAUCGAUGCGUUUUUGUUCUAUAACGCAUCGAUCGAUGCAUUUUUAAAAAAACAUACAAGAUUUUCCGAGGAAAUUCCGAGGAACAAUUCAGAUUGUCGAUAGAUCGAUGGGAUACUCUCAUCGAUCGAUCACAAUCUUACGGCCCAGGCCAUCUUAGUAAUCGAUCGAUUUGUUUUUGUUCAAAAACGCAUCGAUCGAUGCGUUUUUUUAAAAAAAAUUACGUUUUGAAACCCCAAACACUAGUUCGUCGGAAUUUCCUCGGAAUAUUCCGAGAAAAUUUCGAGGAAGAAGAGGGUUUCGUCGGAGUUCCCUCGGAAUAAUCCGAGGAAAUUCCGAGGAAAUAGGGUUUUUAAACCGAAAACAACGUUUUGCCGUUUGAAUAACACCUAUAUAACCCUUAUUAAGUGUCUUACGUUCAUUAUGAAGUCAAAAAUUUGUUCCUUACCGUAUAAUUAACACUUUUCCGAUUGUAUGAACGAAAUCUCGCAACAUAAGAGAAACACUUAUACCUUUUAACGAACGGUAAAGGGAAUACUUUCAAUUAGUUUUGAAAUUUGUUAUUUCAUGGUUUAUGCUCAUGUAUACAAAGAAUCCUCAAUGGUAUGCAUUACAAUUGUAUAAGAAAUGAAAUACGGCAAAAAAAAUUGAUGUUUUGAAACCCCAAACACUAGUUCCUCGGUAUUUCCUCGGAAUAUUCCGAGGAAAUUCCGACGGAUAUUUUACUAUCUGUCGGAAUUUCCUCGGAAUAUUUUCAUUUUACCGGGCAAAUAUUUCGCGAAAAUUGAAAUUAGAAUUCCGACGGAUAAUGUCCGUCGGACCCUAGGUUUUAUAACCAUGAGCCCCUUCUUCUUCCCCAUUUCUCUGUUCUUCCUCUGCGCGACUCCUCUCUUUCUCUCCGGCGAUUUCCCCCUGAAAUCCGACGAUAUCUCCGGCGAUCUCCCUCUUCUCUUACACAAAUCAUGUAAGGACCCUAUCCCACUCUCUUAGGUUCUAUUUGUUAGGUUUUUGUGUAGUUUUGAUAGAUUUUUGUUAGGGUGAUUGGUUAGAAUUGUGAUUUGGUUGUAUAAUAGGUUUAGAAUUGUGAUUUGGUUGAAUAAUUUGUUUUGUUGAAUUGAUUUAGAAUUUUUUUAUAAUUUUUUUUAUUUUUUGUAUUUAUAAAAUCAAUUNNNNNNNNNNNNNNNNNNNNNNNNNNNNNNNNNNNNNNNNNNNNNNNNNNNNNNNNNNNNNNNNNNNNNNNNNNNNNNNNNNNNNNNNNNNNNNNNNNNNNNNNNNNNNNNNNNNNNNNNNNNNNNNNNNNNNNNNNNNNNNNNNNNNNNNNNNNNNNNNNNNNNNNNNNNNNNNNNNNNNNNNNNNNNNNNNNNNNNNNNNNNNNNNNNNNNNNNNNNNNNNNNNNNNNNNNNNNNNNNNNNNNNNNNNNNNNNNNNNNNNNNNNNNNNNNNNNNNNNNNNNNNNNNNNNNNNNNNNNNNNNNNNNNNNNNNNNNNNNNNNNNNNNNNNNNNNNNNNNNNNNNNNNNNNNNNNNNNNNNNNNNNNNNNNNNNNNNNNNNNNNNNNNNNNNNNNNNNNNNNNNNNNNNNNNNNNNNNNNNNNNNNNNNNNNNNNNNNNNNNNNNNNNNNNNNNNNNNNNNNNNNNNNNNNNNNNNNNNNNNNNNNNNNNNNNNNNNNNNNNNNNNNNNNNNNNNNNNNNNNNNNNNNNNNNNNNNNNNNNNNNNNNNNNNNNNNNNNNNNNNNNNNNNNNNNNNNNNNNNNNNNNNNNNNNNNNNNNNNNNNNNNNNNNNNNNNNNNNNNNNNNNNNNNNNNNNNNNNNNNNNNNNNNNNNNNNNNNNNNNNNNNNNNNNNNNNNNNNNNNNNNNNNNNNNNNNNNNNNNNNNNNNNNNNNNNNNNNNNNNNNNNNNNNNNNNNNNNNNNNNNNNNNNNNNNNNNNNNNNNNNNNNNNNNNNNNNNNNNNNNNNNNNNNNNNNNNNNNNNNNNNNNNNNNNNNNNNNNNNNNNNNNNNNNNNNNNNNNNNNNNNNNNNNNNNNNNNNNNNNNNNNNNNNNNNNNNNNNNNNNNNNNNNNNNNNNNNNNNNNNNNNNNNNNNNNNNNNNNNNNNNNNNNNNNNNNNNNNNNNNNNNNNNNNNNNNNNNNNNNNNNNNNNNNNNNNNNNNNNNNNNNNNNNNNNNNNNNNNNNNNNNNNNNNNNNNNNNNNNNNNNNNNNNNNNNNNNNNNNNNNNNNNNNNNNNNNNNNNNNNNNNNNNNNNNNNNNNNNNNNNNNNNNNNNNNNNNNNNNNNNNNNNNNNNNNNNNNNNNNNNNNNNNNNNNNNNNNNNNNNNNNNNNNNNNNNNNNNNNNNNNNNNNNNNNNNNNNNNNNNNNNNNNNNNNNNNNNNNNNNNNNNNNNNNNNNNNNNNNNNNNNNNNNNNNNNNNNNNNNNNNNNNNNNNNNNNNNNNNNNNNNNNNNNNNNNNNNNNNNNNNNNNNNNNNNNNNNNNNNNNNNNNNNNNNNNNNNNNNNNNNNNNNNNNNNNNNNNNNNNNNNNNNNNNNNNNNNNNNNNNNNNNNNNNNNNNNNNNNNNNNNNNNNNNNNNNNNNNNNNNNNNNNNNNNNNNNNNNNNNNNNNNNNNNNNNNNNNNNNNNNNNNNNNNNNNNNNNNNNNNNNNNNNNNNNNNNNNNNNNNNNNNNNNNNNNNNNNNNNNNNNNNNNNNNNNNNNNNNNNNNNNNNNNNNNNNNNNNNNNNNNNNNNNNNNNNNNNNNNNNNNNNNNNNNNNNNNNNNNNNNNNNNNNNNNNNNNNNNNNNNNNNNNNNNNNNNNNNNNNNNNNNNNNNNNNNNNNNNNNNNNNNNNNNNNNNNNNNNNNNNNNNNNNNNNNNNNNNNNNNNNNNNNNNNNNNNNNNNNNNNNNNNNNNNNNNNNNNNNNNNNNNNNNNNNNNNNNNNNNNNNNNNNNNNNNNNNNNNNNNNNNNNNNNNNNNNNNNNNNNNNNNNNNNNNNNNNNNNNNNNNNNNNNNNNNNNNNNNNNNNNNNNNNNNNNNNNNNNNNNNNNNNNNNNNNNNNNNNNNNNNNNNNNNNNNNNNNNNNNNNNNNNNNNNNNNNNNNNNNNNNNNNNNNNNNNNNNNNNNNNNNNNNNNNNNNNNNNNNNNNNNNNNNNNNNNNNNNNNNNNNNNNNNNNNNNNNNNNNNNNNNNNNNNNNNNNNNNNNNNNNNNNNNNNNNNNNNNNNNNNNNNNNNNNNNNNNNNNNNNNNNNNNNNNNNNNNNNNNNNNNNNNNNNNNNNNNNNNNNNNNNNNNNNNNNNNNNNNNNNNNNNNNNNNNNNNNNNNNNNNNNNNNNNNNNNNNNNNNNNNNNNNNNNNNNNNNNNNNNNNNNNNNNNNNNNNNNNNNNNNNNNNNNNNNNNNNNNNNNNNNNNNNNNNNNNNNNNNNNNNNNNNNNNNNNNNNNNNNNNNNNNNNNNNNNNNNNNNNNNNNNNNNNNNNNNNNNNNNNNNNNNNNNNNNNNNNNNNNNNNNNNNNNNNNNNNNNNNNNNNNNNNNNNNNNNNNNNNNNNNNNNNNNNNNNNNNNNNNNNNNNNNNNNNNNNNNNNNNNNNNNNNNNNNNNNNNNNNNNNNNNNNNNNNNNNNNNNNNNNNNNNNNNNNNNNNNNNNNNNNNNNNNNNNNNNNNNNNNNNNNNNNNNNNNNNNNNNNNNNNNNNNNNNNNNNNNNNNNNNNNNNNNNNNNNNNNNNNNNNNNNNNNNNNNNNNNNNNNNNNNNNNNNNNNNNNNNNNNNNNNNNNNNNNNNNNNNNNNNNNNNNNNNNNNNNNNNNNNNNNNNNNNNNNNNNNNNNNNNNNNNNNNNNNNNNNNNNNNNNNNNNNNNNNNNNNNNNNNNNNNNNNNNNNNNNNNNNNNNNNNNNNNNNNNNNNNNNNNNNNNNNNNNNNNNNNNNNNNNNNNNNNNNNNNNNNNNNNNNNNNNNNNNNNNNNNNNNNNNNNNNNNNNNNNNNNNNNNNGCAUCGAUCGAUCAAUUUUUUUUAAAAAAUAUAGCGAGGGUCAUUUCCCUCGGAAUUUUCCGAGGGACAACUCCCUCGGAAAAUUCCGAGGAACGGAUCCCUCGGAAUAUACCGAGGGAACAGUUCCUCGGAAUAAACCGAGGAAAAAGUCCGUCGGUAUACUCCUAUCGAUCGAUGUAUAUAUGUCCAAACACGCAUCGAUCGAUGAACUUCCGAGGAAUUAUCCCGACGAAGUUCUACCUCGGUAUAUUCCGAGGACUUUUCCGACAAACAAGGGAUCCUCGGAAUUUCCUCGGAAAUUUAUUUCCUCGGAAUUCCGUCGGAAAAUUCCGAGGGAUUUCAGAGGAAAAAAGAAAUUCCGAGGAAUUAUUUCCGACGACGUAUUUCGUCGGAAUUGCGUCGGAAUAACGAUAUUCCGACGAAAUUCCGACGAUUUUUUCCCUCAGAAUCCUUGAUGUUUUCUUGUAGUGAUUUAUUGAUCAAAUAUUUUUUAAAAAAAUACUCAUCAUUCAACAAUUUUUUUUUAUCCUAAUGUAUAAUUCACAAUCUCAUAUCUACAAUAUUUCUCUAUAAAAAUUAUAACUUUCAUAAAAUAGAAUUUUAAAAAAAGUUAAUUUAAAAAUACAACAUACUGAUUAAAAAUUCUAAAAGAAUACUCGUCAUUCACCAAAAAAUUCAUGUUCUCCUGAUUUCUAUAUCACAAUCCUAAAUCUACAAUAUUUCUCUAUAAAAAUAAUAAUUUUCCUAAAAUAUCAAUUUUUAAAGUUUAUUUUAAAAAUACAUCUUAUUGAUCUGAAAUCUUACAAGAAUACUCAAAAUUCAACAAAAAAAUAUUUUUAUCGUAAUGUCUAAAUCACAAUUCCAAAUCUACAAUAUUUCUAUAUAAAAAUUAUAACUUUCCUAAAAUAGCAUUUAAAAAAAAAAUACUUAAUAAAUACAUCCUUUUGUUUAAGAAAUUCUAAAAGAAUACCCAUCUAUCAACAAAAAUUCUUGUUAUCCUAAUUUCUAAAUCAUAAUCUCAAAUCUACAAUAUUUCUCUAUAAAAAUGAUAACUUUCUUAAAAUAGUAGUUUUUAAAAAGUUUAUUUAAAAUAUACGACCUAUUGAUCAAAAUUUUUAAAAGAAUACUCAUCAUUCAACAAAAAUUCUUGUUAUCCUAAUUUCUAAAUCACAAUCCAAAUUCUACAAUAUUUCUCUAUAAAAAUGAUAUCUUUCCUAAAAUUGCAAUUUUAAAAUAGUUUAUCUAAAAUACAACCUAUUGAUCAAAUUUUUUAAAAGAAUACUUAUCAUUCAACAAUUUUUUUUAUUUUAAUUUCGAAAUUACAAUUCAAAUCUACAAUAUUUCUCUAUAACAAUGAUAACUUUCCUAAAAUAACAGUUUUUAAAAGUUUAUUAAAAAAAACAUCCUAUUGAUAAGAAAUUUUAAAAGAAUACUCAAGAUUCAACAAAAAAUUCAUUUUAUCCUAAUGUCUAAAUCACAAUCCCAAAUCUACAAUACUUCUCUAUAAAAAUUAUAAUUUUCUUAAAAUACCAUUUAAAAAAAAAAUUAGUAAAUACAUCCUUUUGAUGAACAAUUCUAAAAGAAUAUUCAUCUAUCAACAAAAAAUAUUGUUAUUCUAAUUUCUAAAUCACAAUUUCAAAUCUACAAUAUUUCUCUAUAAAAAUGUUAAUUUUCUUAAAAUAGUAUUUUUUAAAACAAUAUUUAAUAAAUACAUCCUUUUGAUCAACAAUUCUAAAGGAAUAUCCAUCUAUCAACAAAAAUUCUUGUUCUCCUAAUUUUUAAUCACAAUCUCAAAUCUACUAUAUUUCUCUAUAAAAAUGAUAAAUUUCCUAAAAUAGCAGUUUUUAAAACUUUAUUUACAAAAUACAUCAUAUUGAUCAAAAAUUCUAAGAGAAUACUCAUAUAUUAACAAAAAUAUUUUUUAUCCUAAUUUCUAAAUCACAAUCUCAAAUAUAUAACUUUUCUAAAAUAGUAGUCUUAAAAAAGUUAAUUUAAAAAAUACAACCUACCGAUCAAAAAUUCUAAAAGAAUACUUAUCAUUCACUCCUGAUUUCUUGAACCUAACUAUUUCCAAGAGAAUGACAUAGUACUGGUGAGGUUGAAUCUGUCUGUACUUAGGCUGCUCUUAUCUUAUGUAGUUCAUUUGGCAUUGACACGUCGUAUGUGAUGGAUCCAUGUUUUACAUAAUGCAUUGUGCUUACUUGGCAUAUCCGCUCUUGUUUUGAAAAGUGAUUGCCCGAUUGAUCUUGUUGGUAAGGCAGAAUUAGGUUUGGUGUUGUAAUGCAUAAAGGUGGAUCCUGCUUCUUUUUCAUUAGACGAUUAGAUGUUUACUUUUUCUUGUGUUCGGCCAUAUUAGCUUAUUUGAUGUGCAGACAAUAAACAGCUUGGCUCAGAUGACGCGGACAAAUCCGUUUUUGAUUCUCACUUUAGGAAUUGGUUUUAUGUUUUUAGUUUAUUACUCUUAUUCAUUUAAUUCUAGUCUAGAAAAAAAAGUUAACUAGAGAUUUAUUUCCUUAUUACUUAAAAGAAUUGAUAAUAAGUUUUCCUUUUCCUAAUAGAGUUGUCAAUGGGACGAGGCUUAUAUAAACAGAGUCGAGACGAGACAUAACAACACCUUGUUUUGAUUUGAUAACAGAAAGUCUUUCUCAAGAAUUCUUAGGUCGAUCCCUUGAUUGAGCAAAGCUUUUACGCAUGGAAGUAGAUGAUGACUACGUGGAGUAUGUUCCAGUGGCGAAGCGCAGAGCUAUGGAAGAGCGUCGGAAGGGGGAAGGUGUUGGAGUUACAGAACAAGGAGAAGAGAUGUUAGCGCUGCCGAGCAAAUUAUAUUACAAGAGAAGGAGAUGAUGGAGCAUUUAUCCUCUGACAAGAAGAGGCUUAUGUCUGUUCGUGAAUUGGCCAACGGUAUCACUUACACAAAGCCUCUAUUAACAGAUUGGAAACCAAACCCUAGGAGCAUCAUGUCGAGCAAACAGAUUGAUUUGAUUAGGAAGGAAUGUCAUAUUGUAGUUAGCGGUGAAGACGUUUCAAGGAUAUGGACAUUCCGAGAGCUCUUCUCCUUGCACUCAAGGAGAAAGGAACAGUGCAGCCGACUCCGAUCCAAGUUCAGGGCCUUCCUGUGAUCUUGUCAGGGAGAGAUAUGAUCAGCAUUUCCACCACUGGUUCGGGGAAGACGCUGGUCUUCGUGCUCCCCAUGAUCAUGAUGGCUUUGAACAAGGAGAUGAAGAAGCCUAUUGGUCCCGGAGAAGGGCCCAUCGGGCUUAUUGUCUGCCCGUCUAAAGAGCUUGCUAGGCAGACUUAUCAAGUGGGUCCGCUGAGGUCUCUGCUAUGCAUCGGAGGAGUGGAUAUGAGACCCCAGUUGGAGGUUGUCGAGAGAAGAGGUGUUCACAUCGUCGUUGCAACCCCUGGGAGGUUGAAGGAUAUGCUCGCCAAGAAAAAGAUUAGCUUAGACGCCUGCAGGUACCUGACGCUAGACGAGGCGGAUAGGUUGGUUGAUUUGGGUUUCGAAGACGACAUUAGGGAAGUGUUUGACCAUUUUAAGUCUCAGCGUCAGACACUUAUGUUUUCCGCCACAAUGCCCGCCAAAAUUCAAAUAUUUGCCACAAGCGCUCUGGUGAGACCUGUGACGGUUAGCGUAGGAAGAGUCGGAGCUGCGAAUCUUGAUGUCGUCCAGGAGGUUGAAUACGUGAAACAAGAGGCAAAGUUUGUUUACCUCCUCGAGUGCCUGCAGAAAACCUCCCCGCCGGUUCUAAUCUUCUGCGAGAAGAAAGCUGACGUUGAUGAUAUUCACGACUACUUGGUACUAAAAGGAGUGGAAGCAGCGGCCAUCCACGGAGGCAAAGACCAAGAGGACAGAGAGUAUGCAAUCUCUUCUUUCAAAUCUGGGAGAAAAGACGUCUUGGUCGCAACCGAUGUUGCUUCAAAAGGUUUAGAUUUCCCUGAGAUAAAACACUUACGACAUGCCUGCGGAGAUUGAGAACUAUGUGCAUAGGAUAGGACGAACAGGUCGGCGUGGGAAAACUGGGGUAGCAACUACGUUUAUAAACAAGAACCAAAGCGAAACCACGCUGCUCGAUUUGAAACACUUGUUGCAAGAAGCUAAACAGAGGAUUCCGCCUGUCCUCGCUGAGCUGAAUGAUCCAACAAUGGAAGAAGAAGCAGAGACCAUCGCUAAUGCAAGUGGUGUCAAGGGUUGGCGGUCUCGGACAUCGUAUUCGAGACUGUAUAAAACUGGAGCACCACAAGAGUGUGGCAAUAUCUAAUUCUAGAAAAGACUACUUUGGCUCUGGUGGAUACUGAGGAGAAAUAUAAUCAGGAGAAUCCUUUUUUUUUUUGUUGCAACUUCCUCUGGUCUAAGCUGUCACCGAAUUAAGAUUUCGUUGCUCCAUCUUUGGCCUUCUACUUUUGGCUAAGAGGGAAACUCAAGUCUAGUGAUACUGGGCACCAAUGUACUUUUUCAAAUGUAUGGAUCUCUAGUUUGAUGUUUUGUAUCCCUUAAAUAUAAGAAACACAUGUUUUAUUAUCUGUAUACUGUGAUAAAAACUGUUGACACAAAAAAAAUAAAACGGAUAGGGAAUAUAAGAGCACACAAACCCAUGUAAAGUUCUUGAAAAUUCAAAAAUUAAUCCCAUAUUUUUAUUUAGUAAAAACAAUUAUCCAAUGAAGCUCUCUGCCUAUAAACUUCCUCAAGAAAACAAGGGGCCUAACUAGUCAUGCUGAUUGAAAUUUUCCUUGAUGGAGUCUUAGGUUUUCUUGAUGGUUAGGCAAUAUACCAUACUGAUAUAAGCUGACCCAUUUUCUUUAAUGAGAAUAUAUCUUUUUAAGAAUGCAAACAGUCCAUCUGAUCCGAGAGAGGGUAGAGAGUGAUUUUCCAAAGUUAUGGAAAGAAGUGAAUUAUAUUCGUUGAAGAUCAGAGCUUAUCUUCUACUGGUGUUAACCUCAGAUUGGCAUACCACAAAUUUUCCAAGAAAGUGUUGGUCAAAAAGAUCAAACAGAGAAAAGAAAAUUCCCUUCAUACACUAAAGCUAUAUUCUUGGGGAUAUCUUUAAGGAAAGUGAAAUGAAGAUAGCAACUUUAACUGCCCUCAAAAGACAGUAGCAGUUGCAACCACUCACAUGUUCUAACUAAGAUGGCGAAUCCUCAAACAAAUAAACCUUAAAGAAAGUGAGUCUGAGAUUUUGGAGUCUUGGGGAUGCUCUUCACAGCUUUGACAGCGAAAAAGCUAUAAAUCAAAAGAGGAUUACAUAAAGCAGACUGAAAAUAAAAAAAACAAAUGUUAAAAAUACAACUCUGAAGACUGAAGUAUAGACUGUCCUUCUUUGAUCAGUUUAAGAGGCCAUAAGAUCGAUAAAAUCAGUAUAGUUUGUUCUUCUGAAUAGUCACAAGUUCACAAGAAACAAUAUAAUUUGUAUAUAACAAAACUAAGAUUACUCUAAGGCUGUAGUUUUCUUUGUCUAUAGCUAUUUUUCAGUAGCUUUCUAAGAACUGUAAAAUCACAAACCAAAACAAGCAAACAUGAAUAAAAAAAACAGACCAGAAUGUGAAGGAACCAAAUCAGAUGAUCGGAGAAGGUGGAGUCUCCCACACAUCAAACACAUUCUCUUCGCUAUGCAAUGCGAAAAGCCGAUCCCCACCAAUGGAGAAAUCACAGAUCGAGCCACCAUAGCUUCUCCUUAGCCUAGAGGUUAACACCCAAUCAGGUCCACAAAACACAGAGAUGGAAUCAUUCAUCGAAGAGAAAAGCUGGCCUUCAUGCAACGCCAGUUUCGGGUAACAAGGCUCGUCAGGCAUCUUGCUUUUCAUCAACCUGCUUCUCGAACUCCACCUCACGCUUCCUCCGUACAUCCUCAGAUCAAUAAACCCCAAAUCCUCAAACUCAUUCACCACACAGAUAGAGUUGCUAUCUUCCAUAGCUAUCGCAUCCCUCACCCUCUUCUCAUCUAUCGCCAUAGGAGAGCCAGUAUCCGACCAAGACCAAACCAUGUUCUUGUCUCGAAAAUCCAACAGACUAAUGUAACAGUUGUCUUUUCUUGGAAACAACGUGGCGACAAGAAGACAGUUCAUACCGUUCAGCCACUGAAGCUUGUCCGCAUCACCAAGCGACCAGCCAGGACUCUCGUAGAAGAAAUCGGUUUGCUUUCCGGUGAUCUGAUCCCAAACUCCGAUUCCGUACUCAUUACUCCUACCUUUGCAGCUCGAGAAGAUCUUAUAGUCCUGAUUAAAACUCAAAGCUCCAGCUGUAUAACUCUUGACUUGAUUCUCGUGACAUACCUGAAACUUAUACCGGAGAUCGCCGGUUGACGAGCUGAACAGACCCAUGCCUCCGUCUCCUCUCCCCAGCUUCUCGCAAGCAGACAGCACGAUGUUGUCCGAAUCAAUCCACCCCACGUCGUUAACCCUCUGGUAAUCGAGGUUUAUCGGACAAUGCUCUUCCAGCAUCCAGUCAAACACGUGGACCACGCUCCCGUGCGCGACGCAGCAGCCGCCGUCUGGGCCGGCCCUGACGGCGGUUCCGUCUCCUGGAGCGAUUCCUUUGACGGAAUCGGAUAAUCGGAGACGGUUGCCGUCGAACGGGCCCCAUUUAGCGGUGCGUACGUGGUGGAGGAGGCCGUAGAAGGAGGCUUCUCUGUGGAGGAGGCGCUCCGGGAUGUUCGCGGGGACGUUGAGGUCUCCGGUGCGGAGGAGAUCGAGGAGGACGGCGAAGCAAUCUGGGUUUCUGUCGAUGAAAAGAUCUUCUUUGGGAGGGGAGAGGUUCCAGUCGUCGUCGAACAAGGCCCCGAAGAAGGAAUCGUGACCUGCGUUCGCGAGGGUCGUCGACGUCGUUUCGAAGAUUCGACCGCCAACGUUGAAUUUGAUCCUGUCUUUUGAGUUACCCAUCGAUGUAAGAAGGAUGAAUUCAAGAUUUUGAACAGAGAAAAGGUGAGAGCUUUUGUUUUUUCUCCGAUAAAGUAAUCUUUCAAUCAUUAGCUAUCGAGACAAGACAAGAAGACAUGAAAAAGAUCGUAUACUCGGGUAAUAAUACUUCGGAUUCAGAUCAAAAUUUGAAGAAAUUUGAGCUCUUGGGGGCACGGGAGAGAAGAUGUUCUGAUUGAUAUGGGUAAUCAAAUUCAAAAUUGACUCUUUUCGUUUGGAUUGAGACAGAGCUCGAAACUGAGGCUCUGGGCACGGGAAGAAGAAGUUUUGUGAUUAAUGGGGGGGGGAAUCAGAAUUUAUUACAUGAUCUGGAGAAAUUUUUGAAAUUUUUUUUGUGAGAAGAUGUGAAAAUUGAAUUGUCUCUCUCUCUUUUCUCUUUCUCCGCUUUUUUUUCAUUCCGUUUACACACAACCGUUCUCUACAUUUAUACAGUGCCUGCGAAAAAUAUCCCGACUGCAACAACCGAACCAAAACUUAUUUGAAUUAAGUGAUACUAAAUUCUAAUCAUGUUGAAAAUUCAACAUAUCUAAAAGUAUGUUAUUAUAAUACUUAUAAUAAUUUAAUUUUUUUAUUUAUAAAUAAAAAGAAUUUAGAAAAUAUCUUAAAUAUCCAAUACGAUAGUUACAAUUUCAUGUUAUUUAUUUUAGAUCAUUUAUUUUUUUUAAUAUUCAAAAUGGAUAGUUUAUAGACAAGAUCAAAACUAUGUGUUAUAGUUAUUUUUGAAUACAAUUAUUAUAUAUUAAAAUUUUAAAUAUUCAGGUGAAGGCCAGAUUGUAAAUUAAUUACAUUUCGAAUUCUAACUAAAGGAAGCCAAACCAGAUAAAAAAAAUUAUAUCUACAAAAUUAAAAAAUGAAAUCUAAAAACAUUGAUCCUAUCAAUAUAUUAGUACGUUCUAUAUCUGUUGGAAAAAAAGCUCACAUCAAAAAAUUGAAAUGAAAUUAGAUAAUAUAAAUGAGUUGAGCCAAUUUAUUUGAUGUCAAUUUGUUCUAAGGGAAAUAUUUAUAACAUUUAGAAAAAAGAAGAUGUCAAAAAAAAAAAAACAUUUAGAGAAAAAAAAAAAGAAAAAAGCAAAUAGAGCACUACGCGUGGGUCCAAUAUUGGUUUUAUGUUUCUAUACUCAUCUAUCAACCGUGGGAUGUUUUUUUUUUUAAAAAAUAAAUUAUAUAUAUUAAUUUAUCAACAUCUAUUUACAAAAUAGGACUCAGUUUCUUGUUCGUAAGAUUUGGGAAAGGGGGGAGCAGUAGAGAGACGCGCGUGAACUUCACUGCCGCUUAAAGGCUUUUUUCUUGUUCGUAAGAUACUGUUUCAGAUCCAAUGGUUUAUAUACGGUGUGUUAAAUUGCUAUAUCAGGAGAACAUUCCCAGAUGAUCAACACCUCGUUGGUCGUUUGUCAAUAUUUAUCUAAAUGUUACUGUAUUUAUUUCCUUUAUCUUUCUAUAUAGUAUAUACACAUCAACUUGAAUUUGUGGAGUGGCCAAGAAAAACUAUAGUUUGUAUUUUCCGGGUAGCGCAAAGUGCGACGUCCUUAUUCUUAUUUUUUAGUUAGUGACUUACAAAAUGAUAAGAGGAGACUUUCUUGAGUAUGUUAUCGAUUUUUGAACUAUUCAAAUCAAACGAUAUAAUAAUAUACAAGCAUUUGUGACUCAUUGUAUGUCAUGUUUUAAAUAUUUAUUUCUUGUACUUAUCGAGUUGUAAAAUAAAUUAGGAUUCUAAUUUUAAAAUAGGAAAUUUAAUAUGGGGAAAUCAGUAUAUAUUUAGCAGAAAAUAUAACAUCUAUUUACAAAAUAGGACUCAGUUUCAGAACUUUCUCUCUCUUCUUCGUUUUCUCUCUCGUAUCCUUCACGAAGAAGAGAACGAGACGAAGUUCUUUGUGUUCCAUCGCCAGUUCUUUUCGGCGACUCCGACUCCGGUAUACGUCGGUCAGUUUGAAGAGUACAGCCGGCUCUGACUCUGGUGGCUCGCGGUCUUCACGACGGAGCUGAAGACCGUGAGCUGUCCGGCUUUUGGUUCCGCGUCACGCUCUUCUCGAUGGCGACGGCGGUUUCUCACCGGGUUUUUCCCGGUUUUGUUGAUCGACGUUUCUCGUUCCUAUCUGUUCAAUCGCCUCUCUUUCCUUAGCCUCGAUUCCUCUCCUCCUUUUCUCCUCGCGAGCCUUUUCAUCUUCGGGCUUCUUCUUAUCAUUAAAGAUGACCGAAUCUCAAGCAGGAAGAUCGAUGGUGGUGAGAUCGAUUGUAGGCGAUUUGUGUUUCUGGAAAUUGAGAUCCGGUGUGUGACUUGAUUGCCGUGAAGAUUGUUUCUUUGUGUGCGGUUCUUCAUCGGCUUAGCUCUGUUGCGGCGGAGUUCCGUCGAGUCUCCUCCUCUAUCGCCGGUGGAAGGUGGCUAGUCCUCUCCUUGACACGUGUCUCAGGGGCGUUGUUACACGUGGUGGGAUGAGUAAGCGUCUUCCUCAACGGGAUCUUCCUUGGACUUUAAGCCCGUGUUGCUUGUAAUAUUUUAGCCCGUUGGAUGGACCUCUUGUUUUUUAGUGUUGAGCUUGAUCCAGUUGAACCUUCGUCCAUUAAUAAAAUUUCAGAGGAAAAAAAGAAAGUAGUAUGCUUACACAAUUUAUCUAAAUAAAAAAUAGAGAUUGUUAGUUUAUAUCAAUAAGUUUUUUAAAUGCCAUCGUCAGAAAGAGUAAAUGAAACGAUAAGAGAGGACCAAAGGAUCACAAGGCUUAGAUUUGCCAUACAUAGGCGAAAUUAAUAUAUCCACUCGAGUAAAGACAAGGUAUCGGUUAAAUCCGGAGCAUAUUUUAAUCAUAUAAGCUUUUGCAUUAAAAAAAAAAGAUUAGCUCUCCUUGAUAAAAAAAAAGAUUAGCUUAUUUUAUUUUAUUUUUUUGGCCGAAUAGGUUAUUUUAUUUAAGAGACUCUUUUUAAUAUACAAGUUCAACGUAAAGGAGAGUCAUGCGGGUCGUGGACGGCACACCAGCAUCGCCUUCUUCUUCGUGUUUUGGUCCAAAACAUGAUUGGAGGAUUAUAUAAACCAUACUAUAAUUCUCGAAAAAAUUGUCAACAAAACUUGUCCCCAUUAUUUCCUAUUAAAAGUUAUUUUGUACUUCCAAGGCAUUCUUGUUAGUAGUAUGAUAUAAAAUGGUUGUUAGUUGUUACCCCUCUUUUUGGGAAGGUAGAAGCCUAAAUACACAGAAUAAGGAGUUGAUUAUUACUCCCUGAUCUAUGUUUUAAAAUUAUCACACUUUUUAAUAAAACAUAUUAUUCCAUUUGUUCCUGAAAGAAAAAUUUUAUAGAGUAUUCACGCAUAUUAAAGAUGUAAUAAAUGUUUACAAUUAAAUUUAUUGUUUAUUUCACUAUACAUUUUCCAAUAACCAUCAACCAAUAGUAUUUAAUCAAUUCAAAUAUUUUCAAUUAAUUUUUUUUUAAAAGCAUACAAUUUAUCAACAUUAACUACUAAAAUACCUGAAAAUUCUAGAAAAUUUAUUAUUUUGGAACAAAAAAUAACUAUAGAAAAUCCUACUUUUAGGAACAGAAUGAGUAAAACUUAGUUAUAAAUGCAUAGUUUUUUGUAAUUUUAUAUUUUCUAUAUUUUUAAACCAAUAAGAUUUUAAGAAAUGCAAUUAAUGUUCUUGAACUUCACAAUUUCUCAUUAUUAGUUUACAAAAAUUACAUUAGAAAUAUAAAAUAUAUAUCUUUUCGAAACAAAUUUGUUUUCUAGAAUAUGGAUCUUUUUAAGAACAAAUGGAGUAUUAAUUUUGUAAAUUCUGUUAAAAUAAGCCAGUUAAACUGAGUAACAUUAUAGGAGACAACAAAUGUAUAAGAAGUUUGACACAACAUGUAAAAAAUAAUACAAACGUACCUUAACCCGUGAGUCCUCUUAAAUGGUUAAUGAUAAUACAUAAGAUAACUAAACAUACACAUACUAUUAAUAUACUAUAAUGAAUUAUCAUUAAAAUGAAUCAUUAUCAAGGAGAAAUCAUGGAAGGUAGGUGGGAGAAAAUUACUAGGGUUGAGUGAGUCAAUACACCUCGGGCACGACCUUUGAACGAUUUUUUUUUUUUAACAUUUUGUACCAUAUAUUUGCAAGAAAUAAAGUCAAAUUAGUUUUCCUCUUUCGUCCACUGCGUAUGUUAUCUCGCCUAACCGCUCCUCGUUCUUCUCCGACGUUGGUGGUCCCUUUAACCGGCGUCGAAGGUCGCCGGUGUCUUUCCUGCUUUGCUCCGCCGCUCCCUCUUUCUCUUAUCGGACUCGUGCUUCGUCCUGGUUCUGGAUCUCUGCUUGAACUCCUGAUUCUACUCGCGACAGAUCUGGAGUUUGAGGCUUCGAUGGUCACAGAUCUGGUAUGAGGGCGACGAUUAGGGCAAGUUUGUGGUGUCGGAGUCGGCUUCGUGGGAGGUCAGAGCUCUAGAUCCGUUCUUGAGGCUUCUACGGUGGGUUUGGCGGUACCAGGGCGGUGAGGAGGAGUGCGCAUGGGAUCUGUGUCGACCCUCUUUCUCGUCUGUUCAGAUCGUCGGUGGUAGCUUUCAAAUUUUUGCGAUCUAGGGUUUCUGGACCUGAACGUGACGGCACGUGGUUCUCCGUUUCUAGGCCUUGGUCGAUCCUGCUGCUGGUUUUCAUCAGCGGGCGCGUGUGAGGGGUUACUCUCUCUCGGUGUAGUCACCCGAGGCUUGUUGGCUCCUGUGGCAGCGCGUGUUGGGCCACGAGACUGCAUCCGCGUCUCAUUGUGGUCUUUGUCACCUUGUGCUUGGUUCAGAGUUUGUGGCAGCUCGUCGAUCUCGUUCCUCCCCAAUAAAUGUGCAGCUAUUCUCGGCUUGGUGGGCGUGUCCUUGCGUUGGUGGUUUUCCCGGGAUAGAGGUUUGAGUGGUCUGUUAGCAAUUCUUUUGAGACGAGCACCGGGAAUGGCUGAAAUCUACCGGGUUCGGGCUCAUGAUCUUCAACGAUGCUAUAACCCUCUCAAUGGCGGCAUUUGGUCUCGUGUGAAGGGCUCUUAUUGCUGCCUCUCCUUUCAGUCAAGGAAUUAUUGCGUACGUGAUGUUGUUUCUACAGGUCAUAGCUGGUUGUGUUUUUGCAUUCUGUAUUUUGGUGUAGUUUUUAGUUUUCAUUACUGCAAUUUUGUUUCUUGGUAGCCUCUGUAUUCUGUCACAAAUCCGAAAAUGGUAAAUAUACUUAACAUUUUUACCAAAAAAAACAUUUCUCUUUCUUUUUUUUGUUAAGAAAUUACCAAUAUUUCUCAGAAAUCAGUAGUGUAUUCCAUGGUUUUUGACAUUUACAUGUUUUUUUUCCUCUAAAAAAAAAAAGACAUUUACAUGUUUUUAAACAACUGAUCUACAUAUUUUCUUUAGCUGAAAGGUUUUGUUUUGAUGUUAAAAGUAAACUAAUGUCCACUAAUUCAGAUGGAAGUAUAUAAUAUAUACGAAUAUUUAAUAUUUUAAUUUAAUUUUAAUUUCUUUUUUGUUAUGUAGAAGCUUUGAACCUCGGAUCGGAGACCAUGGUAAAUUAAACUAAUUUUUAGUAAGUAUUCUUAAUACACGUUUUAUGUAUAGAAAACCCACAAUUUUCGGUUUGUUUUGUUUUUGGUUUUAAUAACACAUCAUUUUCUUUAAGCAAAAAAAAAUUUAAAAAAAUAAAACAUCAUUUUCUUUAGUCUAAUGUUUAUCUCGUUGAAUAUGUUUAUGUUCACACAGCUACUUCUCCUAAACUUGAAAGACGUUCAAAAUUUCGAAAAUCAGUCGGUAUCAUGGUUUUGUAUUCAUACGAUUUGAUGGAGGAAUAACUUUUGGUUAAUGAGUUGGUUAACUUGUCACGUUCUCUUUUAGUUCUACUUAAGUUAUCUCAGAACCACUUAACCACCUCCAGCCACACCUCUUGCUUUUGCCUUUUUCAGGUAUUAGGUCAAAUAAUGCCAACUCAAUUCGUUUCUGUUUAUUUUCCAAAUAUUUUAUAUUUUCUUAAAAAUCGAAGGAAUUUCGAACGUUCUGCCAUAAUCUGCCCGCUGCUCGAAGUCAAUCUUUAGAGUUCAUUUUAUGGGUCCAAAAUCAAAUCAAAAUUUGUAAUUGGUCAGCUUUAUUGUUGUUCUGCCCUGUCUAGCAGACAAAUUCAAAUUGUAACUACUAGGAUUUGGAAAAGAAUGUUGGGUUUUAGGCUCUAGCCCAAUGACAUGUAUUAUAGGCUGCAGGCAUAUUUUCUUGUUCCAUGGGCCGAAUGGAGUAUCAGUCCAGACGAAGAUUGAAAUGUGUUAUACAAACAUGUUCUCGUCCAGUUUUUUUGGGGUUAUCAACAACAAAACGAAAAUCAGAUUGAGAUGAAUAAUACAAGAGAAAGGAGACACCGAGGAGAAAUAAAUAGCAGUGAACGCAAUCUUGAUUUACCCUUCUUGCUCUAAUCUAUUGUUUUCUAUGCUCUAUUGUAGUCUCUUGGUCAUUGAUUAUUAUGAAAACCUAAAGCCAUAACAACAUCACAUGUUGAAUGGUGAUUGUAUUCUUUUUGUUCUAGUGUAAUUAGGGAUCAUAACUCAUAAGUACUUCUACGAGACAUACCGCUUCAAGGCUGGGAACUAGUUUACUUGACUGCAGUACCGGAGGGUGUCAUGACACCAGUUAAAUCUAUAUUUCCGCAAAUUUGUUAUAUGUCACUGAAGAAUAACUAGUAUAACUUCUACCUGAUACUCCAUACCAGAGUUCAACUCCCACUACUACUGUUUUUUUUCUUAAAUAUACUUCUAUGUUGGGCCAAGUCCAAUUUCUAACACGCCUAAUAUCAAAGUCUGAGUCCGCCACUACUUGACUAUGUUAUUUACUUUCAAGCUAAGCACUUAGUUCAACGGUACUUUUAGUCACAAGCAAUCCUUAGGCCAUAAAUUUUAAGAAGUGAUAUCAGAGCAUCCAAAUUCUUGAAUUUAAGUUAAAGAAAAGACUCAGGGCAAGGGGGUCUACAAGACGAUACAUGAUGUCUAGUGCACGCAUCGAGGUGGAUGGAUCUUGUGGAGCAUGAGACACUGCGUUAUGGAAGGUUUGUAUGCGGGCACACUUUUGUGUUCUUUAAGAAUUUAACAGAUAGCGAAUUGUUGAAAGAUUUACCUGGUGAAAAUAAAGAGUUGGAAGCUAUUAUGGUGGAUCCUAUAAUCCAUAUAAAGGGAUUAGCAGAAAUUUUAGAUCUGGUCCAAGUAUUGAUCCAUCAAAGAGAAAUCAGAAAAAGUAGUGAACCUAAUAGUUUUGAAUGUGGGGAUAGAGUCUUAAGGAAGAUUAAACAUUGGAAACAGCAUCAGCCAUGUGGUGUACUAUAGGCUAUACAAAUGGACUUCUUUGCCUAACAUAAUCUACUUACAACUCAGAUUUUAUCCUUUUAAGAUGGCUGACUCCAAAGUAUAGAUGAGAACGUUGACGAUUUUCUUAAGCUCGUGGAAGUCUUAUGUAAUUUACAAGUACAUGUAUCACAAGAAGUUUAAGCUAUUUAUUGCUUAGUUUAGUUCAGUGCCUCACAAGUAUGAUCAACUCAAAGAGACACAAAAGUAUGAAAGAGACACCCUCAACCUAAAUAAAGUCACAUGAGCCACAAGGUCUAAAGAGCGAGAAUUGACUGAAAGUGGAAAAUUCUCGAGAUCAGAAGGAGUGUGAAUCUACGUGGAAAGAGGCAUAUCAUAACACAUAUGCAAUAAAGGGAGUAAACAUCCAUGGAAAGGACAUGAUAGAUUUAAGUCACGAACAAAGUUUAACAAUAAUAACAAGUUGUCUUUUAUUUGUGAUAAAGAAUGACAUUGGAAGAGAGAGAGAGUUCCAAAAGAAGGACAAGCAAACCAACCAAUUCAGCAAACAUGGCGGAUGAACCAAAACAACACACAAGAUAUAAUACAAUAGUGGAUCAUGAUUCAUGGAUUAUUGGUGUUUUUUUCAUAUCACACCCAACAAAGCAUUUUUGUUUGAUUUGAAAGAGUUCAAUGGUUCUAAAGUGUUACAACACUCACAUCAACAUCAAGGGGUAGGAAAUAUCAGAAUAGUUAACACUGAUGGUUCAAGUGUCAUACUCACAUGUGUAAGGUAUAUGAGUCGAGUCCUAAUAUCUGAUGGGAUGUUAGAGAACUCUCGAUGUAGAUACGAAGCAAGAGAACUCAUGGUUCACCGGACAGUGUGUGAGGGAGGGUGCAAGAAUUUUAUACUCCCUCCGUUUUUUUAUAUAAGUCGUUUAGAGAAAUUUUUAUGUUCCAAAUUAUAUAACGUUUUCGGUUUUCUAUGUAAAAUUUAUUAACACUUAAUGUUAUAUGACCAAUGAUAAUAUACUUUCUAUUUUAUUAUUAGUUGAUUUGUGGUUCAGUAAAUAAUUAAUGAUGUUUUUGUUUAGAAAAUAUAAAAAAUUAAUGAUUUAUUAAACUACAUGCACAAUCGACUUAUAUUAAAAAACGGAGGGAGUACCUUUUAUCCACGACUACUCUACAAAUGUUUGAGUAUAAUUUUGUAAGACAAAGGAUUAAGUGUUUUCAAACUUUAAGGAAUGCAAAAACGGUUGGUGAAAAUCAGACAUGCAGGAGGAUUAAAUGUUUAAGAACAAAUAAAUGACAGAAAAUCUGUAAACAAUAAUUACGGCGACGCCUAUUUAAGCUAGAGCAUUGUAAAGUUAGAUAUCUAAAUGGGUUCUAACUUCUAACCUUUAGAGAUUUCAUUGAUUUUUAAAUAUACGCAAAGUGUGUGUGUGUGUGUGUGUGUCAGAACAUAUAUUUACUUGAAACUGUAAAGUUUUUAAAGUUUUACUUUAAUUAAAACUAUUCAUAUGCCAACACUUUCUUUUGUUGCUACUAAUAUAUACAUUUCAUGAAAUAUUGUUUUCUUAAAGUAAGGGAAAUAUAUAGUAUACUGAAUUUCAUUACCAUGAAUAACAACAUUAAAAGAACUUCUAGGCUACUUGCUAAACCAUCUACUCGAUGGAGAUUUGUAUGUUCUAUACCCCGAUCUACUCAGAGACUAUUGUGAGAAAAUUAUUCCAACAAAAACCGCUGAAGAUAUCUCAAAAAUCCGUCAAGUAACAGAGAUCCCCAGCCAUCUGAGUCCACUAUCGAAAAUUCAAUCUUCUCAAGAACUUCUCCUUUGAAACUCGGCUUGACGUCGCCUACUAGCUUGCGGUUACACUUGUCCUCAAGUUUAUCGGUGAACCACCCAUUCUUUGUGCCCAACGAUCUUGUCGUAUCCGCUAUCGUGAAAAACUUUCCCUUGUACAUGACUUGCCAUGUCAUCCUCACGUCAUCUUCAUCGGCAGUGAUAGUUGCGUUGCUUACGCCGGCUUCGAUCUGGAAUUUGUCGUUAGGACCAAACUCGAGAUCUUUACCCUUUUUGUAAAUGGAUGCUUUCUUUGUUUUAUUUGACACGUGGACCAUGAAGAUGAGAUCAGAGAGGGAUAUCUUGACAGGUUCCGCGACUUGAUCUUUGCGUCGGCGUUUGGCGUCCGUUUCAACGGCGGAGACAAGGUGUUUGCACGAGAUGCUUUCAGUGUUUUUCAAUACGAUCUCAUAGGGAGAAGAGCGUUGUGAGGACCUUGCGGUUAAGAGAGCCUUCCAUAGAUCAUCCGAGGAGAAACACUCUAACCACGUGGUUGAGACGCAAGAGGCGACGGCAAGAGUCUCAGGAUCCAUGUAAGGACCAAGAACGCAUAGAGCCUCCCAAGACGGUGGACGCGGUUUGGUAUGUUCAUGCACGUCAUCUUCUUCAUACACAGACUACACAGUGAUCUCGUCGUCGCGUUUACGUUUCAGGGGGGUUUGUCUCAUGGCGGCAGGAGAGGAUAAAACGCGUGCAACAACGACUGAGGCAGAUGGAGACAUGUAGAAUGACUUUUAUAAUUCACGUUUUAGUUUUGAGUUUCUAUGCUCAUUGAUGAUCGCUAUUUAUAGGGCUUUAUGUUUGCUUUCAUAAAUCAAAAAGGAAACUCGUAAAAACAAUUGGCAAUUUUUUAAUAAAUAAAAUUGGAUCUUUCUAUUCCUCGAUCCUCGUAUGUUUUGAUAUAUCUGAAAACUAACUAACUUUUGUUAUCUCUCCCUCUUUCCAAAUUUAAAAGGAACGGAUUAAAAUAAGAUAAUGGAAAUUUUAUAUUCUGAACGGGAUUUCUUAAGAGUAUUUGGCUAGAAAAUAAAUGGAACCGUGUGAAGGCGUUGCGUAAAGCAACAAACAUAACAUGGUUGAGGUAUAGUACACAUCUAGUUUCAUAUCAAAAAUUGUUGCGCUAUUUCUUCCGGCAAAUCAAAUACAUUAUUUUAUCAGAAGUUUACAAAAUACAAAAAAUAUUUUCGCUAGGUUUAUCGUUUAUCGUUUACAAGUAAACUAGGUUCGGGUCCGCGCUAUGCGGAGAACAAACAUUCGGUAUACAAAUCUUUUUAUGUAUACUAUUAUUUAUUUUGCAUUUUUAAUAUAUUACGAAAUAAUAAAUAUAUAUUGAAUAAUUGAGAAACAAAUAACUGUUACAUAUAUAAUUAAAUUGGCACGAAUACAUAAAUCAAAGUAAUCACUCUUUUUAUUUACAAUCUUUUUAUGAUAAAUAAAUAAAAAAUAUAUUUACGUAUUUUUUGUUGAAAUGUUAAAUUUAUUUAUCAAUAAAAAAAAAUGUUUACAAUACUGAAAUUUUGGUAAGAUUACAAAACUAGGAAAAUGAACUUGGGAUAGUAACGAGACUUCCGAGUCGAUCCUAUAUGCUUCUCUCUAGCCACCUAGUCAUUAUAUAUUUUAUACCGUAUAUAGUUAAAUUUAAAUGAUAUUAGCAUAUCUCGAUAAGGGUGCUUUAGCUAAUGCUUUUAUUCCCGCACUGUUAUUACCCAGUUGAAAAUUCUGAUACAGUUGAUUGAGGUUCAUCGCCUGAACAAAUGCUAGGAUCAGCAACGUACUAUCCAAAUUUCAGAACAGUGGGAAAAUAAGAUUCUAAAACAAAAAUAAAAGCAAAAGCUAGGCAUAUAAUAACUGAAAUAGUGAUCUUCCAAAUUCACAAAUCUGUAAUCUGCGGAUUGGUAGGUAAAGGGUUUAGGGUUCGAGAAAGAGGAAUGCACUCAAGAGGAUGAGCCAAAGCCAAGAAGAAUUGUAAUCCAGAAGUCUCUUCCAUGUUAACCUCAUAUCCUCUUUUGAUUUUCCAGUCAAAGCAUUGUACCAUCACUCCUAUUGCGGUUCCUACAAUGAUAUAAGCUACAUUUGAUCCAGGACAUCUUAUUCUUCCACCACCAAAAGGGAGGAGCUUCAUUGCCUGCUCUCUUCUCUCCUCCUCUUGCCAUGAUCCUGAAGAAGCUAGGAACCUCUCUGGCUUGAACUUAUGAGGAUCUUCCCAAUAAUCAGGAUCUCUCAUCACAGCAUAAGAAUUAAAAACAAGUGUUGUUCCCUUAGCUAUGUAGAACCCUCCAAUAGUACACUCUUGCUGAAAUUCCCUAGGAAAGACGGCCCCCACUGGGUGCAUUCUUAGAGUUUCAUCGAUGACCGCUUGCAAGUAAGGAAGUUUUGGUAGAUCAGUUUCUUGAACCAACCUUUUCUUCCCCGCCACAAAGUCGAUUUCUUCUCUGAGUCUCCUAAGAAUAUUAGGGUUGUUGAUGAUUUCUGCCAUUGCCCACUGUGUGGUUGAAGCAGGGGAGUCCCCAGCUCCAAUGAAGUGCUCCUGCAUUUGUAGAUUUUUAUUUACUUGUAUGAAGUGUGAAAUCCAACUAUCCAAGCAAAAUGUGAUCCAAGCACUCGUAAUAUUGAGUUCGGCUGUUGUUCAAAUGCAGUUUUAUUUUAAACUAGAUUAGUUAUCGCGUGACUAUGAAUGUAAUUAAUUUUAGAUUAUGAUAUUCAUUUAGUUUUUCAAAAUUUUCGUUUCAUUAAUCAAAACUAAGAAAAUUGAUCAAAAUCCUAGAAGCCUGAGAAUUCCAGUAAGCAAACCUUCUAAAGGGAUCAAAAGACUUAGUGUUCAAAAAAAAAAAAGACUUCAAAUACAUAUUUCAAAUCAAAGUUUGUUGGGUUUUUUCUCAUUAGCCCAACAUUAAUCACUAAUCAACCUACAACCAAGAAGCCCAAGAAGAAGAAAUAUCUAGAGAAAAAUGGAGAACAAUGAAGAAGUGUGUAGAGGAAGAAGUGUGUAAAAGAUGGAGAAGUGUCUAGAAUUAGCUUGUAGUUACUCUUCCACUAGUAUAAAUAGGAGUGUAGAGUGUAUAAAUAGGGGUGCUUAGCACCAUUUGUAAUCAUCCAAGAAUCAAGAAAAACAAAGAGAGAAAAUAUUUGUAAGAGAGAGUUUCCAAAAACAAAAUCUUUGUAGUAAACCCUUUCCUAAAUAUUAAGAGUCUUCUUCUUAAAUUUUCUAGUUGUCUAAUACCAUCUUCAUCUCAUCGAUAUUGGAUAAUUUUCCCAACAGCUGGUAUCAGAGCAAGGUUACCGUUAUCUUUGAAGAAGUGAAGAUGGAGGCCACCGUUACCUUUGAAGGUGACAUGGUCAAGCUCACGACGGACAACUUCUCUUAUUAGAAACCGAUGAUGGAAGAUCACCUUUAUUGUAAGGAUUUGCAUGAGCCCAUCAUCAUGAAGGAUAAGCCGGAAGGAAAGAAUGAUAAAGCAUGGGAGAUUCUUAAUAGAAAGGCAAUUGCCGUAAUACGUAAGUAUGUCGACCGAUCUCUCUUUGAACAUGUCUCUACCUACACAAAUGCUUUUGAAUUAUGGACAAAACUUGAAUCCAUGAUUCAAAAGAAAACACCUCGAAACAAAGCUCUUCUUGUUCGACGGUUGGUAAAGUUGGAGUACAAGGAUGGCCAGAGCAUGAUGGAGCACUUGAACAAUUUCAAGGGGAUCGUAAAUCAGCUUAACAAAGUUGAUAUGAAGGUUGAAGACGAAAUGCAAGCCCUUUUACUCCUUAGUUCACUACCGGAGAGUUGGGACACACUAGUUGUCACUCUAAGCAAUUCAGCACCGGAGGGAAAGCUUACCAUGGACACCGUCACUGAUAGCCUUCUAAACGAAGAAGUUCGCAGGAAGGAGCGAGGUUCGAGUUCUUAUUCAGAAGCUAACAUUGUUGAUAGACGAGGUAGAGAAGAGACUCGUGGCCAAAACAGAAGCAGAGGACGAGACCAAUCUCGAGGAAGAUCCAAGUCACGUCCGAGAGUUACUUGCUAUUACUGUGGCAAACCGGGUCACACGAAGUCGGAAUGUCAGUUUCUCAAGAAAGACAAACAAGGCGGUAAUAUCAAACCAGACCGGUUCAAUCCUACAAAGAAGCAUGAAGACAAGACUACCACUAUUGUGGAAGACCAGAGCGGAGAAUUAUAUCUCGUUGGAGAAUGUAAUCUUAGCUCUGAUGAUAGCUCAUGGAUCGUUGAUUCUGGUGCUUCUUUUCACGUCACCCCUCAUGGAAGCUUCUUCACAACCUAUCAAAGUGGUAACUUUGGUAAUGUUCAAAUGGGAAAUCAAGGAAGAAGCAAGAUCAUUGGAAAGGGGGAUGUUAUUCUUACAUCAAACACUGGAUGUAAGAUAGUUCUCAAGGAUGUGAGACAUGUUCCCGACAUGCGACUCAAUCUCAUAUCAACCGGAAAGCUCGAUGAUGUCGGCUUGGACAGUCAUUUUGGUGGUGGCAAAUGGAAGUUAACCAAAGGAAGUUUGAUCAUGGCUCGAGGAAGAAAAGAAGGCUCAUUAUACGUUACUCAAGCCAAGCUUUGCAAGGAAGAAGUAAAUGUCGCAAGUGAUGACAUCAAUAUAUGGCACCGAAGACUCGGGCAUAUGAGUGAGAAUCCUUUGGAAGGCGAUGUCCCAGAGGAAGUUUGGUCGGGUAAGAAGGUCUCUUACAACCAUUUGAAGGUGUUUGGUUGCAGAGCGUUUGUCCAUAUACCUAAGGAUGAACGAGCCAAGCUAGACUCCAAGAGUAUAGAGUGCAUCUAUCUUGGGUCACCAAGAGAUGAUUUCGGCUAUCGGCUUUGGGAUCCGGUUAACAGAAAAAUUAUCCGGAGCAGAGAAGUUGUUUUCUUCGAAGAUCAAACAAUCGAAGACAUCAACAAAUCAAAGAAACCAAAGCUAAGGGUUGUAAGGAAUGAAGAUUCUCAUAAGCCUCAAGAUCAUGAACAAGUGAUUGGAGAUGAUGGCGAAGGAGAUCUUAUCAUGGAUCUGAAUGGUGAUGAAGGUGAAGAAGAAGUUCAAGUGGAGCCAGAGGAAGAACAUGAGCCAAGAAGAUCUGGAAGAGAGACAAGACCAUCUGUAAGAUAUUAUCGAGAUGAGUAUGUUAAUCUUACAGAUGAGGGGGAGCCUCAAAGCUAUGAGGAGGCCAUAGGAGACACUCAUAAUGAUGAGUGGGUUGAAGCUAUGCAAGAUGAAAUGCAAGGCAUGAUAAUCACACUUAUGAGCUGAUGAAGCUACCAAAAGGAAAGAGAGCCUUGAAGAACAAGUGGGUGUACAUGUUGAAGUAUGAGGAGAGAAGCUCAAAUCUAAGAUACAAAGCCCGAUUGGUUGUGAAAGGAUUCAACCAGAAGAAAGGCAUAGAUUUUGAAGAAAUAUUCUCUCCAGUGGUGAAGAUGUCCUCUAUCCGAAUGGUUCUUGGUCUAGCAGCGGUUCUAGACUUGGAGAUUGAACAACUCAACGUCAAGACGGCUUUUCUACAUGGUGAACUCGAGAAGAAAGAUAUGUUGAAAGGGUGUUGGAGAGAUUCAACAUGCACAAAGCAAAGCCGGUGAACACUCCACUUGGUGGACAUUUCAAGCUAAGUUCGAAGCAAAGUCCAACAAGUGAGAAGGAGAAAGAGGAAAUGAAGACUACCCCAUAUGCAUCAGCAGUGGGCAGUCUCAUGUAUGCUAUGGUGUGCACCAGACCCGACAUUGCCUAUGCUGUAAGAGUUGUGAGUCGCUUUCUAUCGAAUCCAGGAAAGGAGCACUGGAAAGCAGUUAAGUGGAUCCUACUGUAUCUACGAGGCACAACGAAGAAGUGUCUAUGUUUUGGCAAUGGAAAACUUGAGUUGAACGUCUACACCGAUGCAGAUUGGGCUGGUGAUAAAGAUUCAAGGAAAUCAACAUCAGGAUUUGUUACUACCUUUGCAGGGGGAGCUGUUUCCUGGCAAUCGAAGCUACAAAAGUGUGUUGCCUUAUCCACCACAGAAGCGGAGUAUAUCGCAGCAACGGAAGCAUGCAAGGAGAUGCUAUGGAUGAAGAACUUCUUGCUUGAGUUGGGAGUAAAGCAAGAAAAGUACAACAUGUUAUGGGACAACCAAAGUGCUAUUCACUUAGCAAAGAAUCCAACGUUUCACUCCCGCUCGAAGCACAUCGACAUUCGGCAUCAUUGGAUCCGAGAAGUUCUUGAAGAUAAGAGCAUACAUCUCAACAAGGUACACACAGACGAAAACUGGUCAGACUUUAUGACCAAGGUAUUACCGAUCAAGAAGUUUGAAGAUUACUGCAAAGGCAUGGGCAUGACGACUGUCUCGGGCUAAAUCGGGAAGGAGGAGAUUUGUUGGGUUUUCCCUCAUUAGCCCAACAUUAAUCACUAAUCAACCUAUAACCAAGAAGCCCAAGAAGACGAAAUAUCUAGAGAAAAAUGGAGACGAAUGAAGAAGUGUGUAGAGGAAAAAGUGUGUAGAAGAUGGAGAAGUGUCUAGAAUUAGCUUGUAGUUACUCUUCCACUAGUAUAAAUAGGAGUGUAGAGCUCACUUGUAUCAUCAUCCAAGAAUCAAGAAAAGCAAUUGAGAGAAAAUAUUCAAGAAAGAGUUCUAAGAAAGUUUCUAAAAGAAUCUCCAAACACAAGCCUUAGUAGAAAAUCUAUUUUCCAAAUACAAAAGCUAUCACAAAUAUAAACCGUCUANNNNNNNNNNNNNNNNNNNNNNNNNNNNNNNNNNNNNNNNNNNNNNNNNNNNNNNNNNNNNNNNNNNNNNNNNNNNNNNNNNNNNNNNNNNNNNNNNNNNNNNNNNNNNNNNNNNNNNNNNNNNNNNNNNNNNNNNNNNNNNNNNNNNNNNNNNNNNNNNNNNNNNNNNNNNNNNNNNNNNNNNNNNNNNNNNNNNNNNNNNNNNNNNNNNNNNNNNNNNNNNNNNNNNNNNNNNNNNNNNNNNNNNNNNNNNNNNNNNNNNNNNNNNNNNNNNNNNNNNNNNNNNNNNNNNNNNNNNNNNNNNNNNNNNNNNNNNNNNNNNNNNNNNNNNNNNNNNNNNNNNNNNNNNNNNNNNNNNNNNNNNNNNNNNNNNNNNNNNNNNNNNNNNNNNNNNNNUUUCUACAUGGUGAACUCGAGGAGGAGAUCUAUAUGGAGCAACCUGAAGGAUUCAAGGUUCCAGGAAAAGAAGACUUGGUGUGCCGAUUAAAGAAGAGUCUUUACGGUCUCAAGCAAGCUCCAAGACAAUGGUAUAAGAAGUUUGACUCCUUCAUGGUGGAUCAUAACUUCAAGAAAACCAAGAAUGAUCAUUGCGUUUUCAUAAAGAGGUACGAAAGCGGCGACUUUCUCAUAUUAUUGCUCUAUGUUGAUGAUAUGUUAAUUGUGGGCCAAGAUCACAACAAGAUAGCUGCAUUGAAGAAAGAUUUGGGAAGGAGUUUUGCGAUGAAAGAUCUGGGGCAAGCGAGAUAGAUUCUUGGAAUGAAGAUCACUCGGGAUAGACCAAAGAAGCUUUUAUGGCUGUCUCAAGAAAGAUAUGUUGAAAGGGUGUUGGAGAGAUUCAAGAUGCACAAAGCAAAGCCGGUGAACACUCCACUUGGUGGACAUUUCAAGCUAAGUUCGAAGCAAAGUCCAACAAGUGAGAAGGAGAAAGAGGAAAUGAAGACUACCCCAUAUGCAUCAGCAGUGGGCAGUCUCAUGUAUGCUAUGGUGUGCACCAGACCCGACAUUGCCUAUGCUGUAAGAGUUGUGAGUCGCUUUCUAUCGAAUCCAGGAAAGGAGCACUGGAAAGCAGUUAAGUGGAUCCUACUGUAUCUACGAGGCACAACGAAGAAGUGUCUAUGUUUUGGCAAUGGAAAACUUGAGUUGAACGUCUACACCGAUGCAGAUUGGGCUGGUGAUAAAGAUUCAAGGAAAUCAACAUCAGGAUUUGUUACUACCUUUGCAGGGGGAGCUGUUUCCUGGCAAUCGAAGCUACAAAAGUGUGUUGCCUUAUCCACCACAGAAGCGGAGUAUAUCGCAGCAACGGAAGCAUGCAAGGAGAUGCUAUGGAUGAAGAACUUCUUGCUUGAGUUGGGAGUAAAGCAAGAAAAGUACAACAUGUUAUGGGACAACCAAAGUGCUAUUCACUUAGCAAAGAAUCCAACGUUUCACUCCCGCUCGAAGCACAUCGACAUUCGGCAUCAUUGGAUCCGAGAAGUUCUUGAAGAUAAGAGCAUACAUCUCAACAAGGUACACACAGACGAAAACUGGUCAGACUUUAUGACCAAGGUAUUACCGAUCAAGAAGUUUGAAGAUUACUGCAAAGGCAUGGGCAUGACGACUGUCUCGGGCUAAAUCGGGAAGGAGGAGAUUUGUUGGGUUUUCCCUCAUUAGCCCAACAUUAAUCACUAAUCAACCUAUAACCAAGAAGCCCAAGAAGACGAAAUAUCUAGAGAAAAAUGGAGACGAAUGAAGAAGUGUGUAGAGGAAAAAGUGUGUAGAAGAUGGAGAAGUGUCUAGAAUUAGCUUGUAGUUACUCUUCCACUAGUAUAAAUAGGAGUGUAGAGCUCACUUGUAUCAUCAUCCAAGAAUCAAGAAAAGCAAUUGAGAGAAAAUAUUCAAGAAAGAGUUCUAAGAAAGUUUCUAAAAGAAUCUCCAAACACAAGCCUUAGUAGAAAAUCUAUUUUCCAAAUACAAAAGCUAUCACAAAUAUAAACCGUCUANNNNNNNNNNNNNNNNNNNNNNNNNNNNNNNNNNNNNNNNNNNNNNNNNNNNNNNNNNNNNNNNNNNNNNNNNNNNNNNNNNNNNNNNNNNNNNNNNNNNNNNNNNNNNNNNNNNNNNNNNNNNNNNNNNNNNNNNNNNNNNNNNNNNNNNNNNNNNNNNNNNNNNNNNNNNNNNNNNNNNNNNNNNNNNNNNNNNNNNNNNNNNNNNNNNNNNNNNNNNNNNNNNNNNNNNNNNNNNNNNNNNNNNNNNNNNNNNNNNNNNNNNNNNNNNNNNNNNNNNNNNNNNNNNNNNNNNNNNNNNNNNNNNNNNNNNNNNNNNNNNNNNNNNNNNNNNNNNNNNNNNNNNNNNNNNNNNNNNNNNNNNNNNNNNNNNNNNNNNNNNNNNNNNNNNNNNNNNNNNNNNNNNNNNNNNNNNNNNNNNNNNNNNNNNNNNNNNNNNNNNNNNNNNNNNNNNNNNNNNNNNNNNNNNNNNNNNNNNNNNNNNNNNNNNNNNNNNNNNNNNNNNNNNNNNNNNNNNNNNNNNNNNNNNNNNNNNNNNNNNNNNNNNNNNNNNNNNNNNNNNNNNNNNNNNNNNNNNNNNNNNNNNNNNNNNNNNNNNNNNNNNNNNNNNNNNNNNNNNNNNNNNNNNNNNNNNNNNNNNNNNNNNNNNNNNNNNNNNNNNNNNNNNNNNNNNNNNNNNNNNNNNNNNNNNNNNNNNNNNNNNNNNNNNNNNNNNNNNNNNNNNNNNNNNNNNNNNNNAUGCACAAAGCAAAGCCGGUGAGCACUCCACUUGGUGGACAUUUCAAGCUAAGUUCGAAGCAAAGUCCAACAAGUGAGAAGGAGAAAGAGGAAAUGAAGACUACCCCAUAUGCAUCAGCAGUGGGCAGUCUCAUGUAUGCUAUGGUGUGCACCAGACCCGACAUUGCCUAUGCUGUAAGAGUUGUGAGUCGCUUUCUAUCGAAUCCAGGAAAGGAGCACUGGAAAGCAGUUAAGUGGAUCCUACUGUAUCUACGAGGCACAACGAAGAAGUGUCUAUGUUUUGGCAAUGGAAAACUUGAGUUGAACGUCUACACCGAUGCAGAUUGGGCUGGUGAUAAAGAUUCAAGGAAAUCAACAUCAGGAUUUGUUACUACCUUUGCAGGGGGAGCUGUUUCCUGGCAAUCGAAGCUACAAAAGUGUGUUGCCUUAUCCACCACAGAAGCGGAGUAUAUCGCAGCAACGGAAGCAUGCAAGGAGAUGCUAUGGAUGAAGAACUUCUUGCUUGAGUUGGGAGUAAAGCAAGAAAAGUACAACAUGUUAUGGGACAACCAAAGUGCUAUUCACUUAGCAAAGAAUCCAACGUUUCACUCCCGCUCGAAGCACAUCGACAUUCGGCAUCAUUGGAUCCGAGAAGUUCUUGAAGAUAAGAGCAUACAUCUCAACAAGGUACACACAGACGAAAACUGGUCAGACUUUAUGACCAAGGUAUUACCGAUCAAGAAGUUUGAAGAUUACUGCAAAGGCAUGGGCAUGACGACUGUCUCGGGCUAAAUCGGGAAGGAGGAGAUUUGUUGGGUUUUCCCUCAUUAGCCCAACAUUAAUCACUAAUCAACCUAUAACCAAGAAGCCCAAGAAGACGAAAUAUCUAGAGAAAAAUGGAGACGAAUGAAGAAGUGUGUAGAGGAAAAAGUGUGUAAAAGAUGGAGAAGUGUCUAGAAUUAGCUUGUAGUUACUCUUCCACUAGUAUAAAUAGGAGUGUAGAGCUCACUUGUAUCAUCAUCCAAGAAUCAAGAAAAGCAAUUGAGAGAAAAUAUUCAAGAAAGAGUUCUAAGAAAGUUUCUAAAAGAAUCUCCAAACACAAGCCUUAGUAGAAAAUAUAUUUUCCAAAUACAAAAGCUAUCACAAAUAUAAACCGUCUAUAUUUCAUCUUAACCUCUCAAAGAAAAUAUUAUCCGCUAUCUUUCCCAACAAAGUUGACGGUAAUUGCUGCCAUUGUUGCUUAAAAGCAAAGAAGAGGGAUGAAACAGAUGACUGCUUAAAUCCAUUAAUAUAAGAUGGUGAAUCAAUGGAGAUCUGAAAGUAUAUAAUAGUGUAUAGCAGAAGUUGCUUGCUGUAUUCGUGAUCAGGUUAAUGGUUGUGUCUCAAGGUUAAUUGACUUAAGAUGAGGAAUAUAUGACCAAUGAGAGCACCCUAUCCACUAAUCAAUGACUGAAAGGAUGGUCACUAAAGUGUUAAGUAAGACAUUAAGUUCAAGGAACUUUAAAAUAAUCUUACUAGUCAUACACUCUAGUGACCACCCUAUCCAUGAAUCUUUUAAGAUUUGUUUCAUCGAUCCAUGAAUUCGGUUAAAACCCUAGAAAAUAACUAUGAAACAACUCUAACAUAGCACCAUAAACUAUGUAAAGAGAUGAAGAAAAACUUAUCAUCUAUAAAAAGAAAUCUAAAGGAGUUAAUGAAUCUUCUUAGAGAUGCAUUGUAAAGAUUUGUCUUCCCAAAAUCACAGAAUGAAAAGCUACUCUUAGUCUGAAUAGAAAAUAAAGCAUAGUCUAAAAUAUGACUAAAAUAAGUGUAAAUAGGUCUAAAAAUGGUUAUGAUCAGAUCUAAGGUGAUUUGAGUCAAAAAAAAGGAUCAGCCGGGCUGGAUCAGUCGGUCUCUGAAAGAAAUGGGGAUUUUCUCAACUAUAUCGGAUUGGAUCGACUAGUCCCUUCUGGACCAAACAAUUUUAUCUCACAUUCACAUGGAUUGACCAGUCUCUGAGAGGGAUCUACCAAUCUUAUCUUCUGGCUCUUGACAAUCUCCUUUAUCUUCUCGGUUACUCGGAUCGACCACUCCACUCUUUAGACUAACCGAUCCUUGGGUCUUUUCACUCUUUUUGCUUGUUUUAGUCCACUUUGCUGCAAAAGCUUUAAUAGUCAUCCAAAACUAUUUUUGACAUGAAAUAAACGGCGUACCUUUUUCAUGAUGGGUCAACAAGGAAAUGAGAAGAGCGGCUUAAGCCAUUAGGUGUACAUGCUUUCCAAAAGUGGAAGCUUCUAAUUCUUUCUAUUUGAUUGGAAAUUGAUCAAUCUAGCCAUGAGCAAGUUAAAAAAGAUCUUUAACAGGCCUUGGAGGACCGAACCUACGUAUUUGGCAAAAUAUGGGGAUGUGGCAAAAUAUGGGGAUGAUUACUUGUGGCUAGGAGUGAACCAAGAUCGGAUAUAGUUGGUUUUCCGUGAAAUCUAUUUCAGUAGAGCGUAUGAUGUCACAAUAAGGAUUAAAAAUGACUUGAUAGACACUCUUCAUGUCGUACAACGUUUUCAGCAAAUAAAAAAAAAAUAAACUCUCUCUAUUUUAUUUUUAUUUUCGUAAUCUCAUUUAUGGUUUUACAAGUCCUCAAAAAUCAAGUAUCAAACGGUAUUGAUCCAACAAUCCAAGAGACAGGCUCAGAAGAUCUCAAGAUUGGAUAUCUUUGCAGUGCUGACUCUACCUUCUAACCGCUCGAGCAUGCAGCAAAUAGUUGGUUUCAUUGAAAACACAUGUGCAAUCUAAAUGUCUGCAAAAUCUUUGUUCCCCUUAAAAAAGUUUUAUUUUUUGGUCUGUUUCCAUGGCUGCUCCAAGUUAUUCAUGUGUAUUGAUUAUAUAUAUAUGGGGUUCGUUUUCUUUCACAUCUCUUCUUGCUACACAUAAAACUUGUUCCAUCAGCUUACAACUUUAGUAGCCGCAAUAUAAUCAUAUAUAUUACAUGAAUCAGAUCACAGUCUUAGGAAUAGAAAACAGAGGAAUAGGCUGCAAACUAGGAAGAAGAGGAAGCAGCUUGAGUGCUUGGGGUUGGGCUCGAGCUCCCGUAGAUGUAAGAGCUAAAUCCCCAAAACGUCAAGAUCAAAGACAGAAUCUUAAACCCACUCAUCGGAUCAUGCAUCAAUAUCACAGCUGCUACGCUAGUGAUGGGCACUCUCACGGCGUUAAGCACUCCAGCCAUGACCGUGGACGCCAGAAACAAGACAGCAGUCGCCCCAAGAACACCCAACUGAAACGUGACCGCGCUCCAGACAAGAACCUGAACGUACCGAGACUCCCCGCCUUCGAAACUCUUAGCCUCGUGACUCAUCCCUUGUAAAUCUCUGCUCACAACCAUCCCGAGAGUGGUAAACGCAAACGCCACCAAGGAAACCAUCACCUGCUGCUCCAAAGCCACGUGGAAGAACCUCCUCCCCAGCAGCUUCACGAACACAAGCUCCGACAAGGCGAAAAUGAGCCCGUGGAGCGCGGACCCCAUAAUGUCCCAAAAGAAACCGGCAAAGUACUGGCGGUUGCUGACGUAAUCAUACCGGUCAGAGCUAGAAUCCAGCGCUAUGAUAGCCAUGGCGCCAGUUAUUAUCACAAUGGAGUUGAUGACAGAAGCGUUCAUGGGGUUUUUGACAAUGAGGUAGCCGAACAAAGCGGAGAAGGCGAGGGAAGAGGACGCCAGAAGAGAGGAGGUCGACGCGGGGAGGUAGGCGUAGGCGUAAGCGUACAUAAGGUUAUCCGCGGCGCUCAAGAAGCCGAGGAGGGUGUAAGAAAGAAGGAGCUUUGCGUUGAGAGGUGUUGGUUUGAUCUUUCGGAAGAUGUAUAAAGGAAGCAAGAUGAGACAAGUGAUUGGCCAUCCAGCGACGGCGGCCCACGAGAUGAUCCAUUUGCUCUGGCCGCCGUUCGAGAAGUAAAGACGAGAGAGUAGACUAGAAGCUGGGAAGGCCGUGAGCAUUGACGUGCAGCUGAGAGUCAGGAGAAUCCAAUGUGAAUGGGGCUUUGAUUCAUAAGCUUCUUUCGUCGAUUUCUUGACGUUGGAAACCCAAUUUGAAUAUGAAAAGGAAGCAGCAGGUGGGCGCUGCUCUGUUGUUUCAUCCAUUAGAAGUCCUGAAACAUGUUAAACACAUGAACAUCAGAGAAAAGCUUUUGACUUUAGCUGUGAGUUGUGCAAAUGAGAAACCCGUGAACAACAGUCGAUGAAGGCCUCGUAGAUCGGAUUUAACAAGACAUGAGUCUGCCCUGAAUCUCGACAACUAAAAAUCAAAACUUUUAUGCAAUUUCUCGAAUGGGUUUAGACGAAAAUCGUCUUAGGCUUGUCGCAAACCGAAAAAGAUCGAAGCUUUAGCAGAUUCUGAUGAGUUUGUCGUAGCCCUAAGUACAGAAACAAAGAUUGUUCAACAAGUUACUCAAGUUUUCUACGAUUGGAAUCAAAUUUAACAAGAAAAACCCAAAAUUGAGAAAGAACAGUUUAAGAGUACUCACUGACUGACUCUGGGUUAUCAUCGUCUUUGAAAGUUGUCAUUUCCUCAAAACCUCUUAUUAUUUUUUUUAUGAGUGUUUUCCUUUCAGACCGCAAUUAUUUCCGGUGAAGAAAGAAACUGAUGCGGUAGGGAUCACGUGCUUUAUGACCACGGUUCCUUAGCCGUCGGAUUCGCUAAGCUAACUAUUAACGGUUGAGAUCUUGAGAUUGUAAUUUAUGUUUGUUUCUACGAUAGUGACCACUGACCCGUAUGUUUGCCAAUGGUUUAUUUGCUAUGGUUGUUGAUAUGAUAUUUUAAAGGACGGUUUUGUCAAGUGACGUGGAGAAUCUGUCACCUUUCUCUCUCUUUCUACUUUGUGAUAACUAGGAUUACAUUUGUCUCAUUUCAAAAAAAAAAAAAAACAAGCCGAGGAUGUCUCUUAUUUCACCUCGUACUAUAUUCUAAAAUAAUAAAGUAAUGGACAUAAAAUAAAAAUAUUAUUCCAUUUAUAAAGUAAUUUUUUUUUCAUUACUUUUAUCUUUUCACUAUGUUUUAUAGUAAAAUAGGGAAUGAAAGUUAGAAAUACCCUAAGAUGGUCAAAUUUCAAACGAUCAGUCUGUGUAAUCUCCUAUAUAUUAAUUGAGUAUCAUUUAAAAAAUUGUAACUUUAAGUUUGUACUAAUUAAAAAGAGACUAUGUUUAGGUGUCACUUAAUUAAAAUGUCAAUUUAGAUUAUGUGACGGUUUAAAAAUCAAUUGAAAAAAAAUGUUGGUUCAAAUCCAAUUACUAGGAAACAUUAUAUUAACCCAAAAUAUAAAAAUCGUGUAUUUUUCCUUAAAUAAAAGCUACAGAAUUACCUAAUAUGGUUAACAUAUAUAUGGUAAUUAAUGACUAUGAAUAAUAAAGAUUUGAUAACAAUUUUUUGCAUAUUUUUUCAUUUUUGUUUAAUUUUAUAUUAUUAAAAAAUUAAACAAUUACAUUAACCAUAUAAUAAAAAAUUUAGAUUUUUUUCUUAUAUGUUAUAUUUUGAUUUUUUUUUAAAUGACUUUAAAUUAAAAAAAUGAGGAAGUUUUAUAUGUUAUAUUUUAAAUUUUUUAAAACGACUUUAAAUUAAAAAAGAGGAAGUCUUAUAUGUUAUAUUUUCUUAUGUGUUAGAUACUCUUUUUCUUAUAUGUUAUAUUUUGAAUUUUUUAAAAUGACUUUAAAUUACAAAAAUGUAAGUUUUCUUUAAGCAUACGACAAAAAACAUUAAAAUGAUGUGUAUCAAUUUGAUGGUUGAUCUGAAACUUUUCAAAACCAUAUGAAAGAUAAAUGUCAAAAUAAUUCAACUGUGAAAAAAAGUACCGUUCACUUUUUUCAAGAAUGUGUUCGGUGGAAAAAAUAAGGUUUUUGUGUCAUAAUUUGGUUAAUGUCAAAUCCGAUCAACCCAUGAUAUAUUAAUUAUAGUUUAGUUCCAUAAUUUUUAAUAAAAAUUGAUCCGGUCCAUCGGAAAUAAAUUAUAUAAUAACAACAAAAAUAUUGUAUAUGUAUAAAUAAAAUGAUCAAAUAUAAAAAAAAAAUUAUCGAUAAUAUAUAUAAAUAAACUCACCCUGCGCAAAGCGCAGAUCUUAUCCUAUUAUAAGUUAUAAGAUAGUCUUAAAAGUCUUAAGCCAUAGAUUGAAGAAAGUUUUGCAAUAACGUAUUUGUGAGAUUCAAUCCAUCUUGUUGUGGAUAGACAGAACACAAAUAAUAUUAUCAUCGUUCAAGAGAUGUUUUAUGCGUUAAGAACAAAUCCAGGUGGAAAACACAAGCGAAUGAACAUAAAAAAAAAUGAGCAAAGCAUAUGUUCGUAUGCAAUGGGAGUUUAUUAAAGUUGUUAUGAAGAAGAUGGAUCUUCAUAAACUUGGAUUGAGCGGAUAAUGUGACGCAUAACGUCUGUUAUGUAUCAUGUUCUCAUGAAUGGCAACCCAAGAGAAAAUAUUGUCCUAGAAAAAGGAUUACGUAAGGAGAUUUUUUGUCUCUUUUCUUUUUCAUUUUAUGGACGAAAGCGCUCGUUAAUCGUUUUAACCAUGUGGAAAGUCAAAGUAAAAUAACGGGGAUGUGCAUUCGCAUGCUAAACAUAAUUUUAAUGCAAUAUGUAAGUUAGUCUAAGGGAAUGGGAUUAACUAAUGUAGACAAGAUACGAUCAACAGUCUUUGCUUUCUCCGGAGAGCCGUGGCCAUCACCGUAUUGAUACAUACAUUGCGACAUGCGUGCUAGAUUUAUUGCAACUUCCACAAAACCCCGUGGAAGUAACGAUGAGUCAUGUGAAAUUAUCUCGUUAUUCAUCUCAUUCCAUGUGUUGCUGAUCAUGUCUUCCACGUACGCACGUGACUUUUCUUCCGAAGCUCCUGUCUCAUUCAUGUAACACUGGACCGAUUUGAGAACGUCACCUCUUUUCAAUUCAUCCUACAUCAAUAGACAAACUCGUAUAUACCAGAUAAGAGCAUGAUUAUAGCUUGAUACCCGAUACGGGGUACUUAAUUUUUUUUUUUUUUGAUUUUUUUUUGUCCUUAAAAAAAAAUUGAACCAAUCGCGGACCGCCACGUGUUAG